rnacentral:lncRNA from 1 species
UUUUUUUCGAGAGAGAGAGAGAGAGAGAGAGAUAGGUAGCACGCUAUCCGUUUCGUUUAUUUUAUUUAGAAAUAAACUUAGCUGAAAAUGUGAAUCAACUAGAAUUCGAACUUAGGACCUCGAAUACCAACCACCAAGUCCUUUACCACUUGCUGCUAUAGUUGGUACUGAUGUCUUAAAUAGUGUGGGUGGGUUCCGUGCCCUUAUUUAGAUGCUUGAAUAACUUAUUCAGUAUCUACCAACCGUCCCUAGAGCAAGUGGCAAAGGAUUUGGUGGUUGGUAUCCGAGACCCAAGUUCGAAUUCUAGUUGAUUCAUAUUUCUAACUAAGUUUAUUUCUAAAUGAAAUAAACGGAGCGGGUAGCGUGCUACCUAUUUCUCAAAAAAAAAAAACUUAUUCAGUAUCUUAAAUAGUGUGGGUGGGUUCCGUGCCCUUAUUUAGAUGCUUGAAUAACUUAUUCAGUAUAUCUUGUUAAUACAUUUUUUAGGUUUCAAUUUAUAACUUGUACGAUUCUGUUUCAGAUUAAAUUUAUUUAGCAAAAUAAAUUUAAAAAAUAAAAAAGAAUAGCAAGUUAUUAGCAAAAUAAAACCAAAAAUGAAAAUGCCAAAAUAAAUAAAAUAAAAUUGUUGGUACCUUUUAAAUUUGAAUUUAUAACUUGUGAUUCGGCUGCAGAUUAAAUUUAUUUAGCAAAAUAAAAAAUAGCAAACUAAAUUAGGUAUUAAAUUUGAAUUAUUAUCAUUUGUGAUUCUGUUAGAGAUUAAGUUUAUUUAGCAAAAUAAAUUCAAAAUUAAAGAACAGCAAACUAAAAUUGAAAAGAAAAAUUAUUUAGCAAAAUAAAUUCAAAAAUAAAGAACAGCAAACUAAAAUUGAAAAGAAAAAUUAUUUAGCAAAAUAAAUUCAAAAAUAAAGAGCAGCAAACUAAAUUUGGGGAAAAAAAUAUUUAACAAAAUAAAUUCAAAAAUAAAAAAUAGCAAACUAAAAUUGAAAAAAAUAUUUAGAAAAAAAAUUCAAAAAUAAAAAAUUAGCAAAGUGAAAUUGGAAAAAAAAAAUUACUUAGCAAAAUAAAUUCAAAAAUAAAAAAUAGCAAACUAAAAUUGAAAAUAAAAAAUCCGACCUGCCGGAUUCGAACCAGCGACCUAAGGAUUUAUCUGCAAACACUACAGUCCUCCGCUCUACCAACUGAGCUAAGGUCGGUUUUGAUUUAAUUUUACUUAUUUAAUUCUAUAUAUUAAAUAAUAUUGUUAAUUAAUUAGGAUUCCUAAAACAUGGAUUUAGGGCUUUUCUCAUCUAGGUUUUUAGUAAGAUAAAAAGAUAUGUUUAAAGUACCUAAGGUAUGAACUAUUUUCAGUACCGGCCAAGAAAUUAGUAAACUGGGAUUUUUUUUUUUUUUUUUAGAGAUAGGUAGCACGCUACCCGCUUCGUUUAUUUCAUUUAGAAAUAAACUUAGUUGAAAAUAUGAAUCAAUUAGGAUUCGAACUUGGAACCUCGGGUACCAACCAUCAAGCACUUUGCCGCUUGCUUUAGGGACGGUCGGUGUAAACUGGGAAUUUUGAUGGACUUGUUUUGAGAAAUGAAAACAAAAAAGUUUCAAGUGCUUGUGAGAGGGAUUUUACAGGUAAAUUUGUAAAAAAGGAAAAUUGUGCUUAUCAUGUAGCAGGUCUUCACUAGAGAGCCUUUCACUACAAUCACUGAUCACAUAACAAACUGGGAGACCAUAAACAUUUGCAUGUUGAGUUGCACACUUAAAUGUUCACAUGGUAUCAGAACCUCUCUAGUUUGAUACAGAAAAAUAAAUGUUCACAUGGUAUCAGAACCUGUCGACGCACUUAAUUCAAUAUACAUGUGGAAACCUGUUGAAGAUAUCGAAUCUAGACUUGUUUAACAGCUUCCAUGUUCCAGAAGCAGGGUGAAGUAGCGCGGGGCGAAAUAAACACCAUGUUUGGGAAACCGUAUAGUUCGCUGUAACUUCCUUACUCUCGAAACUAACUGAAUAUGCUUUCUUCGUGCUAUAAUGGGAAGCUUUGUAGUUUGUAUGUAGUGUUGACUGAGGAUAUAUAUUGCAGUUUCUAAAUCCGCCCUCUUCAGAGUUGAGUCUGGGGCAUUAAAUAAUAUGACUUUUCCCAAUAUGAUCUUGACGAGCUCUACGAACCUAUUCAGACACAGUUUGACAUCUGCGAAUGCUUCAACAGGAACCUUCUCUCUCCUCUUAUCUCUUCUUUUUAACCUAAAGACAAUGAAGGUCGAUUGUGAAAGCGAGCCAGUGAAGCCUCUCAUGGAAGCAAAAUAAUUUAAUGAGUAGAUGAUAAGAUCGCAAUCAACAGUAAUAGAUCAUUUUUGCGAGCUAUUCUCUGAUGCAGUUGAGCAUAUAAUGAUCAAAAACAAGAAAAUGUUGUUGGGUCACGAAGACGAAGGUUUCAUUGAGGAUAACAACAGUUGACUAAUCUACAAGAGGAACAUUUGGCAGCUGUGAAUAUGAUAUGAAAAGCUUCCCUUGAUCAAAGUAUGAACAAAAGAUAGUUUACAAUAAAUCCUGUAUCAACGCAGAUGAGUUGAACCGGGCAUUUUCGUAAAUUUUCUUACGAAAAAAAAAAUAGUCAAGGACAUAGAAAUAUAGAAAAAAAAAAAAAACUUGCAUUGUAAUAACCAAAAGGAAAAAGCUUACACUUGAUAAGAGAGGCUGUUUGACUAAUCUUUCCAGGUUAAGCUAAGAGACCACAAAUUCCUGCAAAAAAAAAAAAAAAUUGUAGCUCUCUUUGGUUUAAAGUAAAUCCACAAGGAGAAGACAGAAUUUUAAGAUGUGUGGUAUAAUGAGAUAAAAACCUGUGCAAACAUAGCAAAUUAGGGUUUAUCCUCACAUAGGAAAUAACCUUCAGUUGGAGCAAUCUUGGCCCACCUGCAUGAGCAUUUGUUGAUUACAGUGCGCUACAAUUUAACUUUAUACUAAAUCCAAUAUAACUACAACUUCUAAAAGAAAUCUAAGAAGCAUAAGAAAUAGGCUUGAACUAGAGAAGCACAUAUACAUUCUCAUGAAGCUUAUAAUUAAUUAUGAGUGAACUAAGUUCAACCAGCAUAACAAACAAAAGAACAGGAAUCCUCAGACAUAUAUAUAUAUAUAUAUAUAUAUAUAUAUAUAUAUAUAUAUAGAAUUGGGCUCUUAUGCUUUUAAAAGUACCAAAUUAUUAGUGCUUGUAGAUUUUUGGCCAUUGGAUUAAGAGAUGUGCGGUUAGGAUGAUGUGGACCUCCUAGGGUUGAGUAGGUAGUUGGUUGAAUAGUAUAAUCUAACCGAUGAAAAUGAUCAAAGGUGUGAUCUAAUGAUAGAAAACUCGAUAAUAUCAAGAGUUGAGUGCUUUUACAAGCACCGUAGCCGGACUCUCUCUCUCUCUCUCUCUCUCUCUCUCUAUAUAUAUAUAUACAUAUAUAAAGCAGCUUGAAAUACUUGCUCAAAGAUGUAGCACCUAGGAAGAAAGUAGUCAACGCGGUUAUCCAUAGGAGUUGCAGGUAACAUGUCAUCUAUGAACUUCUCCCUUAACAACAUAUUGGCUUAUAGUUAAAUGUCGCACUGACCUGUUAUUGUUAUCAAAAUAGUGGGUCGCCCAUAUUUAAUCCAGGGAAAUGAUCAUUCAAGCAAAAAAUUUAUAGUUAUCACAAUAUCUAACAACAUACUGACCAUUCCUAUUUAGAGGUAUCGUGAUGUUUUAUGGGGAAAAAAAAAAGAUUACUAGUGUCUGGCUUCCACAUAACCUUUAGUUCAGGAUUCUUUGGGUCGUAAGAUUUACUGCUAUUAAAAGGAUGAAUGAUGACUCAUAAAAAGGCCUUGACAAACCCUAUCAAUAAAAUUCCAAAUAGAUUAUACAAACCAAAUAGCAGACUAUAUUAAGCUAGCUGUUUUUUAACCACUAUCGCUUCAUUACACUCAUCUAUUGGAGAUGCAGUUUGAAGAAUCAAUACCGUAAAAUGUGAAGCAUUCAAAGAAAGCUUACCCAUCAUAUCAGCACAUAAAACUGAAAGCUGCAUCACCAGUUGUCUUCGCAAGAGCAUAAUCCAUGCUUUAUUUCAUGAAACCUAAUUCCAUCCCUUACAGUAAUCUCCCUAUUAAAAAUCUUCGAUAGGAGCUUAAAAGAUGAAUGGCAAUCCGAGCACAUACGAAGAUUCGUAACAAUUUUUACUGGUUCCUCAGCACCUAAGUUUAUCAACCCAAAUGCUAAAGCGACCUUCUCACUGUGAUAAGGAACUAAACUACCCUUUUUAUCCUUACCGACAUUGUAAAGUAUUUGUUCAGUAACCGUAUCAUAUCCUGUAAAACUCAAUCUCCUCGAAAUUUCUUCAAGCAUUAUACUUAUCUCUUUGGCCUGAGGGUGUGAAUUCAUAUUUGCUGAGAAUUGGUGCACUGUCCCAUCCCAUUCGACAUAGCUGUAGCCAGUUCGCCUACCAUUAUGUCUGUAAUUUAUAAUAUCUCUCAACUUUUGAGCAUAAUCCCGUCGCUUGACAUCAGAAAAUAGGUCAGAUAAAAGAAAAUCUCUCUCCUUAUAAUUACAGUCGAGUUGAAGAAGUUGUUCUUUCGCAAGUUCUCCAAUCUCAGCAUUCCUAUGGAUUCUACAUGAACGCAACAGAGCUGACCAGAUCACUGAGUUUGCUUUAAUUGGCAUCUUCUCGAUAAAACUGCGUGCCUCAUUCAACAACCCAACUUGCCCAAAGAGAUCAACCAUGCAUCCAUAAUGUUCAAUCUGUGGUUUAAGUCCAUACUUCACCAUGGAAUCAAACAAUUUCGUGCCCUCUGAAACCAAGCCACUGUGACUGCAGGCACAUAAAACACCUACAAACGUGAUCUCGUCAGGAACAAACCCUAGUGAUUCCAUUUCACCAAAUACUGCAAUUGCUUUCUCACCAAGUCCAUGUUGAGCGAGUCCCGAAAUAAUCGCGUUGAAUAGCUCUACUGUUUUUAAUCUGUAAUCAACUUUGUAAAAUAUAUCUAAAGCUUCUUGUAUGCACCCACACUUGGCAUAUAUAUCCACAAUUGCGGUAAUUAUUCUGGGGUUUCUAUUAAGCAACCCAUCGUCUUCUACGUAACCGUGAAGCUUCUUCCCCAAAUCAAGGGCACCCAAUUGAGCACAUGCUGAAAGCACAGUAACCAUGGUCACUUCAUCAGGUCUAAGUCCUUCCUUCUCCAUCUCCAUAAAAAUUUCCAAUGCUUCCCUGUACUUUCCUGAUCGAGCGCAGCCACUAAUUAACGCUGUCCAAGCUAUCAAAUCCUUUUGAGGCAUUUCACUAAACAGUUUACGGGCAGUACCAAUGUCCCCACAUCUAGCAUAACCGGAAACCAAAGAACUCCAUGCCUUGACAUCCGCACUAUCGCCCAUCAUGCGAAACGCUUGAUUGGCCAAUCUCAUCAUCCCACAUCUAGAGUACAUGUCGACAAGUGCGGUAACUAUAUAAUUACUGAAUUUGUCAGAUCCUAUAGUUUUAUAAGCUAGCAAAUGAACCAUCUUCCCAGUUCUAGCAUCACCCAAUUCCGAACAGAGAGAAAGCACGGAGGCGAAUGUAGAGCUAUCCGGCUUAGAAUCUGAAUCCAGCAUCUGCUUAAAAACACUCAGGCCAUUAACCGCUUCACCAGCUUUAGCAUACCCAUCCAUCAUAGUAUUAAACGAUACAGCAUCCCGUUGAGAACACGCAUCAAACACCUUGCGUGAACACGGCAUAUCACCAAACGAAGAGUACAGAUGCAUAAGCGAGUUCAUAACGUAAGUAUCCGAAUGAAACCCACAUUUCACAACGUGGCAAUGAACCCCAAAACCCACAUCGGGGCUGGGAAGCUUCGCGCAGGCGUUGACUAUGAAGGUGAAGGUGAAGUUGUUGGCGAUCAAAGGAGCGCCGUUGGAGACCAUGGACUUGUAGAGGAGCACGGAUUCGCGAGGGGACUGGGCGCGGGAGUGGGCGCGGAUCAUGGCGUUGUAGGCGAAGGCGUUGGGGCGAGGGAGGUGGGAGAAGAGGAGGCGAGCGUGGACGAGGUCGGGGGGGUCGGAGAGGGCGAAGAAGGAGACGAGCAUGGAGAGGAGGCGGCGGCGGCGGCGGAGGAGACCGCGGAGGAGGAGCUGCGCUGUAACCUGGAGAGCGUGGUGGGGGUUGAGAAUGGAGGCUAGGGUUUUUUGGUGGGUUUCGUGUAGCAUAGCUCGGAUUCGGAAGAGGAGGAGAGGUGGGGAGUUGGGCGACGAGGGGGAGCGGCGGAGGAAGGUGACGACGAUGAGGGUGAGUGCUUUAAGAAGUCGUCGUUUCGAGACGUUUCGGCGCCGAGUUUCUCUGAAGUGGGAAACAUUUCGGCAGAGUUUGCUGUUUCGGCACCGGCUUUACAGUUUGGAGAGCAUUUUAGGCCUUUGUUGGCUCCAUAGCCAAAAAUAGUUGCUACCAUAACAGCUGCACUACAUACAAUAUCUUCUAAAUUAUUUAUUACAACAUAUCGGAGGACAAAGAAUUUAAUUAAUUUCAUAGUGAAACAAUAUUUUUUCAAAAAAAUAUUAUUAUAUGUAUUUCUAAUGUGCUUUAAUUGAAUAUUAUUAUUCUCAAAUAGAAUAAUUGCCAUAUAUAAAACUUUCUCAACAUGGAUACACCACUAUUUGGUAAACAGUUAUUUAAAUAAUUUUAUUAGAAAACUGAUAUAUUAUAAUAUUUUCUACAGUAAAAUUGGAAAUAUUAAAUUAAUGCUUUUGGUUCUUAGGGUUAGAAAUUUAUAUUUAUUUUGAGCUACAGUAUAAGCUUCAAAUAUUUUUUUUUAAUGCUAACAAAAUUAUUUCUAUAUGUACCCGCUUUGAUGCUCAUAGCUUUUGAACAUCAACAAUAUUUCAUGAACAGAUUGUAUUGUUAUUUUUAUUGAUCAACUUUAUAUCUUAGCUCAUGUGUGGUCUUUAUUAUAAAGUAUAAAAUUAAUAGGUGAAAUAUCAUUUGAAUUGUAUUAUUGUAUUAAUCUUUUCUACUGGGCAAACUCUCUACUGAAGAUAUUAUUAUUGAAAAUAAAAGUAGAAAAGAAGCUAAAUAGACACAUGGACUUUAAUUAGCAAUUUCACCACAUGUAGCAAUUGCACUUUUGCCACAAUAAUCAAAGCCAAACUCUAUAUCAUUUUGAACUAAAAAGCUAGCAAUCUCGAACACAAAGUCGGCACUAGGGUCCCACUCGUCGACGAAUUGAAAAUACGAGAAAGGCAAACUCCAACCAGCUACUACGUCGCCGUAUUUGCCACAAUAUAAACUCGGCAAAAGGAGCAGACUGGCCACCGACUUUCAUUCUGAAGCGACUCGGAUAUUUCAACAUUACCGUACUCUUCCUCCCGCGCUAUUCAAGCGAUCCUUCGUGGGGGGGAGCUCACCUCUCUCAGGAGGAGGGAGACGACACGAAGCAAGGGCGAGUCUCCUCUCCACACUUCGCUCUCGAUCCGCCAUGGAAGGAGCACCCCUCUUCAGCUGGGAGCUCGAUGCUGUAGGAGGCGGCGCCGGUAAGUUUCACCUCUUCCCCCUUCUCUCGAUGCUGUUGUAAUGGUUAGGGUUAGGAUUUUGUUCCCUUGGUUGCUUGAUGAGGACAAUGAUGGUGUUGAUUAGAUCUAGUGAUUUUGGUAGGAGAAAACCCGAAAUUCGGGAGAAAUAAGAAGAAGGGUUUGAUCGGGAGUAAGAGUAGGAGGCAGACGCUCUCGGACAUCACGAACACAGGGAGGAACCAAGAAAACCCUAACACGACGAUCUAUCCCGAUUCCAAGGAUCUGAUCGAGCUAACGAAGGUUUUAAAGCAUUUUAAUCCUUAUGUUCAAACAUUACCGAAUUCCCUUUCUAAUGCCUAAAAGGAGUGCCCUAUUCUUUUGGCUCGCCGAAUCCCAGGGAAAAAGUGAGCUACUGAAGCUUCUCGGAGAGAGAAAGUAUGCGCAUUCAUGGAGUAGAUUUCCCUUAAUUUUAGGUCAAAAGUUGAGUUUUUGUUAACUGGAUUGGGUGGGUGAUGAUCUUUGUUUAUAGUAAGACUUUCGAAGAGAGCAAUAGUGAGUUGCAGAAGCUUCGUGUCGCGUUGCACAAAGCCAAUCAGCAAAAUAGGGAACUUGCUCAGGCCAACUCUCGGAUGCUAAUGGUGCUUUUCUUUGUCCUUCUCCCUCCUCUUAUAUCUUACUUUUUGUCGAUAAGGAAAAAAAAAGGGAAAAUUCUUAUCUUUCUCUUGCUUUGAUCUUCAGGAGCUCAACUCGGGGAAAGAUAGAGUGAGUCCAAUCUAUUUUUAACUGGCCUAUUAGUUUGGUGGUGCUUUCUUUCGCCUAUUCAGGUGAUUUAGUUGUUGGCUAUGAAUGGACUUUUGGCUCGACAGGAGCUUUUGUACAAGUUCUAUUUGGUAGGACUAUUUAGCAAACCCUAAUCAUUAUAAUUCUUCAAAUAGCUUAAGUUGCAGCUAGAAGAAGAAGCUUCAUAUGCAAGCUUCUCAGCUAGAAUCUCUGAUUUUUUUGGUUUGUUGAAGUGCCGAGUUUGUGCUUCUUGAGUUUGGAAACUGUUACACAAGCUGUGGGGGAAAGAGCUGUGAAAGCAGUUCCUGGCUUUAGUAGCGCCAGAGUUUUCUUUUGUGUGUGAUUGCACUCGUGCUUGUCAACUUGAAUCUGAAUUCUCAUAAUUUGGUCAUUUGUGGGUAUACAGCUCAAAGAAUUGCAGCAUGAGCUUGGAUGCACAACAGCAGUCCUCAGAACGAAGACUUUGGAAAUGGAGGUAUGAGAUUAUCAGGUAGUUUAUAAGUAUUCCUAUUUAUACUGUGCUGAGAGUUUUUUCCUAUUUUUCCGAUUAAUUUUAGGAGAAGGACAAGUUGAUUAAAGAACUAAGUAAGAAGAUUGGGUUCGAGGUAUCUAUGAAAGCAAAUUUAAUAUAUAUGCAUCUGUAGUUACUCUAUGGCCUCUAUUUUCCUCUUUGCUGAUAAUACUUCUCUUUUUCACUGCCUAAAUGCUAAUGCCGGGCAUGCUAAGAUUGUUGCUGAUGCACCUCACCCGGCUAGUGCUCAUAAGAAACGCAAACCCAAUAGGAAGCACACAUUAGAAAAUCAAGGUAAUUUUUUUGCCCUCAACAUUCAUGAAUUGUAGUCAUUGUUUCUGCAAAUACCUGUCAAUAGUUCGUCUUUAUUCGUUUUGGGUCAUGUAUUUAACUUCUUCUGUACUGCAUUGUUCCAUGAAGCAGCACUGCAGGGAAAGGAUCACAGAAGGUAAUGGCUAGCUUUGAGAUGCCACCACUACUAUUUGUGACUGAAUAAAUUGCAUCGAAGGUCCUCAAACUUCUAGUAUAGUUUCAGUUUCGUCCUCACAAUAGAGUCCUUAAACUUUGCCUUCAUAAGUAUCCAAGUACUCGCCAUGAAACCACCAAGCAACUUUGGACUUCUCAUUUGGCAGCUAUGUAGACGUUCCUGCUAAAUUUAGGGAAUUUAUAAGAGAGUGCUAAAAUCGGGGACCCAAUUGUGAAAAUUGAGGGCCGGUUACCAAAUGAAAACCUUAUAAGGUACAAUUUAUCCCUUUCAUAAUAUAAGCAAUAAUCGAGUAAUCACUCUCGUUUAUGUUCAAUCAGGAGGUCCUUAAGAAGGAGAUCUAUCAAAUUGACAUCUGAAUCAUCUGAACCUUCUGAAGACUCCUUUGAGAUUGAGGAUACCAAGAUUUCAGUUUGCUCACUUACCGGCAAAGCCUCCGAUGAAAACUCCUCUUUUCAGCUUGAAAAUUCCACCCCUGGUUCAAGUGCUUUUCACGAACAAAUGAAGAAUGAAUCAAACAGUGAUUAUUCAAGUGGGUCUUUGAAAUCUUGCAUUCAGGAAUUGAAGAUAUCUUCAAAUGGAAGGCCUAUGCGGAGGGCAGCUGAGAAGGUUCCUUCCUACAAAGAACUCCCUCUGAAUGUCAAGAUGCGACGGCCUUGAGCGGGUUUUCAAAACUUAGCAGAAUGUUACUAAAACACAGUUCAGCGCGCCAUCUGAGAGAUGGUCAUCUCACUCUGUAAGUGCAUGUUUUUUUGGUGUAAUCAAACUUUUUCUGUAUAGUUACUGUAGUCUUGGUUCUGCAAGCUUAUAUCUGUGAUGCGGAGUAUCUCCCUAUAGAUGCUGUAUGUAAAUGUUUUUGAAGGUGUAUUCAUUUCGAAGGCUGCGGUGGAACUGUAGGAGGAGCUGCAUUUCUAACUUUGUGGUGCAUUUUAUCUUACUGCAAUUUGCUAUAAAACUUAUCAUUCGCCUUCACAUUUAGGUUUGCCAUCUCUACCAUGCCAACAAGAUUGUCUAGGCUUUGAAAAGUCAUUUCUGGGGUGCAAACCGGAUUUUCGAGGCCCAAGCCCGGAUUACCCAACCCAGGGUAGCUUCUUGGGCCCAAAGCGUGGCGCCACAAUAGUUCUAUAUAAAAUGAAAAAGAAAAUCUUUAAUAUCAGUAACUGGACUUUAACAUUUUGGGUUUGUGUUGAGUCUGAUGAGUUGUUAGUGUUAGUGAGUUGGAUCAUUAUACUUAGUGUUAAAAUCGAUUUAUUCGUCGAAAAUAUAAGAUAAAUUUCACAUUGCUUGGAUUGAACCUGACGAGAACAAUAUGGUCUCAACAGGAGCCCCAGAUGGAAAAAGUAUUGGGUUUAAGUAUUUUGGACCAGUAAUUUGUGAGUUACUAACGAAUUGUUAUGAAUAAUGGGCUGGAUCACUACACAAAGCCCGGCCCAUUAACGGCCCAUAGUGCUGGAGAAAAGGGUGCCGAAUCCAGAUUCCGGGCGUAGUCGGUUGUCAACGCAAAACGGCAAAAGGCAGAGGAAAGAUUCUGGUAACCCGAACCUCCACGGUCCCCCUUCACAACAAAACAAAACCAGCGGAAUGGACGUGCUAAAUAAUGCCCCCAUUUUUCAUUUUUCAUUUUUUAUUUUUUUUUUUAAAAAGAAAUUCGUUAACUCUGCUUAUCAUCUUAUCUCUCGUUCGUUAAUUACUGCCCCGCAGUAUCAGCCACCUCCCUCUCACUCCUCUCGAUUUACUCCUCACACCUACUCACGUUGAGAGAGAGAGAGAGAGAGAGGGAGAGAGAGCAUUAAUGGCGUCGAUUAAUCUCUCCUCCUCUCCUAUACUCCGAAUCCCCUAUCUUCCUAACCAAUACCACCGAAAUAGGCCAUUUCCCUUCACCCUCCCCUCUUCUUCUUCUCCUCUCUCUGUGGAGGCGACCGAUUCGAGCCACUCUAGAAGCUUCCGCCGCUCGCGGCGGUGCGCCGCGUCGUCCUCCUCCUCCAACGGGCGCGGCCCCGAGGACGACGCCGCGAAGGAGGUCGAGAGGCUUCGAGAAGAGAAGCGCCGCGCCGAGCUCGCCGCGCGCAUCGCCUCAGGCGAGUUCACCGUCCAGCAACCCGGGUUCUCUUCUCCUCUCUCCUCUUUUUUUUUUUUUUGUGCCCUAAUUGACUAUUCUAGUAGUCGUUACUGAUGCUUCUACUCCCUUCUACUUCUCGUUCUUCUUCUCAAUAGAAGAUGGGCUUCGUCCGUGCGGAAGCUCUUGGUGGGGCUCGUCUUGAGAUGGGCCAGCGAUUUUGGCCCCACGGAAGGUCCCGAGAUCCCGCAGGCGAAGGGGUCGAUUCAAGCUGUUGGGGGGCAAGCCUUUUUUCUCCCCCUCUAUGAUCUUUUCCUCAGUUAUGGAGGUAUCUUUCGCCUCAUCCUUGGUCCCAAGGUAAGUAAUUACGAAUCUAUUUUAAUUUCUAUCUUCUAAUUGUGGUGGAAACAUGUUAAAUUUUGCAAUUUUGGCAAAUGGGUAGUGUUAAAAUUUUGAUUUUUACUCCUUUUUUUUAACCAGUCUUUUGUGAUUGUCUCGGAUCCGGCCAUAGCGAAGCACAUUUUAAGGGAGAAUUCUAAAGCUUACUCCAAGGUUUUGACUCUUUAUCUUCAUGUGUAGUUGACAUUUUAUUUACUUGUUAUUGAACUCGAGAGUAAAGAAGAGCAGUGUAGUAUGGUUAAGUUGGUAUUGGUGAUUGCAGGGCAUAUUAGCGGAGAUUCUGGAUUUUGUGAUGGGAAAGGGUUUGAUCCCAGCUGAUGGUGAGAUUUGGCGUGUUAGGAGGCGUGCAAUUGUUCCGGCAUUGCAUCAGAAGGUAAUAAAUUUUGAAAAUUGGGGAUUAAUGAGUAUUUGUCUUUGAUGAUUAGAGUGUAAUAUUGUGGGUUCCAUGAAUUUACUCAUUUGAUUUCAUCAAACAGUAUGUGGCUGCCAUGAUUGGCCUCUUCGGAGAAGCUUCAAAUAAGCUCUGCGAAAAGUUAGAUGCAGCGGCAUCAGAUGGAGAGGAUGUGGAGAUGGAAUCUCUGUUUUCUCGUUUGACUUUGGAUAUCAUCGGCAAGGCGGUUUUUAAUUAUGAAUUCGAUUCAUUAACACACGACAACGGGAUUGUUGAGGUCUUUGUUCAGCUACUUGUUUUCACAUUUUGGAAUUGCCUUUUCUUUUCCUUCAUUGCUUGAUCUUUUUUGCUUUAUUAUGCCUUCUUCCUCCAUGUUUCGAUCAGGCGGUAUACACUGUCCUGCGAGAAGCAGAACUUCGGAGUACUUCUCCAAUACCAACUUGGGAAAUUCCGAUAUGGAAAGAUAUAUCCCCUCGGCAGAACAAGGUUAAAGCAGCUCUUAAGUUGGUCAAUGAUACCCUCACUGAUCUAAUUUCUAUUUGCAAGGUAAACAAUCUGUUCCCAUAAGAUAAUGGAUUUGGAAUUCAUUCCUCAAACAAAACAGUAGUUGAUUCAGAAGUUGAAUAUCUUUGUUUUUGCACAGAUUAUAUAAUAUCACAGAAUUAGUCAAUUUUGACAUUUUCUUCAUAACCGUAGAGAAUGGUAGAGCAAGAAGAGCUGCAAUUUCACGAGGAAUACAUGAAUGAGCAAGAUCCUAGUAUUCUUCACUUCCUGUUGGCAUCUGGAGAUGAUGUACUAUUUCAGCCCUUCACUUGUGAACUUAUUGAAACUUUUUGCAUAUUUCUGAGGAAAAGAAAAUAAUGGUUUUGCAACUCAUACUAAGUCUUACUAAUCUCUUCCUCUUGUUAGGUUUCUAGCAAGCAGCUCCGAGAUGAUCUGAUGACGUUGCUCAUAGCUGGCCAUGAGACAUCUGCAGCAGUACUGACGUGGACCUUUUAUCUUCUUUCUAAGGUAUGUACAGUGUGGUUCGCUAGUGAUUAAAUAUAGUAUUCCAUGCUUGUUUCCUGAAGCAUUCUACAGAUUUGACUUCUUUCAUGCAGUUGAAUAUGCAUUAUUAUUGUCUGCUAUUUAUGUUCUUUGAUUGGUAUUAUGUAGGAACCGAGAGUUAUGGCCAAACUUCAAGAUGAGGUAAUUUAAGUUUUACUGCAUGAUAAAACUUUCAGCACAUGACAUUUGUCCACGCUUAGAAUGAACAAAAUCAUAUGAUGCUAUUUCUUUUUUGAGAUCCUCAGGUUGAUACCGUUUUGGGCGAUCGCCUCCCAACAAUAGAGGACAUGAAGAAACUCAAAUAUACAACUCGUGUGAUCAAUGAAGUAAGAACUCAUAUGUGAAUUGCUGUAAUUGACUAGAUAAGUGAUUAUCAGGUAUUAUACAUUCUUUUUCCUCUUUCUUCUUUGUUGCAGUCAUUGAGACUUUACCCUCAGCCACCAGUCUUGAUUCGUCGGUCACUUGACAAUGAUGUUCUUGGGAAGUACCCCAUUAAAAGGUAACGGUUUCUCAUGCACAUUCAUGAUCUUUUGGGCUAUUUUGAGUAUUAUUUUGUGAUUUUAUUAUCUGAUGGUUUAAGAUACGAGGUUCUAUUUCAAAUGGUAGGGAUGAAGAUAUAUUCAUUUCAGUAUGGAACCUCCACCGGUGUCCUAAGCAUUGGGAUGAUCCUGAGAGUUUCAAUCCUGAAAGAUGGCCUCUAGAUGGACCAUCACCUAAUGAGAUAAAUCAAAAUUUCAGGUACACAUUCUUAUCUAGAACCAAAUCUACUUAAGAUAGACACCCGAAAAUUAUAUUUGGAAUAUGUGCCACCAAGCCUGAGCCUAAGCCCAAUUUGAUGAAAAAUAGAGCCAUUCCUGUCUGCAUUUUUCUGUUGUGAGAUCCAGAUUUAUUCAUGAUAAAUACGCUUGGGCUGUGAACAUUAUCUUUUUUGCUUGUUUUCACUGCAAAACCACACUGAAUCCUUUAGGUGAAGUAAUUAAACAAAUGAAUUCUUAAGCAAUAUUAGAUAUUUUUCUGGCAAGUUUACGCAAAUAUUCGUUAUAUAAGUUAAUGAUGUUAACAUUGAAUGUCGCAGCUACUUACCGUUUGGUGGUGGGCCAAGGAAGUGUGUUGGGGACAUGUUCGCUACUUUCGAGGUAGUCUUCUUUUGAGAUUUCUGGUAAUUUUGUAUGUGUGCAGAUAACAGAUAGAUGCAUUUUGACCAAAACGUUGGGAUAUAAGAUUACCAAAAAUUACUCUACUAAUGGAAUAUAAAUACAAAUCGUAUGAGACAAUAUGGACUUUUGUGUUCACCUAAUUGGCAUGUAAUCAUCAAGAUUUUUUUUUUAUGCUUUAGACCGUCACAGCAACUGCGAUGCUUGUGAGACAAUUCAACUUUCAAAUGGCCCUAGAUGCACCCCCUGUAAGUCUUCCAGCUUUUCCUAAAAGCUCAUUUAAUUAAGCCAUUUGGCAACUCCAAAACAAAGCAUUUUCUAAUAUUAGAAAGAAAAUCAAAUUCAUGUUUGCAGGUGGAGAUGACAACAGGGGCCACCAUCCACACAACUGAAGGCUUAAAAAUGACUGUUACGCGAAGGACACGACCUCCCAUAAUCCCAAACUUGGAGAGUAAAGUAGUCAAUGUUAAUUCUGUUCCCACAGUUGUUUCAGAAGGGGACCAACAAGGUGAAGUCUCUACAACAGCUCAUAUUUGAUUAAUAGCAACCCUACAGUGUUAUUCAAAUACACUUUGAUUCAACGGUGUGGAACAAGUGUUUUUUUUCCCCCAAUUUUUUUCCCCAAUUGUUGAUCUAUCUUUCGCAUGCUGGUCAGUGUAAGCUGUCUUAGUUAUUUUUCCUACACCAUGUAGUGCUGUAAAUAUCAGAUAAACAAAUUUGUAAGCCAGAUUUGUGGCUGUCUCCUCUGUAUCAACUGGCUCUUAACAGUAUCUUAAAUUCUCUGUUCAAGUGGAACUAUUUUAGGUUGGUUAUCAUGUGACAUGUUUAAUAAUUGCUUUUGCACCUCGUUCCAUCUACUAACCCACUUGAAUAACUUGUUUUGAGAAAACAACACUUUAAGCAGAGGAUGUGUAUUCCAUGAAGACAUGCCAUCUAUCGUCGAACCACAGGUUUGUUGCACUAGCAGAAGAGAAUGUUUUAUUUGUUUUUAGCUCCUGAUUUACAGAUCUCGAGUUUUGGCUGUCCAACCGUACUUUGUACAUAUUUACAGAUAUACAGUGCAGUUUCGAACGGCAGUCCGGUAACUACACCAGCAAGGCUUCAAGCCCUCGCAGAACAUCGGUGCGCGUAACUAUACCUGCUUAGCACAGAUGAACUUGUUAGAUUCUCAAUGUUAGGCCUUCAAUAUUAAUUGCCUGUUAGUCCUGAUCUAUAGAACUACUCCAACUUCAGAAGCAACAGCAGCUAGGCUGUUGGCAAAUAAAAGUAUCUUAAUGUUUUUGCUGUAGAAGAAAGCUGAAAUCGAGUUUUCGGAGUUGGAAAGUAAAAAACUUUAAGUUUGAAACAUUUAUUUCUAAUACUAAGGCAAGUCGAGAGAUUUUGAUGAAAAAACUAUUGGCCAAGUAACGUCAUAAUAACAAGUUUGAUCUCUGUAUACAUACACAAACUCACCUAUGACUUGGUUUGAUUUUGAUGAAAAAACUAUUGGCCAAGUAACGUCAUAAUAACAAGUUUGAUCUCUGUAUCCAUACACAAACUCACCUAUGACUUGGUUUUUAUCAUUUACUAUUGGUAUCCUAUGGAUCUUCCUCUUGAGCAUUAGAGCUGCAGCAUCUGCAUACAUAACACAUAAAGUUCUUUCAAAACCAUUGUCAAAAACUACUGUAAAUUGUCACAUGAAGCAAACAUGCAAAAAAUUACCCGUGACAGUUUUCUCAGCAGGUAAAGUGAUUACAGGAGUUGUCAUCAUCUCACCAAUUCUUGUUCUCAACUGUUUAACAAAUGAAAGUAUGUAAGUGACCUUCCUUCAGUUUUGUGUGUGUGUGUGUGUGUGUGUGUGUGUGUGUGUGUGUGAGAGAGAGAGAGAGAGAGAGAGAGAGAGAGAGAGAGCAAACCCCAUUUGAGGCUUUAGCCUUGUCUUUCUUGGAGAUGAUUCCAACACAUUGCAGCUCGCCGUCGACCACCGGAAUCCCCGAGAUGCAGUCGAAGUGAUGGUUGAUCUCCUCAAGUGUCUGCUCCGCCUUAGCCGUCCAUACCGGACUCGACAUGACCGAACUAAGAACCGCCAACCGCCGCGACUGCCCAUGAAAACAAGAUCACAAUUACGAAGGAAUUCGAGAGAUCACAAACGAGUAAGAAAGAGAUCAAAGGGCACCUGAUCAUUCUCACUUGGGGCCUGGGACUCGAGAUAGACUCGGAGGUCAUCGUAGCUGAGGAGGGAGAAGUUCUCCGGCCAUUCGCCCGAGAUAAUUCCCUCCGGAUUCUCGUCGAGCUCCAGCCGAAUACUCCCGGUCGGAAACGCCGACGCUCGGCUCUUUACCGAUGUUUUGGUACGCGAGUGCGGCGUCGCGGAGCUCGGGUUGCUAGGGUUGUACUGAUUGAAAUUAAACGAGGGGGAGGUGGAUCUUGCACAAGGGAAAUGGAAUGUGGUGGUGCACGCCAUUUUUUGGGGGGAAGGUUCAGUUUGCAUGUCGCUCGUAGUGGCGAAUGAGAAUAUAUAGACACACAUUAUUUUUGAUGAACCGGGUCUACGUUUUCAAAUGGUGGGCCCUGGGUUUGAUCUUUGAGUUAAACGACCACGACUGGUAGCAUAGGUGUUGCAAUUAUUUUCGUCGUAACAUGCCCUGACGUGGACACCUGGCACGUCCUGAUUGGGUGGCGUGAUUCUUCAUGGCCCCCACCCCCCAUGGGGGUGUGAGUGGAUAAGGUUUGAGAACAAAGUGUAUGCAUAUCCACAGUUAGAAUAGAAGCUGGAAAAUAAUGCUAGAGCCAAGUCUGAGACUGUGAGUGGAUGGUGAAGUAGCGUUUUGGCUUUGAGCAUGCGCAGCAGAGCCAGUUGAACUUGCCCACUUAAUUGUUUACUGUUCAGUAUUCCGGCGGCUACCUAUCGAAACAGGCGGCUGAAAGGAAAAAAAUAUCGUUUAUGAUCAAUAACUGGACUAUCGUGAACUAAGACCUACAAAAAGUUAUUAUUCCGUGUCUCAACAUCAGCUGGUCAUCCAUCACAUUUCAUACACAAGUUAUGUAAUUUCUAUGCGGCAUUAAUUUUGUUUUAAAAUUUUUUUUAAUAAAACAAAUUGGAUGGUGAUUAGGCCCAGAUCCGAAAUACAUAUGCAUCUAUUUGGGCCUACCCUUGGCCCAAACAGAAGUGUAGUAGUAAUAAUGGGCUGUUGGGCUCUGAGCCUUUGUGCCGUGUUUAAAAAUACUCGGGCCGUGUUAGAGCCCCAACACUACUUAUCGUUCACACGAAAAUGCGAAUCUCUCUCUCUCUCUCUCUCUCUCUCUCUCUCUAUUCCUCUCGACGCCUCUGUCGCUCUCUUCUUCUUCUUCCUCUCCACCACCACCUCCACCUCCUCAAGCUUAUCCAUGGCCACCGCCGCCAUUGGAGCCCACCUCCUCCCCCUUUUCCCUCGCCCUAGCCGCGUCCUCUUCGGCCACCGAUCCUUCGCCGCCACCCCCAUCCCCGCCCAUCGCGCGUCGCCAUUAACGCAGCUUCGGAGGAGUUGGCCCUCCAAAUCUAAUCCCUCCUCGCGCUUCUCCCCUGUUGUUGCCUCCCAAUCCAACUUCUUCAGAGGUUCGCUUCACUUGCCCCCAAUUUCGUUCCAUCUAUUCCUCUAAUUCGUUUGCUUCAGUAGGAAUAUGGUUUUAGGAUGGGGCUUUUUUAUAGUGUCUUUUGUGUUUGGUUAGUGACCUUGUAAGAGAUUAUUGGUUCAGAACAAAGGGGAUCGGUUUGAUCCAAACAUUUAAACCUUGCUUAAAUGUUUGGUGUUUGAGCAAAAUAAUGGUACUAAUAUAAUCUCUUUAGCUAUGUAGUUCUUCACAUUUUUGUAUCAAAAUGGACAUGGCGGAUUGCGAAAGGCCAUUUUGUUUCAAUUGGAUUAAAACUAAUUGAAGGACUUGGAUGUGUGUGUGUGUGUGUGUGUGUGUGUGUGUGAGAGAGAGAGAGAGAGAGAGAGAGAGAGAGAGAGAGAGAGAGGUGUUUAGAAAACACGCAUCUUAAGAGUGAUGAAAUUUAGUGUGACUCACGAUGUUAAGUACUACUUAUUAUUCAGAUUUCAAAUAUAAAGCUACCUCUUUGUUGAUUUAUUAGCUUUGUAAGCUUAUCUCACAGUUUUGGUGAUCUUCUUUCUAAAACUUGUUUCAUUUGUCUUUUAAGGCAAUUAGUGCCACCCAUUUCCGCCGUCUAACUUGCGCUUCAAUAUUUCGUUAGUUGUUCGGGCAGCAUGGAGGGUCAGUAAGGAUGUAAUCGAGGCAGGAACCAGUUUUGUGCCUGUACGUUUUUGCUUCCGAAUUCCCACUUUCCGUUGCGUAUUUAGCACCUACUUUUGGUCAAGAAUUUGUUUCUGUUUCAAAAGCACUUGCAAUGAGUUUUACGCACUUGCGCUUUUGUGGCAGGCUGCAGUUCCAAGACCAGUAGCCAGGGUUAGUGUUGCUGUUGUUGCAGUAACCGUUGCCCUCUUUCUACUAAAAUCGUUCCUCUCCACCGCGUUCUUCGUAUUGGUAUGUACUCUUAUCAUAAAUUCCUGAGAAUUGUAAUGGAUUAUGUCAAGGAUAUCAUGCAGCUCUGUUCAAUAUUAGUUGUAAUUCUGGAACUCUUUCAUUUGAAUCGGAGAACUGUUAUGCCUAAUUUCUGAAACAUUUACAAGUGUGUAGCACUUCCUCAUUGAGUAAUCCCUCUGUGAAAAUAAGCAUUUUACUGGUCUUUAACCUUUUAAAUCGGCUUCAUAGACUUUUUCUACUUUAAUUUUUGUAUAAUAACAAGUGACUUCGAGUAGUAAUUAAUGACCACGCUUAUGACUCAUGUUCAAUGUCAACAUUUUUCUCCCUAAAUGUUUACGUAAUUUGCGAUGUGAGCCCCGAACUAUUGCAUACCAAAGAGCUACUUUUGAGUGUUGAUACUUUUGUAGGUUUUUAGGUUGGAGACAUGAUAUUCUUAGUUAAUACUUUGCGGAGAGAUGACUUUUUUUAAUUUUUGGGACCAACAGGCUAUGAUGGCACUCAUAUAUUUCGUCUUCGUCGCAUUCAACACUGAUGAGGUCUCGGGAGGUAGUGGUGGAAGUGAGAGCACAACAUCAACCGAAGAAACCUUGGAAGAAGCUCGGCGUAUAAUGGAGAAAUACAAGUAAAUUUGUUAUAACUUAAUACCAAUUUUAUCGUAUUUUAUUUUUCUUAUCUGUUGUACUUGUAUUCGGCAAUUUGGUAGAGAGUAAGUCUAUAGGCGUAUAGUUGUAAAUGAACAUAUGGAGAAUGGAAAGAUAACCACCUUUUCAUCUUAUCCUCUUUUGUUGUUAAUGUGUGCUUUCUAGUGUUUUAUUAUUGAAUUUAUUAACAGGGCUUCUCUUUUAUUCAAUCAUCCAAGCUAAAUGUAAGUAGAGGCUUCUGCAUGACCCACAUAUUUUUAAGUUCGCGAAGUUGGUCGUGUUUUUGUUAUUUAAAAGAUUGAAUUGAAUAGCAUAAGAUGAAAGAUUAAUGUUGGGAGAGACGAGUACGGGGCAUUCAUGGCAACACAAUGCAUAUGAGUUCUAUGAAGUUGUAUGGAAAUUCUCUUCCAUCACUCAAUUUGAGGAAUAAUUAGAAUUCGCAAGCUUUGAAACUUAAUGCCUUUCAACAUGCAUAACAUGUCUCCCAUAGGGUUGAUACAAACAUAGUUCCUAGCUGCUUCGCUCCUGUGAAGGAGAUUAUAUGCAGAUUUUAUUAGUAAAGCCUUCUUCUAAAGUAACUAUCGUAUCGAUAGCUUUGCGUCGCAUAUUCAACCUAUCUAUUCAUCUAAACUGAUGAUGCAACGAAGGCCUUCGCCGUUGAUCAUGUAGUCAAAUGCCUUGUUGAUAUCUGAGAACGGCAGUCUAUGAGUGAUGAACUUCUCCACUUCCAGUUGCUGCAGACGCAAGAGAGAAAGAAACUCUUUGUGGUCAGCCGACACGAAAAUCACAAAACGAGAAGGCACUAACACUAAAAAACACCCCCACCUUCUUCAUGUACAUAUCGACAACUUUGGGGAGAUCUGUUCGAGGCUUGUAGUUUCCAAAGAAGGUUCCUUUCAGAGUCCUCUCGUUCAGGAAAUUUAUCGGCUUAGUCUUGAACGAGUCAUCUUUGCUGGGCACUCCGACAAGUACAGCAACACCCCAACCCUGCAUAUUUUAGGUAUCUCACAUUAAUUAGCCUGUAAUUCAAAGAGAAGAUUUUCGUAAGCCCAAUGAAAUAAAAAGCUUAGAACUCUGGUUGAGAACUAGAUAUCAGGCAAACAAAAAGUCUAGAGUUCUUGUUGGAGCGGAAAGGUGAAAUGAGCUUUCGAACGCUUAAAAGCAGAAGCUCAAUUUUGAAGUUUCUGAUGCUAUUUUCAGCGGAAAGCUCUUAUAGAAACCAAGUAGAGAGUUAGUGAUUCUUCUUUAAACUAUCCAUUUUGCAGAAGCAGCAGGCGAGAAACAAAACACUAGCCAAGUUACAUACAUCAUGAACACAUUCAAAAGCAGAUAUCAUUGCAUUGAUGUUGCCCGUGCACUCGAUACUCCUGUCAACUCCGCCAUUGGUCAUCUCUGCAAUGACCUGUCCAAAGAAUAGAUGUUACUAGAAGUGGAGAACCUACUUAUGAAUAUGUUGCGGUACACAUUAAACAAGAACAAACCUCUUGCACAGGUUUGCCAUGAUCCUUUGGAUUGACGAAAUCCGUGACACCAAAUUUCUUGGCUGAAACCAUAGUAGAAGACUUAGAAGGAUAUUUAGCAUAAGGAAGAAGAUCUAAAUAAAGAGUGGUUAUAAUAAAAGUAGUCAACACACCUUCGCUGAAUCUGUUGGGAUUCAAAUCAACACCGAUGAUUCUAGAUGCUCCAGCAAUUCUUGCACCUUCCGCAGCCUAUAUAGUAGCAGCACAUAUAACAUUCAGGAACGGAACCUACGAUUGUAAUACUCGAGAACAUUAUAUGGAGAUAUUAGGUACUGUUUCAAUCAAACUUACUGCAAGACCCACAGCUCCCAGCCCAAAUACCGCGACUGUCGAGCCCUUCUUUGGUUUAGCAACAUUCAGAGUAGCCCCCAAACCUGAACAAUACAAAGAAUAUACGAAUGUACUCUACUAAGAAUAGGGCAUUCAUCAGUAAUCGUGCUCAUUUUAUUGUCCUUAUUAAAGCGUCGCUCGAUCGACAGGUAAAUGAUUUGUUCCCUUAAGAUUGGGAUUUUUUGCACACAUACCCCCUCAGUACACAUGUUUUCGCACAUAUACCUCAACUAAACCUUGGAUCAACAAAGCUACCCUCAGUAUAAUCGAUACCGCACAUACUGAUGAAAGGGCAAAAAAGUAUGGAUUGGGGCAAUGUAGAGACCUGUUGAUAUGCCGCAGCUGAGAACGCAGACUUUGUCGAGCGGAGCGGAGGGGUCGAUCUUGGCGAGGCAGCCGGAGUGGAUGACUGUGUAUUCACUGAAGGUGGAUGUGCCAAGAAAGUGAUAUAUGGGACUCCCGUUCUUGAAGAACCGUGCAUUGCCGUCGCUAAGCAUCACGCCCCGAUCGGUGUUGAUUCUAAGAAGGUCGCACAUGUUGCUCUCCUCCGACUUGCAGUGCGCGCACUCCUUGCAUUCUCCGGUGAAGACGGGAAGUACGUGAUCUCCCUUUUUAAGAUCCGUCACGCCUUCACCGACACUCUCCACAAUUCUGUGAUUGGAAUUAACAAAACACGAUACCGAAAAACCGUGGGAGAUAAAAAUUCGUGAAGGAUCCUUCGACAUCUCGACGAUGAGUUGUAAAAUAGAUCAUGAACAGCGUAAAAUGAAUGAAACAGGACAAGCCAGAGAGUUCAUGUGAAGAGUGAACAUACCCUGCUGCUUCAUGGCCGAAUAUGCGCGGAAAUAGUGGAUUUUGCCCCUGAAUAUCAUUCAAUGAUAAAUUCAAUAGAGAAAACGGAAUUGACUGAAAUGCUAGGUUAACCAAAUAAGAAAUUAGCACAAUCGUGGGGAUCGAAAUAAAUGAGUUCAGAAUUAACUCCGAUACUAUGUUACCCACAAGAUCUAAAAAGAGUUGGGGAAUAUAUUUAACAUUCCCACUCACACGUAUGGACAAAUUUAAUCAAAUAGAUGUUAAAGGUAUGGAUCAAACUAGAAUCAGCUCUGAUACAAUGUUUUGUCUCGAAACUAAGAUCUUGUUUAUAUAUCAGAAUAAUAAUAAUAAUAAUCUGGUAGGAUAGUAUAUUUCACUUGCGCGUAACAUCUAGGAAUCAUAAUAGAGAAUCAUGGUGAAAAAUAAAAGAGAAUAUCAGUAAAUAAGAAAUUUGUGGGAACCUUGGCUUCCCAGAAGUAGAGAUCGGUGUGGCAGAGGGAGGUGUACUUGAUCUUCACCCUCACCUCCAUCGCCUGCGGCGGCGCCACCUCCACCCGCUCUAUCACCAGCGGCUUCCCCGCCUCCCACGCCACCGCCGCUAAUAAACAAAAAUUAUUCACCAUUCCAAAAAUUCACCACCCCCCCAAAAAAAAACAAAAAACAAAAAAACAACCCCACUAAAUUAUUCGGUUAAACAAACAAAAAAGAGCUACAAAAAAAAAAAAAAAAAUAUACCCUUGCAGGGAAUAACACGUCCAGCAGUGGCCGCCAUGGCUGGCUAUUUUCGGAGUCUCCUUCAAUGGCGAUGAAACGAAGGUCGAGGAGAGAGUGGAAAAAAAAAAAGAAAAAAAAAAAAGGGAGUGUGGAGGGGAAGGGUGGUGGUAUUUUUUUUGAUCGAUGGGCGUAGUUUUGGUCGAGUAAUUCGUUCGUGGUUUUGUUAUGCUUUUUAUUAAUUAAUUAAUUUUGCUUUUUGAUCCGUGAAACCUUGUGUUGAGUCUAAUCACAGUGUAUACGACUAUAAUACGGUUGGGAUGGGAAAAUGAGACGUGGUGACUCACCAAAUGUUUGGCCCGAGUUGUUUUCUUGGCGUGGGCCCCACCAAUACGUGAUGCUAUUAUUAUUUUUACUUUUACAAAAUUAAGCAACAUUUCAAUUGGCUUUAACUUAAAAAAUCGAUUUUGGAAGAGACCGAGAUCAUUUGGUUAGAUGUAAUUAUAAAUUCAGUACAGUUAGAAAUACAUACAGUUAAAAAUAUAGCAGUUGUAAUUAUAUAUAUUAUAUUUAGUUGGAUGUAAUAGAAAGCGCUGUAAUUAUAAAUAAUUUAUUUAGUUACAUGUAGUUGAAAAAUAAUUUUUAAAAUUUUAUCAUUUUAUAUAUAUGAUGAUGAGAUUAGUUUCAAAAUAAAAAAUUUUAUUUUUUACUUAAAAAAAUAAUUAAGAAGAUAAGCAUACCAUUUACUCUCUUCAAUUAUUACAAUUGAAAUUACGGCUAAUUUAAGCUUAGUUCAAAUUACUGCAGUUGGAUCUUCUGCUGCAAUUUACUGCAGUUGAAUCUUCUUCUGCAAUUCUUACUGCAGCAUUUGAAGUUAAAUAUAUCAAACCAAACACGCAAGAUAAUUUAAGAAUAAUACGAGCUCAUGGAGUUCGAUUUUUAUGCCUCAAAACAUGCAGAGCAUGUUAUUGCUCAUAGAGUGAGUACAAAAUUACAAACAUAGUUCCAGAUUUGCUUCACUCCCGUAAAGGGAGAUUAUAUGCAGAUUUUAUUGGUAAGCACUUCUAAAGUAACUCUCGUAACGGAGUAACGAUUACUUUUUGCGCCGUAUAUUCGGCACAUCUAUUCUUCCAAACUGAUGAUGCAGCGAAUGCUUUGGCCCUUGACCAUGCAGUCGAAUGCCUUGUUGAUCUCCGAGAACGGCACUCUGUGAGUGAUGAACUUCUCCACUUCCAGUUUCUGCGGACGCAAAAGAAACAAGAUCGGGGACUCUUCACGGUCGGUUCAACACGAAAAUCGCUAGAUGAGAAACCACUAACACUUUAAAGACACCCACCUUCUUCAUGUACAAAUCGACGACUUUGGGCAGGUCCGUUCGCGGCUUGUAGUUCCCGAAGAAGGUUCCUUUCAGAGUCCUCUCGUUCAGGAUAUUUAUCGGCUUCGUCUUGAACGAGUCGUCCUUGUGGGGCACUCCGACGAGCACAGCAACACCCCAACCCUGUAUAUUUUCAGAGCUUCUUGUUAGAGUGAAAAGCUGACAUAAACUUCUCAGAGCUGUUCGUUGCUUUGCUCUAGAGAAACUUCAAGUGAAGCGAGAAACAAAAAGACUAGAAUUAUCAAUUACGUACAUCGUGAACACAUUCAAAAGCAGAAAUCAUGCAACCGAUGUUGCCCGUGCACUCGAUGCUCCUGUCAACUCCGCCGUUGGUCAUCUCUGCAAUGACCUGUCCAGAGAAUAGAAGUCACGAGAAGCGGAAACCCUACAUACAUCAAUCGAUCAAUAUUAGGUAACCACACUUAUCGAUCGAGAAUAAACCUCUUGAACAGGUUUGUCGUAAUCCUUCGGAUUGACGAAUUCAGUGACACCAAACUUCUUGGCUGAUAUCACAGUAAAAGAAGAAUUACAGGGAUUUUAGGUGAAUUGAUGUGCACAUAACAAAGAAUGCGAGAUAUUCAAUUACCUUCCUCGAAUCUGCUGGGAAUCAAAUCGACACCGAUAAUUCUAGAUGCUCCGGCUAUUCUCGCACCUUCUGCAGCCUAAAUGGUAACGAUAAAACUAACAUUCAGAAAUUGAAUCGAGGGCCGCGAACUACAAAUGAUAGAUGAAGAUCUUAGGUUCUGUUUCUAUCCAACUCACUGCAAGGCCGACAGCUCCGAGCCCGAACACCGCAACCGUCGAGCCCUUCUUCGGUCUAGCAACAUUCAGAGUAGCCCCCAAGCCUGACAACAGAAAGUGUUACAUCAACUCAAUUCCGAUCAAGCGCAGCAUCAAAUAAUCUGUCUCGUUAGGAUCUUGAAUGUUGAGCCGGUGUCGAGACCUGUUGAUAUGCCGCAGCUGAGAACGCAGACUUUGUCGAGAGGAGCGUAGGGGUCGAUCUUGGCGAGGCAGCCGGAGUGGACGACUGUGUACUCGCUGAAGGUGGAUGUGCCCAGAAAGUGAUAUAUGGGAGUGCCCUUCUUGGAGAACCGCGCGUUUCCGUCGCUGAGCAUCACGCCACGCUCGGUGUUGAUUCUAAGAAUGUCGCACAUGUUGCUCUCCUCCGACUUGCAGUGCGCGCAGUCCUUACAUUCUCCGGUGAAGACGGGAAGUACGUGAUCUCCCUCUUUAAGUUCCGUCACGCCUUCGCCGACACUCUCCACGAUUCUGGGAAUUGGAAUCAACAUAAAACGAUACCGAAAAACUAUUAAAUAGAUCAUGACCGGAGAAAAAGAAAAUGAAUGAAUCAGGGAGAAGUCGGAGAAUUCAUGUGAAAAAUGAACACACCCUGCCGCUUCGUGGCCGAAUAUGCGGGGAAAUAAUGGACUUUCACCCUGAAAAAUCAUUCAACUACGAAUUCAAUAGAGCAGGAUUAUGGAUUUUGAUAAAAUGUUAGGAGAAAGCGAGAAACAAUUAAUCUGAUUUGAUGCAGUGCAGAUGACUGAUAACAACAUUUUCCCAAAUGGUUCAUGGGAGGAGAUGCAUCAUCACGUGUUCUCCUAAUUUGUGGAACGACUCUUCUCACACAGACAAAUAGCGUGAUUUAUAAUAUAUUAUGUGACACAGCAUAGAGAAUGGUGUUUUUGUUAUUUAUAUUAAACACUUUUUUUUUUUCGCUUACUAAAUUUGAAUAAAAUGGGAGAAUAUUAAAUAAUACUUAAAAUCUGGUGAAACUCGAACUCAUGAUUUCUUACUUUAAUAUCAUAUUAAAUUAGCCGAUAGUUUACACUUUACUUUUUUGUAGUUAAAAACAUAAAUUUAACAUAAAUUUAAGUGUUAUGACAUGAAAUUGCUGUGCGUAUCGGACUGUGUAGAUUAAUGAUGUGCCAAUACAUAAUGUCAUGAAUUAUUUAUUUUUUUUAGCAACAAAAUUUUUUAAUUGCUUAUUAUAUAUCUUUAUCAAAUCUUUUAAGUUUUACUGAGAAAAUUAAUUGUCAAAUUUUUAAAAAAAUGAGCUAUACUAUUGACACGGGACAGUAUUAUGUCGAUAUCUUAUUAGCACGACAAAACUGCACAGUGGAUACAGUUCGUGUUGAUGGACAUUUAAAUUCUUGGUUUAUGAAAUUUAUCACUUUACUACUACGACAUCUAGCGAUAAGUUCUAACGGUUGAACAAAAAUACAAAUCAUAAAAUAACGAAAUAAAACUUUUCAACGACAAAUCAAAAAUACGCGCGAAAUGGUAAGUAAAGUUUACCCGAAAAAUAAAACCAUCUCCAAAGAGAAAAAAAAUAGCAAAGAGCAGUAGUACAUGCCUUGGCUUCCCAGAAAUGGAGGUCCGUAUGGCAGAGGGCGGUGAACUUAAUCUUCACCCUCACCUCCGUCGCCUGCGGCGGCGCCACCUCCACCUCCUCUAUCACCAGCGGCUUCCCCGCCUCCCACGCCACCGCCGCUAAUAAACAAAAAUCAUUUACGAAAAGGGUAAAUUAUUCGAUUAAACAUAUAAAAUAAAAUAUAUUACAAUGAUGAUGAUGAUGAUGAUGAUACCCUUGCAGGUGAUAACACGUCCAGCGGUUGGCGACAUGGUUGUAAAGAAGGUCGAGAUGGGGUGCGGAAUUAAUGGAGGAUGCUUGGAGAGGUGAAGCAGAGGAGGGUGUGGAGCAAAAGAGAAGCAAAAGAGAAGAUUAAUGGAGAGUGGUAGUAUUUUGAAUAGAUGGGAGAGGAGAGUACUCGUAGCUUUACUGACUCUCUCUCUUGCAUUUAUAGGAUUCUGACGUGGCUCGAACUCAUAAACUCCUGAUCAAAUACCAUAUGAAAUAAUUAUUGUACGAUAAAAUUUUAUAUUUAUAUAUUUUUAUAUUUAAUAUUUUUCAACAAAAUCUCCUUGAGGAGUCUUUACUUCGCUACCAUGCAUCGGUUUUAAUUAUAUUCAAAAACUAUAAUUUUCUCCUCCAAAAUUUAAAUCAAAAAUUUUAAAUUUUAAUGUUGAAAAAACUCAAUAAAUAUUUUUAAUAAAGAUAAACUGAUACGUUACAGUAAAUUAUAAUUUUGUAAAUAUAAUCCUCUAACUUUGCACUGAAAUUUUAUCUGUAUUUAUCAUACUCUUUUAUUUAUUUAAUUUCGCAUUUCUUGGGCGGUUGGGGACUUGGGGUGGAGCUGCCAAGUGUGGAGACUCUUUUUCGUCGCACACCGCACGUGUAAUGCAACGUUAGCAGUUUGCUGAACAAAAAAAACAUUAAAUUACUUUUAGGGGAGAGAGAUGGUGAAACUAUUUUGUCUUUUUUUUAAUAUAAGGUAAUUAAAAUUUUGAAAAUUUUAUGUUUUUUUUUCUAUGUGAUUGAAGGAUAGUAGUUUGAUUUUGAUAAUUUAGAAGGUCCUGACAUUUGUGAUUUAAAAGAAUAAUAAUAGAGUUAUCAAUUUUAAAGAUUUGAAUAAGUAAUUUGAUGAUAUUAUUUUAUAUGAUGAGAAUUUUUUUGUGACGUAAAAGUUUAAUUUGUGGUCGAUAAAAAUUUUAGCAUUCAUAGUUUGCUAGAAUAGUGCAUUACACAUAUAAGUUAUUACGUUCUAAUAUUUGACUAUAUUCUUUUAACCUCUAAUAACAUUACAAAAUCUCCAUUUAUUUCAAAAUCUAAACAUGUAGGAUCUAAAUCAAAUAUGUAGCACAACCAGCUAAGAACUCGAUUAUUGGUAUACUUGUGUUAAAUAUAAAAAUGUUUAAACACCGUUCUCUAACCGCUUAAAUUUCGGUUGUUUCACAUGGUAUCAAAAUAGCAGGUCCUGAGUUCGAGUUAUACCAGACUCCUAGCAUAUUAAUUUUCUCCCAUUUAAUUCAAACCCACGUCAUGAGCCAACAAAAAAAUUUCCGAGCCCAGAUGUGAGGGAGAAUGUUAAAUAUAAAAAUAUAUAAACACCGUUCUCUAAUAGCUUAAGCUUUUAGAAUGCAAUGAUUGUUACACAUGGUAUCAGAGAAGAAGGUCCUGAGUACGAGUCACGCCAGGCUCCUAGCAUAUUAAUUUCUCUCAUUUAAUUCGAGCUCAUGUCAUGGAUCGACUAAAAAAAUUUUUGAGCCCAGACGUAAGGAGGGGUGUUAAAUAUUAAAAAAACCAUAUUCAAACUUAUCUAAAGUUAGUAUUGUUUUUGUGAUUAUGAUUAAUGAUGAAUGGCGCAUGUCACGUAGGAGACGAUCGCACCAAAUUUUUGAUCGUUUCGUUUGGACGGUCCGAUCAUCCUUGAUACGUGUCCUUCUCUCCCUCGGGAGUGCAAGAGCUGGCUCGGGCGCGUGGACCAGUUGGAUUAAAAACUUUAUACUUUUUAUUAUUUUAACAUAAGCCCAUCGACACGUAACAGUUGAACCCGAGAACCGCUCCCAUAGUUUUCGAAAUAUGUAAUAACACUUUUUGAGUUGCCUACCAGGGUUUCUAACACUACUACAGAUCCAACCAAAAUUUCAUCCUUUUACAUUAGUAUUACAUUGUAUAAAUAACUUAUUUACCUCACUUCUACACGUCGUGCUUCAAUAGCAUUAAUUUUUAAGAAAAAGUUAAAAUGUACCGAGGCUGAAAAUAUAAGACCAUCAGAUUUUGAAUUUAAAAUCUCGAAUACCAACUAUCGAGUUUUUUACCAUCUGUGGUCAUAUGUUUCGGAUGCUUGGAAUGCCUUCUCUUUACUACUACAAAAUAUUUUUACGCCUCCCACUUACUGUCCCAUUAGAGAAUAGAAUUGGUUCGAAAUAAAACCCGGAAAAAAAAUUCAGAUUCAUUUGCAGAUUCAUUUGCAUCCUUAGUGCUCACGGCCUCGCCCCAAAUUUCCUUGGGCCACGGUGACGAUGGGUCUCAAAGCGCUGUUUAUUUAUCUUUAUUUGGCCCAACCCAAGUACGUUAAUGGGUAGGGCUUUGAGAGAGUUGAAACCGCAUUGGGCCGCGGCCGACAUUGGACAGCAAACAGGAAAACUUAGAGAACAAACGGGGCGGAUACGGAGGCGUAGGGGUGGCAAUCCAGAUCGCUGCUCGCGAGCCAGCUCGUGUUCGGCUCGAAAUGAGCUCGAGAUCAGCUCGCUCGUUUAGUAAACGAGCCGAACACGAGCUGAAUUUUUCAGCUCGUUUAAUAAACGAGCCGAACACGAGCUUGGGUUAGCUCGCUCGUGUUCGACUCGAUAACAGCUCGAGUACAUAUAUUUUAUAUUUAUAUAAUUUAUUUAAUUUAUAUUUUUAUAUAUAAAUAAUUAAUUAUAUAUAAUAUAUAUUUUUAUUAUUUAAUUUUUAGCAAAAUAAAAAUAUAAAUGCGAGCUUAAUUAUAGAAAGACUUCAUUUAUAUGUAAAGUUUCAACUAUUAGAUCAAAGUCUAAUGUAUAAAAUUUAUAAAAUUUUUUUUUAUACAUAUUUAAUCUAAUUCUUUUUAAUUUAUUGUCGUUGACGUACAGUUCGUGAGCCAGCUCGCUAUCGGCUCGUUUAUUAACAAGCCGAACAUAGACUGAAUUUUUCGACUCGAUAUCUUAACGGCCGGCUCAUGUUCGGCUCAAUUAAUAAACGAGCCGAACACGAGCUCGCUUGUGCGUGUCGCUCGUUUACACCCAUACGGAGGCGGAGAGGAAUCCUACCUGCCAUCCAUUUGGGGAUGGGAAAAAUAAGGGAUUAUUUCCACACCUAUUCCCAAACAAAAAUAAAAAGUGAAUAGCUAUUCCAUCCUUAAAUUUAAAUUUUAAAUUUUAUAUAUUUAUAAUUUAUAAUCUUAGAAUUAAAAUUUUAUAAUUUUAAAUUCUAAAUUUAAAUUAAAAUUUUAAAAUUUUAAAAUUUUAAAUUUGAUAUUUAGAUUUUAAAUUUAGAUUUAAUUUUAAAUUUAAAUUUUGAAUUUUGAAUUUUUUGAAUUGGGAUUUAAAAUUUAAAUUUAUAAAUUAUAUAUUUAAAUUUUUAAUUUUAAAUAUUUAAAUUUAAGUAAUAAUAAUAUAAAGGAUAAUAUUAUUAUUUUUUAUUUAUAACUAUUCAUUAUUCUUUUUAUUUUAUUUUAUCUUUUUAAAUGCUAUUUUUUUAUUUUUUUAAAAUAAUUUAAUUUUUAUCUAAAUAUAAAAUUUGUCUAUUUUAUCUUUAUAUCUAAUUUUUUUUAAUCCCCAAUUUCAUUUGGAAUGGGUCAAAAGUUCAUAACUAAUAAAGAAUCUGUCAAAUGCGGGUACGAACAAUACAAGCGUCAUAAAUGACGGACGUACAUUCCCAAUUUCCGAAGCAACAAAUUAUAGAUGCGGCGCGCUUUUGUAGCGGAUACACGCCAGUGUUCACACUUCACACUCUAUUGUAAGAGGAAUUCUAUACUGUCAUAUUUGUACCACGUCAUCAAUAAUAAGUUAAUUAUAUAUUUUUUUAAAUAAAAGUAUAAUAAAAAUAUUUUUUUAUAAUUAUGAUGGGACAUAUAUCUUUAAAAGUAGAUAUUUGAUUGAUUUGUUACGCCACGUCACUAAUAUAUUCGUUGCAUUCUAGAAUUUUUUCUAUUGUAGAUAUUAGUUUUAACUGAUCAAAACAUACUUGGUGUCCCUGGAGCAAGUGACUAAGGACUUGAUGGUUGAUAUUCGAGACCUAAGUUCGAAUUCUAGUUGAUUCACAUUUCUGGCUAAGUUUAUUUCUAAAUAAAAUAAAUGAAGCGGGUAGCGUGCUAUCUAUCUCUCAAAAAAAAAAAAAAAACAGAUCAAAACAAAUAAAUAAAAUAAAAAUAUAUACUAUAUAAAAAUUAGUAUAUACUAUUAAAUAAGAUGUGCUAAAAUUAUUAUUAUUAUAUUUUGAAAUAGAGUUUGGGUAUAGUAUUUUUUAAAAAUUCAAGCAUUUGAUAUUUGUAAAAUUUUCACUAUUAGAUUUAUUCUUUUAAUUAAUUCUGCCUUUUAUAUCAUGCUAUUCUAUCAAUCAUCCACUCAAUUCUAUCAAUCUAUAAACACCAAUAAGUUGCCUCUUUUAAAGAACCCAAUUUUUAAAGUAAAUAUUAUUUUUUAUCGUGCUUUCUUGCUCUUCUGUCUAGUAAUUUUAAAUUUGAGUUAAGUCUCCAUCUAAUUCUUAUAUAUAUUUUUAAUUAUAAAUAUUUGAGGUAUUUAUACAAAAUUUUUUUCUUUUUCGUAGCAACUAUGUACAUAAGAGAUACUACAAACCACACUUUCUGUGUCAUAUGAGAAAAUAAAUGAUCUAAUUGACCAUUUAUAUAAUAAUAAUUUAAAUAUUUUUUUUUGUUUUUGUAAUUUUGUGAGAUAUGAAAAAACUUGUUAAAUAUUGCGUGUGUAUAUGUAUACUGUAUACAUAGAGAGAGAGGAUAAGUACUCUCCUAUCGUCCCAUGUGAUCAUUUAUUAUCCAUUUAGAUCUCCUCACGGAACCAGUUAUGCGUACAACCGGACUCUGACUAUUUAUGCUGCCUCAUUAUUACAGGCUACUACUUUUGGUGCAUACACACAUCCCACUAAGGUGACACGUGGCUUCAUUUUAUACGCCUUCCUAGCUCCCCGCCAUAUUAUGAGAAAUUUUUGGCUGGACCGGGCUCACCUUCCAACAGUGGACCAUCUAAAAUCACCUUCUACACAUAUGUAGUCCCUUUAAAUCAUCACCGUUUAAAUGGUCGUUUUUCAAUUUUUUAAAAGGAUUAGAAGUUUAGUGGACGGCUGUGGUUCCGACGAAGAACGGUCCAUCGAUGACGUGGUGAAUAUAGUUUAAUGAAAAAUAUCAGUGUAUAAUCAUUGAAAAGCCGAGAAAAGAACCAGCGGGAUAGUUUAUCCGAUGGCGUACACGGUACACGGUACACCCUAUCGUGCGGCCGCAUAAUAAAUAUUUAUGCGUGCGUCUGAGGAUGUAAUCCUCGUAGAGAUAUAUAAACGCCCCAUCAUCGAAUCCCCCGACCAUUUCCGCCCGAGUAAGCGUGUGAAUCUCUUCAUUGUCCAAAUAAUAAUAUCUCCCUCGCCUACGAGGAGAAGCGGCGCGAGAUCGAGAUCGAGAUCUCAGAGGAAUCGCGCGAUGGAGAAGGCGAUCGAGAGGCAAAGGAUCCUCCUCACCCACCUCCUCCCAUCAUCAUCAUCAUCAUCGUCAUCUUCGAUUUCUCCGAGCGAUUCGUCGCUUCUCGCGGUAAUCGAUCGUUUUCUCCUCUCGUUUUCGCUGUUUUUGGCUUGGAUUAGGGUUUGGUUUUUGUUUGAUCGGUCGCCGAGGCUCUGUUCCUGAUUGGUGAUUCCGAUCCUCUGUUUACGGAGAUUAGGCUCGAGUUAUUUAUUUAUUUAUUACGAUUUUUCCCUCUUUUGGUUGUGAAUUGGGUGGUUUAUGAGAGGAUUUGGAUGCUUUCCACAGGCUUCGGUUUGUGCUGCGGGUGAUAGUGCUGCUUACCAGAGGAGUUCUUCGUAUGGAGACGAUGUCGUCGUCGUGGCGUGAGUAACUUUACAUUUUUUAGCAACUUUUGUUUUGAUGGAAAAUUUGGAUCUAACGGGAUCAAUAAUUGAUGUUAACCGUGUGCUUCCUUUGGAAAAUCCAGGAUUAAAUUAGUACAAAUAUGAGGUCCAUGUAAAUCUAAGAAAACUACAAAAAUUUAGAUAUUUGUAGUGGGAGAAAGAUGGUUUUCUCUUUUACGUUUUAGGCCUAUUAUUGAGACUCCACCUUAAAGAAGUGAACGGAUAGCUAACCCGUGUCAUUUUCGGUGUUCACUAUCAAUCAUCAGUUAUGCGAAAAUAUUUGUCUUGUUUGGGACCAAAGCAAAUUCAAGGUUAACAUUGCGGCAAUCAAAUGUACUGGUUUAUCGGGCACUUUUUCUGUUGAAUUCAAUGUCCCUGGGUUUAAGUUUCAGGCGGCUUUUCCAUGGUUCAUGCUUUAAUAUUAAUGCUCUUUUUGUAUUAUAUGUGCUCUGAUGUAUAUAAGAUUUGGCAAACACUUACCUUUUCUUCGUUUAGUUCGUGCUCGUUAUUCUAAUAUCUUAUUGUUAUUAUACUAUCUGUUAUAGCCAUCCAGUAAUAUGAGUUUCUGCUGUUAGCUGAAUCUAUUCAUGGUAAGCUAUAUUCCAUCCUGGUCCUGCUAAUUUGCCCUCUUUUUCCAUUCUGCGGUGCCAGUGCUUACCGAACUCCUAUCUGCAAGUCCAAACGAGGGGGUUUUAAGGAUACAUAUCCUGAGGAUCUUCUAACUGCUGUUCUCAAGGUCCAGACUUUCCUGAUUCGUUUCGUUUCGUUAUAUUUGUUGUCUAUAGAGUUUGUUUACUUCGACUGGUAUGGUUUUGUAAUUUUUUUUUUUUCUAACCAACUUCUCUUGUCCCUUCAAUCUUCGCUUUUAGGCACUUUUGGACAAUACUAAACUGAAUCCAAGUGAUGUUGGUGAUAUUGUGGUUGGCACCGUCUUGGCACCAGGUUCCCAAAGAGCAACAGAGUGCAGGAUGGCAGCUUUUUAUGCUGGUUUUCCAGGUAUAGUGGUUUCUUUUGUUGGUAUAAGCAAAGAACGGCCUGUUAAUUGUAGUACUGAUUGUUUUCCUUUGUCAUGCUAGAAACUGUUCCUGUUAGAACAGUGAACCGCCAAUGUUCAUCUGGUCUUCAGGCAGUUGCUGAUGUUGCUGCUGCCAUAAAAGCUGGUUUCUAUGACAUAGGUGAGAUUUCAGUCUGUUAUUAUCUGCUGUAGUUUCAUGGUUAAUUAUCUAUAAUCUCCUGUACUAUGGUCUUCUAUGCAGGAAUUGGAGCUGGACUAGAAUCAAUGACCAUGAACAGUGUUGCUUGGGAAGGAUCAAUAAAUCCGAAAGUAUGCUUCUCCUUUAGUUUGUCCUUAGAUCCUUAAAGCUAGCCCUGUGUUUUUGUGAUUCGAUAUUGAGUUACCGCUAAACGGAUUCAUCCUUCUUUGUCAGGUUAAUGCAUUCCAAAAAGCACAGGAUUGUCUUCUUCCCAUGGGAAUCACUUCUGAGAAUGUUGCACAUCGGUUUGGUGUGACCAGACAGGAACAAGAUCAGGCUGCUGUGAGUUUCAAGGAUCUUAAUUACUAAGCUUCAUAUUUUGAUGCCUCUUUCGUUCGGAAAUACGUAAAUUUCUUCCUUCACUGAUUGUCAGGUUGAAUCUCAUAAGCGAGCAGCUGCUGCAACCGCUUCCGGUAAAUUUAAAGAUGAGAUAGUUCCAGUGACAACAAAGGUAAAUGACUGAGCCAGAUAGUCUAUAGUGAUUAGAAAACUUUGCAUAAUUAUUAGAUGGGGAGCAAAUAUCCAAUUUAAUAAAAAGUAGGUGGGUGGUUCUGUUAGUUUUGCCACCACGGAAUAAUAGAAGUGAGAAGUGUAGAAACCUCAUUGAUAGCUAUAUAGAUAAUCAAAUAGGAAAAUACAGUUCUUGUAGCAGCUUCUCUAACUUCAAUUGACAUUUUUGGCCUCAUUAAUAGUGUAUGUUUAGGACUUAAAGUUACUAAGUUUGGUAUAAUUGAUAUCUCUUUGCAGAUUAUAGAUCCAAAAACUGGAGAAGAAAAACAAGUUACAAUUUCUGUUGAUGAUGGAAUAAGGCCAGAGACAUCGUUAUCCGGUCUGGCAAAGCUCAAACCAGUAUUUAAGAAGGAUGGGAGCACGACUGCUGGUAUUAUGGCACACUUCUCAUGUUUAUGAAGCUCAGACAUGUACAUUGUCUGUUUCCUUAUAAUAUUUAAUUGUGUAGGCAAUUCUAGUCAAGUAAGCGAUGGUGCUGGAGCAGUCCUCCUCAUGAGGAGAGACGUAGCAAUGAGGAAAGGAUUUCCUAUAUUUGGAGUUUUCAGGUUUUACUCUAUCCUGUCAUAUAUAUCUCUAUAAUCUUAGCAUUAGUAACUAGCGAUGCUUUUUGGUUUUUUGAUAAACAUAAUCCCUUGCAGAGCUGCAUCAGCUAAGUGGUAAAUUUGUUAAGAAUAAAAGUUUUUAGGACCCUGAUCUUAUUGUACUGUUCUUUUUUUCUGAUGUUGUGUGGUUCCAACCUCCAUUACCUUUUCUUUGUAUCAAACAAAUCAUUGUCUUCUUUUGCUGACUAGACAAUUGUGUCACUUUAACAUAACAUUGCAUCAUGUUCCCUUCCAGUUGAAAAGCAUAAGUAAUCCACCCCCACCCCUUGAAAAAACAAAGAAAUAAAAAAAAAAAUUUAAAAAAGAAAACUCCCCGCUAAAAAGGAUAAAAAUUGGGUGUUGGUGGUUGGGAAAUUGCUCCAUUUGCUCAAGAUUACUGGUGUAGAUGAUGGCAUCGUUGAGUUAACUGAAUUGAUGGAGAUCAGGGGAAUAUUUAUAGGAGCUUAUUGGUGUAGCUGAACUAUUUUCUGGCUUAUUCAGGAGCUUUGCUGCCGUUGGAGUGGAUCCUGCUGUUAUGGGCGUUGGUCCUGCUGUCGCAAUUCCUGCUGCAGUAAAAUCUGCAGGUCUUGAAAUUGGAGAUAUUGAUCUUUUUGAAUUAAAUGAGGUAACAUUCGGCUAAUAGUGGUUCUUAUCCUUCUUGUAAUCUUGUUUGUUAUAGUUCUAAAUGUUUCUAUGCAUUUUCUGUAGGCUUUUGCGUCUCAAUUUGUAUUCUGCUGCAAGAAGCUGCAGCUGGAUCCAGCAAAAGUAAAUGUGAAUGGAGGAGCAAUCGCUCUUGGGCAUCCUUUGGGUGCAACAGGUAUUUGCGACUGAUAUAAUGCUUAUUAAGGGUCUUAUAUAUGUGUUCUAAGUGUUAGAAAUUGGGUUGAUUUUUUGAUGCCUUAUACUGUUGUUAAGUUGUUGAUUGGUGCGAUAUGUAAACAAACAUAAAAUUGCUGUGUUGUGGUACUGGGAGAUUUUGCAGUACAGUGCUUUGACUUAAAAAAUGCUAGCCAUAGUUUUAGUAAUGUCCCCAGAAUAAGAAAAAUGAUACGUGGAGAUUCUUAAGCAGAAUUUGCCUUCUUUCAUAAUUGAGGUGCUUCAUUGGUUGUUCUGCCUUUGUUGUAACUUAUUAAUGUGAUAAUUGAAUAUGGUGGCAUUUCCUUCUUAUAGGAGCCCGUUGUGUGGCCACUCUGCUGAACGAAAUGAAGCGUAGAGGAAAGGAUUGCAGAUUUGGUGUUGUCACCAUGUGCAUCGGUCGGUGCUCUCUCUGUCGCUCUCUCACACACAUAUUAGCAUAAUGAUUUUACAUUUUACCCAAUUGUCUCGUGUAAAAUGCAGGAUCUGGAAUGGGGGCUGCAGCAGUUUUCGAAAGAGGUGACGGUGUUGAUGAACUCUCCAAUGCCAAGAAGAUCGAAUCCCAAAAAUGGUUAUCGAAGGAUGCUGUGUAAAGCCCUUCAUUUUAAGUUUUGCAAAAGCGUUUUUAAUAAAAAACCAAACUGAGAAAUUAGGUAAAUUAUGGCUUGGGGCUGAUAUGAAAUAUGUCUAUAAGCCCAUGCGAUGGACUCGAAUAGUACAUGAAUACACCACUCAAGUGACCGAACAAAUAACCUUCGUGAUCUUUACUCAUAUGCAUUUGUUAAGGCACAUGUAGAUGCCUCGAUUCUACUCUUUGUUUAUGCACUGCUCAAGCAUAAAUAGCCAUAAGUUUCUUAUGAAGGUUUGAAUAUACCUUUUUUUUUUUGGUUUGAGAAAUAGUAGCUUGCUACCGUUUCAUUUAUCAAGAGCUUUCUUUUAUAUUACUAUAUACCGUCUGUUGGGUGUCUGUUCUGAUGAGAUUUGAUGAGUUUACACUUGGUUUCAUGAUCUAUAUAUUGCCUCCGAUGUGACUCAGAUUUUCUCUCUAAUGUGAAUGAGGCAUAUGAUGAAUCUUGUUUUUAAUUUUUAAAGGUUUUCGAAGGUGACUUGAGCCAAAAUUUGGGACGUAUGCACGAUGGUCCUUCUGGGAGUGUUCGUCUGAAUGGUAUGGUUUCCGGAACUUCUUCUUUUGGUAGAAUGAAUAAGAUCAGCAAAUGCUAUGUUGUGGAAAGUUUCAACUUUGUGGAAUGUUUGAAAAAAGUUUCCAAGCUUUGAGAGGGUGAUUGAUAACUAGAAAUACUUUUACACUUUUACGGCCAAUUGCCGUGUAUCUUUUUUAGCAAUAUUAACACAAUCCAAAUAUAUAGUCAUAUAGAAAGUCCCAAUGCAUAAAAGCUGGUGCUCUUAGGAAUAUACCAACACAAUCCAGAUUUGGAUCAGGCGUGCGCCAUAAAGAUGGACCAAGUUUAGCCCAUCCUACUCUAACAUUAUAGAGUUUGUUAAGGCCCAACUUUAGCCCAAUAUGGAGGAUUCUAUUGGCCUGGGACAUCUAAUUGGGUACAAUUUGUCCUGGCCCAACCGGUUGAUACCUUCCUUUGUUAGCCACCUAACCGGAAUUUUGUCAAUAAAUUGACAUAGGUAUAUUGAUGAUAAAAUUAAGAAAAUGAUAUCAUAAAUAGGCGGUUCUCAUUGAGACAGUUUAGAAAGCCAUAUAAUUCAUCCCGCACCUUAAUAUUAAAGAUCUGCUCCAACUCAAAAAUUUACCUCUCAUAUCUUACCACCGCAACGCGCGGAUUUAGAAGUGACCAGUAAAUUGAAUAAAGUGUUUUCACUUUGAUAUGUAAGUAUAUAUCAAGCCCAAAAGUUUACUAAUGGCAAUAAUUAAGAAGGAAUCUAUGAAUAGUGUUACUUCUAUGUAUAAAUUUGUUAUGAGGACGGAAACUAAUAUGUCUAGAGCAAUUUUUAAUACAAAAACUUGCUUAGAAUAUAUUAAUUUUAUUGGGGAUUAUCCAUAAAUUCUACAAUUUACCGAUUUCUACGUCAACAAAAGGCAAAACAUAUAGUAAUAUAUUAUCCUUACUUUUAACUUUUUAAAAAUAUAAGUGAGUUUAAGGAUUCUCUAAUAAUAAUAACAAGAACGUGAUCUAUCCCUAGGCACAAAUCAAUAGUCCCCUAAACCUCUUGAUUUGGGCACGUAGCCACUCUAUGCUCCCUAUUUUCAUUGUGUUUGAUGCAGCAUAGCUUAGGCUAUAAGAAGUACAUAUAUUCGUGCGCGCGCGCACACAUACACAUAGACAUAUAUAUAUAUAUAUAUAAAAUAAAAGUGAAGGUGCCCAUUUGAUUUUGACAAAUACAAAUAGAGACCUCAAUUUGAUAAGAGCGAGGGUCCAAUAUAGAGUAGACAAAAAGAAUAUAUUCGAAAUGGACUGGUAACUACUUACUCCCAUGAUUCUCUUUUAUGGUCCAUUUUGUAUGAAAUCGACCUAAUUAAAGCCGAAGCUUCAAAUUAAAGUUUCUACUUCUUUCUAGAAUAUAAAGUUUAUCUCAAAAAGAGAAAAAAAAAAAAAAAACUUUUCGAGUAAGUUUAUUCAAGUUGUGGUUUUGCAAUAACCUCCCAUGGGGGGCUACAUUGGUCCUUACCACAUUUGAGCUCUAUUUAAGCUCAUUUUGCUCCUCUAGGUUAAUAAUAUCAAUGUAAUGAUUUAGCUUGUUAGGUUCUUUUAGUUGGAAAGCACUUCCUAAACAAGCUUAAAUAUCCAGUGUUUUUACUCUGGAAUGGUGAAAUUUAAGAUCCGUUUGAUAUUGAGAGCUAUCUAACAUUUUUAGAUAGAAAAAAAUUGAAGCAAACUUGUACAAAAAUAUUUUUUUACACAUUUUAAUAAAACAGCAAAAGUUAUAUCGUAAUUAAAUCAAAACAAUCUAUACAAUGUAUCUGAAACAAACAAAAUAUUUUUUUCUCGUACUUGCUUCCUGUAACGGAUGCUCAAUUAUAAUACUUAAUUCACGACCUUCUAGAUUCUAAAUUCAAAUCUCGUUAUAUUCCAAAAACAAAAAACAAAAUUGCACACUUGUAGCCUACAUAAAACCUUCAACAAAAAAGAGUGGAGAAAAAAAAAAAUAAAAAAAAAAAAUAUAUAUAUAUAUAUAUAUAUANUGGGGGACCGUUAUUGGCCCGGGACCGCUUCCCCGCGCGCAUCGAGCGACAACCCCCCGGGGGGGAAAGUGGGCCCGGGCCCAGCACGUGAGCAACCAACCGUGUGGCGCAUGCCACGUGGGCCGACACAGGUUCGGCGAGCGUGGACUCCCGCGUGGUGGGGCCCAUCCUCUUCCACUGGACGGCUCAGAUUCAGCUUCGGCGCACGAAAAUCAACGGUGACAACUCGAUUAUUAUUCCGUGUUAUUGGCAUUUUCUCAGCUUUUAUUUAUUUAUUUAUUUAUUUAUUUUAAUCUAACCUGUAUUAAUUAAAAUUUAAUUUAUUUUAAAUUUAAUUGUUCCUUUAAUUAACUAUUAAUCUCUAAUUAUUCUGUACAGAAAACAAAAGCGAAAAUCCAUUUCAAAACGUACGAAGGGUUUCCAUAAACUAUUCAUUACGUACCUUAGGUAUCACAGCGGAAACCUUAACCACCGUCUGAUCAUCGGCGAACGGUGUUCCUCCGACCGAUCGCAUAAACAUGUUUAUGCGCGUUGUCGGACGAUAACGACGAGGCGGGUUGGGAGUCCGUGGGGUCGCCAUCGAUGGUGCGGACGGUGUUGCGGGGGAGGGGGACAGCGCACCGCCCAGAUGCUGCGGGGGACCCGCAUAAAAGGAGCGGUGCGGGAGGGGUGGGGGAUAUUCGCUAUGAUGAGCUCGAGAUACGCCAUAAUUAAUUAUCAUUUGAUUAAUGUAUGUUUAUUUAGGUGCCCGAGAAAAAAUUAUAGCCCACAUUUUUAGCCUUAUAUAUAUAUAUCAUACACAGAGAGAGACAGAGAGAGAGACAGUGACGUUACUAUGUUAUCAGAAGCAUGUGAGCCUUCCGUACUUCCAGCUCGUUUUCGAUAUUACGACUUUCGAAUCGUCGAUCGGCUCCACUAAACUUGAUCUAGAGUAUAUGAAGUACCUAGAAAAUAAAUUAUAUGAUUUUUCGAUAUCAUAUAAAAUAGAGAUCGAAUGGACUUAAAAUCAAUAAACUUUCAAUGGCAUAUUAUCAUGUCUUGUAAGAUUUUUAUUUCCAGCCGUUGAUUUUGAGCUCCUUAGUGGCCAUUGAAAUUUAUUGAUUUUAAGCCCAUUCGAUCACUAGGCAAAUGAUAUCGAAAAAUAAUAAAAUUUAUUUUCUAGGUACUCCAAAUACUCUAGAUCAAGUUUAGCGGAGCCGAUCGACGAUUCGAAAGUCGUAACAUCGAAAACGAGCUGGAAGUACGGAAGGCUCACAGUGAUGAUAAAAAUAAAGAAUGAUAGAUUUGGACUACAGUGAUGAUAAAAAUAAAGAAGGCUAAAAAUGUGGGCUAUAAUUUUUUCUCGGGCACCUAAAUAAACAUACAUUAAUCAAAUGAUAAUUAAUUAUGGCGUAUCUCGAGCUCAUCAUAGCGAAUAUCCCCCACCCCUCCCGCACCGCUCCUUUUAUGCGGGUCCCCCGCAGCAUCUGGGCGGUGCGCUGUCCCCCUCCCCCGCAACACCGUCCGCACCAUCGAUGGCGACCCCACGGACUCCCAACCCGCCUCGUCGUUAUCGUCCGACAACGCGCAUAAACAUGUUUAUGCGAUCGGUCGGAGGAACACCGUUCGCCGAUGAUCAGACGGUGGUUAAGGUUUCCGCUGUGAUACCUAAGGUACGUAAUGAAUAGUUUAUGGAAACCCUUCGUACGUUUUGAAAUGGAUUUUCGCUUUUGUUUUCUGUACAGAAUAAUUAGAGAUUAAUAGUUAAUUAAAGGAACAAUUAAAUUUAAAAUAAAUUAAAUUUUAAUUAAUACAGGUUAGAUUAAAAUAAAUAAAUAAAUAAAUAAAUAAAAGCUGAGAAAAUGCCAAUAACACGGAAUAAUAAUCGAGUUGUCACCGUUGAUUUUCGUGCGCCGAAGCUGAAUCUGAGCCGUCCAGUGGAAGAGGAUGGGCCCCACCACGCGGGAGUCCACGCUCGCCGAACCUGUGUCGGCCCACGUGGCAUGCGCCACACGGUUGGUUGCUCACGUGCUGGGCCCGGGCCCACUUUCCCCCCCGGGGGGUUGUCGCUCGAUGCGCGCGGGGAAGCGGUCCCGGGCCAAUAACGGUCCCCCACUAAUGGCAUUUUCGUAAUUAUGCCCGAAACCAUAUCCGUUGGUUUGUAUUAGAAGCGGGCCCCGCCCAGUAAUGGUCCCCCACUAAUGGCACUUUUGUAAUUAUUGCCAAACAAAAACAUAUGCAUUGUGUAUAUAUAUAUAUAUAUAUAUAGUGUGAGAUUUUAGCCAUUAGAUUUACUUCUUGAUUACUAAUAGCCCUUAGAUCAAACACUAUUUCACCUACCACCAUCAUCUCAACCUCAUAUAUCUCCACCCAAUGGCUAAAAACUCAAAAGCACCACCUCCAUGGUGCUUUUGAGAGUAUUCUAGCUCAACUAUAUAUAUAUAGCAGGGCUGCUGUGCUCUCAGGAGCACGGAGGCCUCCGUGCUCCUGAGCCGUUUUCGAUGAUGGGGUUUCCGAAUCGAUGAUCGGCUCCGUUAAACUUGAUCUAGCAUAUUUGAAGUUUCUAGAAAAUAAUUUUUGCGAUUUUUCGAUAUCAUUUUCCUAGCAAUCGAAAUAAUUCAAAAUCAAUAAUUUUUAACGGCUGAAAAUAAAAAUUCUAUAAAAAGUGGUGAUAUAACAUUAAAAUUUUCGAUCAGAAAUAUUGAUUUUGUUGUAGAUAGUAUAAAGAAUUUUGUAGCAAAAUUUCAUCUGAUUUGAAUACUUCUACACCGUUAAACUUGAAAACGGCAGAUAUCAACCAUUAAAAAUUAUGGAUUUAGAAUCCUUUCGAUCACUAGGUAAAUGAUAUUAAAAAAUCGCAAAAAUUAUUUUCUAGAAACUUCACAUGCGCUAGAUCAAGUCUAACGGAGCUGAUCGUCGAUUCGAAAAUUCUAUCAUCGAAAACGGCUCAGGAGCACAGAGGCCUCCGUGCUCCUGAGAGCACAACAGCCCUGCUCUAUAUAUAUAUAUAUAUAUAUAUUACGACGAGAGAGAGAGAGAGAGAGAGACAGAGAGAGAGAGGAGAGAGAGAGAGAGAGUAGGCUGCUGUGCUCUCAGGAGCACGGAGGCCUCCGUGCUCCUAGCUCGUUUUGAUGAGGGAUGUCCGAAUCGACGAUCAACUCCGUUAAACUUGAUCUAGCUUAUUUGAAGUUUCUAGAUAAUAAUUUGGCGAUUUUUUCGAUAUCAUUUACCUAGCAAUCGAAAGAUUCAAAAUCAAUAAUUUUUAACGCUGAAAAUAAAAAUCCUAAAUAAAAGUAUGAUAUGAUUAAAUUUCGAUCAAAAUAUUAAUCUUGUUGUAGAUAGUAUAAAGAAUUUUGUAUCAAAGUUUCAUCUGAUUGAAUACUUCUACACGUUACUUAAAAAACGGCAGAUAUCAACCAUUAAAAAUUAUGGAUUUUGAAUCCUUUCGAUCAUAUAGGUAAAUGAUAUCAAAAAAUUCACAAAUUUUUCUAGAAACUUCAAAUGCUCCUAGAUCAAGUCUACGGAGCGAUUCGUCGAUCUGAAAAUUCUAUCAUCAAAAACGGCUAGUAGCACGGAGGCUCCGUGCUCCUGAGAGCACAGCAGCCCGCUCUAUAUAUAUAUAUAUAUAUAUAUUACGCCGGCUACUAUACUAUCGAUACCCAAGCCCUUAGUACUAUUGAGUUUUCUACCAUUAGAAUCUACCCUUUGAUCAUUUCACCCGUUAGAUUAUACUAUUAAACCAACCACUCUCAUCAACCCUAAAGGGGACCACUAAAUCACCAAGCAACAUCUUUCAUCCAACGGCCGAAAACGUCAAUAGUACGACAAGUAUUGGUAUAUUGAUAGAUAAGUAGCACUAAUUAUAUUAUAUAUAGAUAUUAAUAUAUAUAUAUAAGUAAUAUAUUAUAUAGUAUAUAUAUAUAAUUCUAAACAAUCCGAAGUACAGUGGAUUUGAUGUUUUCGAUUUUUUUGACCUUUCGAUUAAAAAUGGUACGGUUGGGAUGAUUGCGAUCUCCUCUAGGGUUGAGUAGUAUUUCUAGGAUUGAAUGGUCCCUACAUGGUAAUAGUAUUAAUUCAAAGGUUAUAAAUAAUUAAAGAAGCUGAUCUAAGGACCAAAAAGUCAAAAGCACCUGAUCCUCUAUACUUUCGAUAGCAUAGUAGCUUUACUAUAUAUAUAGUUGAGUUGUAAUAUUAUUGGUAGCAAAUAGGCUCUGUUGCCAUCCAUUUAUUUUCGAUGAUGGAGUCUUCAAAUCGACAAUCGGCAUCAUUGAAUAUGAUCUAUACUACUUAAGCAUCUAGAAGCCAAAUCUCAAAUCUUUAAAACAUCAUUGACCUAAUGAUCAAAGGGUUUCAAAAUUUAUAAUUUUAAUGGUACAUAUAAAGCGCUUUCUCUUUUAACGGUGUAAAGCUAUCCAAAUCAAUUAAUUUGAUUAGAAAAUUCUUUAAACUAUUUAGAACAAGAUCUAUACUCUCGAUUUUGAUUACAAAAUUUCGAUCAUUAGUUUUUAGAGGAUAUUUAUUUUUAGCCAUUCAUUUUUACAUCCACUUGAUGGACAAGAGAACAAAAUAUCAAAAAAAUAUGAAAAUUGAUUUUUAGAUACUUCAAGUGGUAUAGAUCAUUUUCAACGGUACCAAUCGUCGAUUUGAAUACUCCAUCAUCGAAAAUAAAUGAGUGGUAAUGAAGCUCAUUUGCUACUGAUAGUAUUCCAGCUUAAUUCUCUCUCUCUAUAUUAUUAUUAUUAUUAUUAUUAUUAUUAUUAUUUUGCCCUGUUUUGGCACUUUUCAUUUCACUUUGUGUAGCUCAUAAGCUUUUGGAAUCCUAAUAAAAGAGUAGAGGCUCCCCAACUCCACAAGGCUCGCAACCCGGGACCUUAAACUUUAAAUCGAGCAUCUUAUCCACCUGUGCUGAGGCAACUUGAUAUAGUUCACGCUUAAUACAGAGAAAAGAGGUAUUGCGAUAAGAGUUAAAAUUUUCAAUAGUGAGGCACCUACUUGGCUAUUUAACAAGCAAAAUGGAUAGAGCUUUAACAAUUACAUAAACUUUUAGAAGCUGCGAGAGGAAUCUUACAAGGCUUCCUAAAAGAUGUGUUAGCACUAAUUUGUAGCUUCAUCCAAAAGCGCUCGAGUAGAAAUUAGGACCAAAAACAGGGCCUUUUGCAACUAAACUAGGAAGCCUUAGUACCCACCGGCCACCGAUCGACCCUAGCGCAAAUGGUAAAAAAUUUGGUGGUUGGUAUUCGAGAUUCUAAGUUCGAAUCAUAAUUGAUUCAUAUUUUGCAAAUGAGUGGGCCUAGUUCUGCAGAAUUGGGUGACGUAUGUUUUUUGGUUACCCUUAUUUUGACAUUUUUGUUUAUUUUUUCUUCGUCUUUCUUUUGCGAAUCUCUGUUCUUUUGCUUUUCCGUCUUUCUGAGAUUCUCUGUCUCACUUUAUAUAGCUAAAUUCAUUUGCUUAAUAAAUAAAGUAGAGAGCAUACUAUCUUUUUCUCAAAAAAUAUAAAAUAAACGAAGUAGGUAGCGUCCUACUUUUCUCUCUCUCUCUCUCUCUCUAAAAAAAAAAAAAAGGCUAGGAAGCCUUAAUGGUUCCUAAACAACUAAGAAAAAUAAUUGUAAAAACAAAUGGAAUAGUUGUCGUAAGCAUUGAGAAAAAGAAAAAACCCAAUUAUGAAAUACUAAAGGCCAUUUUGGUAUUGAUGCAUAUCUAACUAACUCUAGUAAACAAAAUAGAAUUGAGGCAACGGCCAAUAGAGAAAUACUUAUUUAUUUUUUUAGUAGAAUUGUAGAAAAUAUAUUGUAACUAAUUCAUCACAAUAUGCGAAAUGUGAUAAUAUGUAUAAAAAUAAACAUACGAAUUUUUUAUUUUACUUUGUUACUGUACGUAAUGCAAUCUUCCUAUAAUCUCCAAUACAGUUUAAAUCUUGGACCACCACGCAUGGUUUUUGGAGUGACAUUGAUGUGUACAAUGAGAGGAAUAGGACAAGAGAGACACUAUACAUGUUGAUGCCAAGGUGAGCAACUUAAUCCUUUCAUCUAAUCUCAAAUAUAGUUUAAAUCUUGGACGUAAUGCAAUCUUUCUAUACGUAAUGCAAUCUUUCUAUAAUCUCAAAUACUGUUUAAAUCUUGGACCACCACGCAUGAUUUUUGGAGUGACAUUGAUGUGUACAAUGCAAGGAAUAGGACAAGAGAGACACUAUAUAUGUUGAUGCCAAGGUGAGCAACUUAAUCCUUUCAUCUAAUCAUAUAUAUUGUUCCUAUUGUAAGGUGCUUCUUCUUGGUUAAUUUGGCAUCUCUCAUUAUCUUACGAACUUUAAACUAAUAUUAGUAUGUAAACUCACAACCUAACUACACCUAUUUGCAAUAUUUUGAGAUGAUGUAUAGCUUGUGUUAUAAUAAUGGAUCCGAGUUCCACGUGACGCGUUAUCGAUGUUUUUUUGAGCUCACUUUAGUUUCGAGUUGAGCCGUAUUUUGAGUUAAUUUAUAGCAUGCAUUGUUUAACUACAUCUAAUUUGUUUAUUUCGGUAGCUCACCGUUCUAUUUCGAUGUUAGUUAAACAUUCACAAAUCAAAAAGACUCUUUCGCCUACUUAUUCGACUUUUUUAAAGUUGUUUGUACACUACAAGUAAGCAUAUUUAUCAUCCAAAACAGUAUUCGAUUCUCCUCUAUCUAGCUAAAAAAAUAACAAAAUAGAAACAACAAAGAGACAAAAGAACGAAACAUAUUAAAUUCUCAGAAAAACCACAAAAACAUUAUGGCUCAAUCGCUUUGGGCCUACUCAUAAAAGAAAAUUGAACAUUUUAAUUCUAAAAAUAUUUUCUAAAUGCCAAUAUUGGCCUUAGGUCCAUGAUGACGUGGUGGACCAAAUUCAUCUAAUUUUUUUUCCUCAUUAAAAGGAGCUCCCGUGGAUCUACUAACCACUGUCCGUACAUUACGCUUGCAUUAACGAAGUGGCACAUUAUUAUGCGGAGGUGGUGCACCGAUUCCUAAACCAAUUAAUCUAAUCCCCUUCUUAAAAAAAAAAAAAAUCGUUAAGAAAAUAAUUAUAAUUAUUAAUGUUCAUUAUUAAUAUUGCACAGUAUGUUUCCGACAUAUCUCGUCGAUUAGAUGCCUAUGAAACGGACUCUACCCGCAUACUUUUAUUAUGCGAGAUAUCGACAAAGCAAUUUGCACCUAGACAUAGCACCCAUGUUUAGACCAGAAAUAGUACUCUACACGUGGCACUCUAGUGAUGCGUUUCGUUUUCUCGAGGUGUGAUUUUGCGGUGUUAACUUAAGUCCCAACCGUAAGAGAAUUAAAUGCAGGGCACAAAGCUAAAAAAUGUACAGAACCACCUAGAGAUGUCAAUGGAUAUAGAUUGCCGAAAUUUUAUCCGAAUCCGAAUCUGAAUAAAACGGAUAUAUUCGUUGGAUAUGGAUAUGGUUUCGGAUAUGAAUAUAAAAAAUAGAAACAUGACGGAUAUGAAUUCAGAUAUGAAUUUUGAUUAUACCCGAUCCGAACCCGAACCCGGUCCGAACCGGGCCCGAACCCGACACGAACCCGAAUUUAUUUUGUAUUUUAUAUAAUAUAUAUAAAAAAAUUGAUGUUAUGUUUGAAUUUGUAUUUUAAAAAUUUAGAUUUAAUAUAAUAUAUUUUGAAAUAUUGAAAAAAAAAAUAAUUGUUCUGGGUUUAAAUUUUCGGGUUCGGAUUCGGGUUUCGGAUUUUUGGUCGGAUUCGGGUUUGGAUAUAGAUUUUUAAAAUUCAUCGGGUUCGGGUUCGGAUUCGGGUCUCGGGUUUGGAGUCGGGUUCAGGUUCGAAUUUUUAAAAAUUCGCUCCGAAUCCGACCCGUUGACAUCUCUAAAUCCACUCCCAACUAUAAGUAAUUGAAAGUUGCACCUCAACAUUGUUGUUUAGAUUUAUCAUUUUGCUUCUUUGCUUGAUUGUUUUGAUUUGAAUUUUUGUCAAAUCAAAUAUUUUAUAAAUUUAUUGAUGAGUCCAUUAAAAUUGUGUGAUUUUAACCAUUUUUGGCAAAUAUCGUUGAAAUAAUUAAUGAGUUACAGAUAUGAAUGCAAAUGGAUUUGAAUUGGUGGAGUUGUCGCCCUGACCCACCUCGAAAGGAAAGAUAAGUAAGGGCCAAAAAUAAAACAAAAAUAAUAAUUCAUCCUUAAUCCUUCUUCUCGAUGAGAAAAUAGAGCAUAGGCAAAAAAAAAAAAUUUUUGUUUUGAUUUACUCUAAUUCAUAAAAAAGUAGCUAAAAAUUUUCGCAGGUUCUGAUCCGGAUCAAAUAAAACGAUAAAUAAAGACAAAAAAAUAAGAUAAAGAAUAAACUCGCGCCGAAUCUUCGACAUUGUCGUGGGGUCCGCCCCCGUCCUAGUUUCACCAAACUCCAAAAUCACAAAAAUUGAGUGGACUAAUUGCAAAAUAUCUAAUAGUUGAGGGGGUUAGUCAGGAAAAUUUUCACCCAAAUACUAGGCAUGUGGGACCCACCACCUCCCUUCCAACCAUACAAAGAGACAGCAUUUCCCUUUAGUAGGUGUAGCUUUCCCGGUGGGGGCCCACCGCAUUGACCAAUGAAAUGCCUACGUCUCUCCCGACGAGUAUAGAGCCNAAAAAAAAAAAAAAAAAAGGUGCGUUAAACACCCCCAUCAAAUGCCGUAUGCUACAGUGCCAUUAUUAGGAGCAGCAAAUUUUCUAGUCAUGCGGACCUAUUUUUUGACCGCAUAAUAACUAAUUAUUGCCUACACCUGGUGCAUAAGUAUAUGUUAUGCACCAAACCUCUUAAUACAUUGCUAUGUUCUGCAAUGUUCAAAAUAUUCUCUUCAACCAUGAUUCUUUUUAGGGAAAACUUCAAAAACCCCCCAUGUGGUUUCACACUUUUUUAUUUUAAUACCAUGUGGUUUAAAGUGUAUCAAGUUAGUAUCCUGUGGUUUCUCACUUUAUCACUUUAGUACCCUGUGAUUUAAGGUGUAUCAAGUUAGUACCCUGUGGUUUUGCACUUUAUCACUUUAGCACCCUGUGGUUUCAUACUUUAUCACUUUAGUACCCUUUGGUUAAAAAAAUCACAGGGUACUAACUUGAUACAAAAACCAUAGGGUGCUAAAGUGAUAAAGUGCAAAACCACAUGGUACUAACUUGAUACACCUUAAACCACAGAAUACUAAAGUGAUAAAGUGAGAAACCACAGGGUACUAAGUUGAUACAUUUUAAACCACAUAGUACUAAAGUGAAAAAAAUUGAAACCACAAGAGGGAUUUUUGAAGUUUUUCCUUCUUUUUAUACUUUCAAAUUUAGCUAAGCUUGAAAUAAUAUUAGAAAAAUUUUUAAAUGUGAGAUUUUUGAAAAUUCUAAUCAUAUCUAUCAAAUGAGAUUUGAAAAAUAUAUUCAUAUUUUCGGACUGAUAAUUGAUAUAACAUCGUGCGGUACCACCGAUUGUUUCACAAUCUUUUUGUCUUUCGCGCGUAAAAUGGACAACACAUGUACAGUUUUAUGACGGUAACGUUUUUGCAGCGGUGCGUGUUUUAAUCGUACUAUCGAAUUAGCAUUGAGUUCGGUGCACGAUGUGUACAGGUGUACACCCGGUGCCUCCAAUGAUUUCUACCGCAUCAUGAGAUUAAAAGGGGUAUCCUCGUCGGCCUCUUCUCCAGAGCUACUACAUACACUCUUCUCUAGAGAGAGAAAGAGCGAAGAGAGAGAGAGAGAGAGAGAUGAGAGGAGUUCUAGGGCUCAGGGGAGGUGCUUCGUCGUCGGCGCCGAUCGCCGUGGCGGCGGCGGCGGCGGCGGAGGAGGAGGAGGAGGAGGGAGUGGAGGAGAACGAGGAGGAGGAGGAGGAGUUGGAGCUAGGGUUGAGCUUGCGGGCGAAGUCGCUCGCUCCCUUAAAGUCGGCGCCGAGGGGCCUAGGCUGCCGUAUCCUCACCGCGAAGGACCUGCCCCCGCUGACGUCGCCGAGAUCGUCGGCGUCGUCGUCGUCGUCCCCGGCGUCGGCGUCGGCGUCGGCGAGCAAGCGAGCGAAGGCCGAUAACAACCCCUCUCCCGAGGCCGUUGGAUCCGCUCACCCUCCCAGGUGCGAGUUUAUAUAUAUAUACAUACAUAUAUACUGGGGCUUUAUUUUUGCUUAGUUUAACACCAAAAAUAUUUGUUCGUAAAAAUUGUUAUUUUUCUAUUUUAAUUAGAUGAUAGUAAAACAUUUUGAGGUUGAAUAAACGUUGGUCUCUGUAUUGAAAAAGAAUAGAGAUAAUCACGGAAAUUGAACUCUCGAUACUACAUAAAAAAUAAAAUAAAAUAAUCGUCGAUCUCUACAAAUUUAAGCCUCAAGAGUAUGAUAUUUUUAAUAUUUAUAUUUAAUAUGCAGUAAAUUUAAUAUGGUUGAUGAUGAAAUUCUACUAUAUGACCAUGUCACAUAAUAUAUCUAGAUGAUACCGAAACUGUUUAUACAUUUGAUGCAUAAUUUUGUGAGCAAGAAAUAAAUUUACUGGGCGAAAACAAUAAUAAAUAAUUAAAUUAUUUGUGUGAUCUAAUUUUUGUUUUUUUUUUUUUUUUCAUACCUCNAAAAAAAAAAAAAAAAAAAAAAAUUGGAGCAGUCAAAUGGUGGUGGGAUGGCCACCCAUAAGAGCAUUUAGGAUGAACAGCUUGGUCAACUUGUCCAACAAAGACCACACCCCCGGAGAAGCCAAUGUCGGCGCCAGCAAGGAAGCCAACGCCGACUUCAGUGUAAAGGAUGUUCACGUGCCCAAGAGGGCUUCUUCUUCUUCAUCUUCUUCUUCUUCGUCUCCCUUUGUGAAAGUGUACAUGGAUGGGGAUCCUAUUGGGAGAAAGGUGGAUUUGAGUGCCCACCACUCUUAUGAGAGCCUCGCUUUGUCCCUUGAGCUCAUGUUCCGCAGCCCAACCCUGCCUUUAUCUGCUUCUGUUGUUGUUAUUAGUAAGAUCUCUGUGAUUCCGCACUUAAUAUCUCCAUUUUCCGAUUACGAUUUAUGCGCUGUCAUUGAGUCUAAAUUUCCCGAUCGAAAUGUGGAUUUGGCAGAUGGUGCGACAGCGUCGAAGUUAUUAGACGGCUCUUCUGAAUUCGCGCUAACGUACGAGGACAGAGAAGGAGAUUGCAUGCUGGUUGGAGAUGUUCCUUGGGAGUAAGCCUUCCUCUUUUUGAUUGCUGAUUCACACCACUAGUAUCAAUAAAAUGUUAAAUCUUAGGUAAUUUCUCAACAUGGGUUAACUUUUGAUCCUUGCAUGCAGGAUGUUUCUGGACAAUGUUAAGAGGCUUAGAAUCAUGAGGACCUCUGAUGCAGGUAGACUUGGUAAGUCAGAAAACAAUUUUAAUUGGCUUUUCUCUAUUCGAUCGACUUGAUUAGAGAAGUCAUUAGAAUUCGCGUUCGUUUGGCCUAUAAUCAAACCAUAUUUCGAAUUCGCGUUCUUUUUCGCCGUCACCUUAAAGUUGCUCCUUUUCUGCUGCAGCAGCACCAAGGUUUCACUCCAACAAAUCGAUCAGAUCAAUAGCUAAAGCUGGACCAGAAGCAAGCUCUCUUAAGAGGAGAUGAAGCAACAUUAACUCCCUUAUAUAAAGGGAGCAAGUUUUUUUUUAAAUUUUUUUAUUUGGUAUACAAGGGAGAAGUGAAUGAGUAGGUAAAUAUAGGUAAAGGAGAGCUAGGUUUUUCUUUUGUCAGAGCCUAGAUUUGAUCAGAGAGUUAUUAUCUAUUUGUUUGAUUUUGUCCCCUUGGUGCCCCCACUCUUUUGGCCAGAUUAUGCCCUUUUCUUUCUCUGGGUGGUUUGUUAGUUACACCUUUAUGUUUCCUACUUCUUUAGAGUGGCCCACAACAGAUCAUUGUGAGAUGGUAUAUUUAUUGUUACUGGUAUUGUAAAUAUGUUGUCUCUUUGUUUGGUUUACUGUUUGGGGAAUGGAAUGGUUAUUUCAUAGUUGUGUAAUUGAAUGUGAUUGUAUGUUUUGGCAUUUCGCUUUCAUGCAUGUCCCAUGAUGCCCAUGUUGCAAUAUGGUGUCCAAGGAGAAUUGGAACCUUCUUUGGACCCUUGCAUUAACCCCAAUGAAAUUAUGGCAAGAUAGGUACAAUAAAAGCGUCGGAACCAACUUCACUAGUGUCUGUUUGGCUCGACUUUUACACUCAAGAAACAAGAUACAUGAGAAUGGCUUCUAAGUGUGACACUUUUUAAAAAGACGCAUUACAUCUGCAAUGCUAUCUAUCUUACUCUGAAAUCAAUUUUCAGAGGCUGUUUAUAAGAAGCGGCUGUAGAUAUACAGGGAGAUCCAUCAUAUUCCACUAAACAUAAUAACAUAAAGUGGCUGUAGAUAUUUUCCAUACACCAUCAAUCACUUAACACAAGUCCCUCCUUAAUUAAAGGAAAACUAAUUAUUUUCUCAUUUAUCCGACCUAUAAUUUGUGUCAAACCAUAAUUUUACUAUUUAAAUUCUACUUUCAUUUACUUUUGAUAAUUCGCAGUGCACCAUUCUUUCGCAUAGAGAGAGAUGAAACCUGUUGAUAUAGAGAUCAUUGCUAUGUACUCUUUUCUGGGCUUUUCCCAACAAGUCCCUAUCUUUCUCUUUCUAUUUCUUUCCUUUUCUUUUCUUUUCUUUUUUUUCUAUUUUGGAUUGUAGUGAUUUUUUAGCACAACUCUCUUUUGGUUUUCUGUCCUCUCAAUAAGUCUGGCUCAACCAAAAGGCCACCAACAAACAAAUCUUUGAAUAUCAAUCUACAGUAUUAAACUAAUUGUAAACAACUGUGUGAAGAGCUCAAGAGUUUUGCGUCAUCUGUGCGCAAACACAAACAAACACAAACAAACAAGGUCCUACCAACAAAGAAGAAGCAAAAGCGAUGACAAGGUAAAUGUGAGAAAACACUUUUCCCAAACUCUAUUUGCAUGUAAAUGGAAUGACACAUCAUGUAUUAUUCGUGAAUCAUCAUGUGAAACUACUUCAACCGCUGGGAAGAAAAUAAAGGAAGAAAAUCCAGAGCAGCAGACAAAUGAAAAAACCAAAGUACGGAAGAAAAACACCAUUAAUAAGAAAAUAUGUCCAAAGACAGAUGGAAACAACCAACAGCCUCCGGCAUGUAAUAUUUAUGCAGCACCUUUAAUAAAAAUAUCCAAAGCAUAUAAAUAAGACCUCGCCUGAUCAGUGACGAACAUAAAUAAGUUUGACAACACAAACUUUAACCAUCAAUCCCAACAAAACAAACUUUAAUCAUCAAUCCCAGCUCACUCUCAAACAUCAUCAAUCAUAGAGGGGAAGGCAAUAAGAACAAACUCUGUUUCAAUUUUAUUUACUUACCUGUAUGAAUCUGGCCGCUUGGGUUUGCUUUGAACGACCGCCUCAAUCUUCUCAAUCACAUCAGGUGUAAGCAGCGGGAUAACAUCAAUAGCCUUCAUGUUCUCUAUGAUCUAUUCAUAGAAAUUACAAUUCAAGUCAUUGUGAACAAAAUAUUUUAAUAAUUUUUUUAGUUCAAUCUCUUUUUCAUCAUUUCAAUAGAAGGUAAAUUGACGCAGCAUUAAAUAAUAAAGUUAUUCAAAUAUCUGAAUUUCAGUGUGGCUGAAUGUAAAAUAUAAUAUAUUUCUUUCAAACAAAAAUAAAACGGAAUAAUUUAGCCACAAAUCCUAUAUCUAAAGAAUGUAAAUUACAUGUACAGAUAUAAAGAAAUGAAAAAUACAGUUGGCUUAUAAAACGAACUAAAAUACCUGGCUCUCUUUAGUUGCUCCAGUAAUCACUGAUGAGACAUUGGGAUUCGAAGCACACCAGGCAAUCGCAAGUUGAGAUAGUGGAAUGCCCAAUUCCUCAGCAAUUGGCUUUAAUCCAUUUACUUUCCUAAGCACAUCAUCAACCAAUGAUCGGCUAGCAAGAUUCUGAAACAAUAUAUAUUGUGGUUACGAACAUACCAUCUCAUAUAUCCAUAUCAAAUAAUUCACCUGUACAUCUACAUAAGUGUUCUGUCUUCACGAGAAGUUCAUGUUUAUAAUAAAAUUUCAUACAUCAUCCUCAAUGUUUAAUUUGUAACUAGAUUUCAUCAUGUGCCGAAAUUAACAUUUGAUUUUAUCCAACUCAAAAGAAAAAGUAACAAGGGGAGUUAUAAUUACUUUGAUUCAAACAAUCUUUGUGUAAUAACAAUAAUAAUAAAUAAUAAAUUGCUUGACAUGUUUUUCUUCAAAAGGGCUCUGCUCCUAUUUGCUCCUAUCACUUUGUAGCCUUCUUCAUGUAUUGGUAUGAAGAUAAUAUAAUCAAUUGUCUAAAUUAGUCGCACUUUUUAAUUUAAUAUCUUUGAACUGACAAGUGUCAUUCGAUAGAUGGCAGAUAGCUAUCAAACAGUUUAUAUUACAGCAGUGAUUAAGAAGUGUUCAACUAAGCUAACGCAAAGGAUACCGACUACUACACAGAAGUGCGUGAUUGCAAAUCAUCAGUGCCCGGAUCAAUGAAGUCUGCAUACCUUAUAAUUUUCUAGGGCAAAUCUACUAUCCGGAGGUAUAUUCCCCUUGGUGUAUUUUCCAGUGAGGACCCCCGAAGCUAGAGGACUCCAUGUGGUUAGACCGAGGCCAUAGUUACUGUAAAGCGGUAGAUACUCAACUUCGACCUGCAAAAACAUACAACAAGUUACCCUUCUAUAGCAUAAACAUUAAAUUUCUUUCACGAUAACCAAAUCAAGCUGCCUAGGAACAGAGCCUGCAAUAAUAACUAUCCGCCUGCAAAAGGGAGAAGCAGACCCCCCCAUUCAUCUAGUUAAUAAAUACGUUCUUGUUCCUUGCAGAUAGAUAGAUAGAUAGAUCUAAAUCAGAUCAGAUCAGAUCUAGCAUCGAAUGAUGAAGAAAUCGGGAGAGAAAGGAAGGAGACGAAGGACCUACCUUGUGGCGGGAGAGGAGGUUGUACUCGGGCUGCUCGACGAGGGGGCCGACGAGGUCGAGGCGGGCGGCGACGGCGCAGGCCUCGGUGAUCUGCUGGGCGGACCACUCGCUGGUGCCCCAGUAGAAGGCCCAGCCGCGGUCGAUGAUGUGGUUCAUGGCGCGGACGGUCUCGUCGACGGGGGUGGCGGCGUCGGGGCGGUGGCAGUAGAGGAUGUCGACGUAGUCCAUGUCGAGGCGGCGGAGGGAGGCGCGGGCGCCCUCGACGAGGUGCUUGCGGGAGAGGCCCUUGUCGUUGGGGCCGGGCCCGCCCCAGAAGAGCUUGGUGGAGACCACGAGGUCGGAGCGGCGCCACCCGAGCUCGCGGAUGGCCUGCCCCAUGAUCUCCUCCGCGCGCCCGUUCGCGUACACCUCCGCGUUGUCGAAGAAGUUCACGCCGUGGUCGCGGCAGCACUGCAGCAGCGCCUUCGCCUCCUUCACGUCCAGCUGGUUCCCGAACGUCACCCACGACCCGUACCCCAGCUGGCUCACCCGCAGCCCCGACCGCCCCACGUUCUUGUACUGCAUCCUCCUCCUCGACGACUUCCUCCUCUUUCUCCUGCCUCCUGCCUGCUGCCUGCUGCGAUCUCCUCCUCUUCUAUCCCCUUCUGGCUUCUUCUGAUCUGACCGACUUCUUCUCAGGAUUCAGGAACCGAGGGGGGAAGGGAAACUGGAGUCCGCUCAGACGUCCGUGUUUUCUUUCCUUUUUCUUUUUUGGUUUGUUUCUGAUUUCUGAAGCCGAGCGAGCCCGCGGGCCGGCCAUCGCCCCUCGCACUCAUUCACAGCCUGUGAAUGCGAGGACGGCCCCGCUUUCUUGCAAGUUAGUCCCCGAUGUUCUCAGCUAUUUACUUUUUACUCCCUGUGGACUGUGGAGUUACUUUUUCAACAGAUCCGACCUACAGGCUGCAAGCCUGCAACCACACACUCAAAAGCUGAUAUUUAUUUGCUAGUCUAAUUAUUAUUAUAUUUUUUGAAUAGUCUCUUGUUGGGGUAAGAUUAUAUUAUGUCUCUUCGUGUGAAUAAAGUUUUUGUUUUUUAUUUUUUCUAUGUGUAAAGAUAAGAUAAAUUAGUUUGUUUGAAUCCAGCUGAUUUGCGCAUAAUAGUUAGAUUUAAUUAAUCUAAUUUAUCAAGAAUAGUAAAUUUUUGAUUUUGAGUAUGUUCUGACAUAAAUUCAGAUAAAAAAAUAAUGUAAGCGAUGUUAGCAUAUUUUAUCUUUUAAGAGACAAAUAGAUUUGUAGAAUAUAUUCAAAUUUCGUAUGAAAGUAAUGGCUUGAUUAGUAGAGACGCCAAUUGAGAUUAAAAAUGAUCAAAUAAAAAGGAGUAAAAUGGUUAUCUUAUUAGAUUAUAACAAACUUAUUUUUAUCUUAAGUUUAACACUGUCAAAAAGUCCAAUUGUGAUGUAUGAGAAAUUUUAGGAAUUAAAAAGUUUAUUAGAGACUAAUUUGCAACAGAUAUAAAGGACACGGACUAUCCAUACAUUUUCACCCAAAGAAGGUACCGAGCGUGUGGACUCCGCGGACUCCUGCAAGUUUAGGUGUCCAAAGGAUUCUAUGCGGACCUCCUUAUAUACAAUGACUAUGCGGCGCAUUUGGAUACCGUCCAUUUCAAUUUUAGUAACUAGAUCCAACCGUUAAAUCGCACUUUUUAAACAUGUUGGCCUGUUGCCAGCUAUGGACAGUACUAGGAGUUUCAAAGUGGGACACGUGGCGUGCAUUUAGACGCAUCCUUGUUUGUUUGUUUGUUUUUUCUUAAUCUUUUUCUUUUGUGAAAGACGCGGAAUAAAGGAGUGAAAAAUAGAAAUUAAAUAAAAUGUUGUGGAUGGACAUCGAUACGGAUUUUAAUUUUUUUUAUGCGGAUCCGAAUAGUAACCGGAUCUAGUUACGCAUUUGGUAUAAAUUCAACUAAUAAAAAACUGCAGCUUCUAUUUUUAAUUUUUCUAUCUGCCUUUGAUGAUGUGAAUGACUGGAUCUCUCGCGAAACUCAUAUAAUGAGUAUUUCACUAGCACAAAUUAGCAUCCACUUUACUAAGAAUUUAUUUUAUAUUAAAAUGAUCAAAUCUAACAAUAAUAUAUUGUAGUGCGCUAACGGCGGAAUCAACACUAUCAAGAUACCAACAACACUAGUAAACAAAUGUGAUAUCUUUCAAUUAUCCACAAUCAAGAUAUGCAAUAAUAGAGUAAAUAAAGUUGAAAGAGAAAAAUUCACACACAACCACAGCAACACAAGAGAAUUUACGUGAUUUAUUCAAAUCGGAUUAUAUCCACAGACACAAAAAGAUCAAAUCCACUAUCAAAUGAGGAGAUUAUAAAAUUUGUCUAGAAAUUACCACUCUAUUACAAUGAGCUUACGACCUUCCAAUAAAUUUUUUUUCUUACUAUACCUUUUUUGAAGCACCUUUCGAUUCCGCGAAUUCUAUUUCGAAAUGCCUCUUAGAAUUCCUUCAAUUUACCUUGGAAGUUUUUUAAUCAAGUAAGAAGAACAAGAGAGCUACUUCUCCAACUCGCUCUACACCUUUCUUCUCUAUCUCAAGAAAACGGAAUCCUAGAGAGCAAAAUGAGAACUCUUUCUUUAUCAAAACUCAAAGAAAAUUUCUCUCUUAACAUCACUUGGCUCAACAUACAAAAUGGGUCAAUUAAAGUUCAAAUCAAUUACUAACUAGCUCAUUACAUGAGUUGUUGAACCAAACUCAAAAUAAAUUAACUAGACUAAUAAGUGAAUUUGAUAUCACUAACCCAAACGCUUGGUGCUGUCGAUACUAUCCCAGCCGGAUUCUAUAGAUCUAAGCUAGAAUACUAUCAAUAACACCAAGCUAUUUGUGCUAUUAGGUUUUCGGCUUUUUGAUGAAAAAAAUAUACAGUUAGGAUAAUGUGAGUCUCCUUGGAUCGAGUGAGUUAUUAGUUUAAUAAUAUAAUCUAACGGAUGAAAAUAGUCAAAGGGUUAAAUCUAACGGCGGAAAACUUAAUAGUACAAAAUAUUUGGUGCUAUCAAUCGUAUCCCAGCAGGACUAUAUAUAUAUAUAUAUAUAUNAAUAGUAACAGGAUCUAGUUACGCAUUUGGUAUAAAUUCAACAAAAAGUAAGUAGUGUAACAUAUUAUAAAAAAAAUAAAAAACUGCAGAUUUUAUUUUAAAUUUUUCUACCUGUCUCUGAUGAUCUGAAUGACUGAAUCUCUCGCAAAACUCAUAUAAUGAAUAUUUCACUAGCACAAAGUGGGAGAGGAGCUUGGGACAGGAGCUUGGGAGUCGGCACGGGCCAGUCAUGGUCCACCUGCCAGAAAUCGAUGCCAGAAAUUGGCACGGUGGUGUUGGGAGAAAACGUUGAACCAGAUGUUCCCGAAAGCUUACCAAGGGUCGAUGGGGAAAAAUCUUAGAGUAAGCGACUGCUUUACAAGGAAAAAUUGGAACUGGUCUAAGAUCCUGAGAAUCGAGGUGGGACAAGCUCUCGGGAGGGGGUACCAGGCAUCUCGGAAUUAAUGCAAACGGUAUCUAGCUUCUCUGUCGAGCAGGAAAUGAAUAAGUUACUUUGGAGAUGGAGCCCUGAUGGCAAAUUCUCGGUCAAAUCCACCUAUUCAGCUUUGUUGGACGGCGGGACGAGAGAUGAACGAGCCAUUUGCAUUUGGAGCCUUAAAAUCCCGCUGAAAGUUAAAGUUUUUUUGUGGCUGCUCCUCAAGAAAAGGAUCCUCACAAGAGAUAGGCUUGUCAAGCGAGGGUGGAUUCAGGAUCCAACCUGCGUGCUUUGUGGGGUGGAGGUCGAAUCAGCGGAUUAUCUAUUCACCAGGUGUGCAUUCGGUAAGUUUGUAUUGGUGACAGGGAUGGAAGACAUCCAAACUCUUGACCUGGGUGUCGAUGUGAACCUAGUUUGGGACAGGUGGAGGGAGAAAAAAGCACAUCAGAACAAGCGUUCCGGUCUCAUUGACCUAGUAGGGUGUUGGUGGAUUAUCUGGAAGGUCAGGAACGAUACGAUCUUUUGGAAUAUCUAGCCUAACCCAGGGGUGGCGGUAAGCAGUCUCAAGAAAUUGCUGAAGGAGUGGGAACCGCUGCUCAGAUCAACUUAGUACAGUUUUUACCUUUUUUUGCCCUUUGCCUUGGCCGUUUCGCGGGGCCCGGUUGCCCCACACCUGUAGCUUAAUUCACCAAAUCAAUGAAUGAAGCGGGUAGCGUGCUACCUUCCUCUCAAAAAAAAAAAAUUUCACUAGCACAAAUUAGCAUCGACUUUACAAAGAAUUUAUUUUAUAUUAAAAUAAUCAAAACUAACAGUAAUAUAUUGUAGUGCGCUAACAACGAAACCAAGACUAUCAAAAUACCAACCACACUAGUAAAUAAAUGUGAUAUUUUUAAAUUAUUCACAAUUAAAAUAUGCAAAAUAGAGUAAAUAAAGUUGAAAGAGAAAAAUUCAAACACAACCACAACAACACAAGAGAAUUUAUGUGAUUCGUCAAAAUCGGACUAUAUCCGCAGGCACGAAAAGAUCAAAUCCACUGUCAAAUGAGGAGAUUACAAGAUUUGUUUAGAGAUUACCACUCUAUUACAAUGGGCUUAUGACCUUCCAAUAAAAAUUUCUUCUUAUUACACCUUCUUUGAAGCACCUUUCAAUUCCGCGAAUUUCAUUUCGAAAUACCUCUUAGAAUUCCUCCAAUUUACCUUGGAAGUUUUUUAAUCAAGUAAGAAGAACAAGAUAGCUACUUCUCCAACUCGCCCUACACCUCUCUUCUCUAUCUCAAGAAAACGGAAUCCUAGAGAGCAAAAUGAGAACUCUUUCUUUAUCAAAACUCAAAGAAAAUUUCUCUCUUAACAUCACUUGGCUCAACAUACAAAAUGGGUCAAUUAAAGUUCCAAUCAAUUACUAACUAGCUCAUUACAUGAGUCGUUGAACCAAACUCAAAAUAAAUUAACUAGACUAAUAAGUGAAUUUGAUAUCACUAACCCAAACGCUUGGUGCUGUCGAUACUAUCCCAGCCGGAUUCUAUAGAUCUAAGCCAGAAUACUAUCAAUAACACCAAGCUAUUUGUGCUAUUAGGUUUUCGGCUCUUUGAUGAAAAAAUAUACAGUUAGGAUAAUGUGAGUCUCCUUGGAUCGAGUGAGUUAUUAGUUUAAUAAUGUAAUCUAACGGAUGAAAAUAGUCAAAGGGUUAAAUCUAACGGCGGAAAACUUAAUAGUACAAAAUAUUNUAUAUAUAUUCUCCAUUCAGACCUUCUAAUAAAUAUUGUGAUUGAGGUGGUGUAAUUUACAAAAACAAAACAAAAGGUUAUUAGUCUUUGAUCAUGUUUAACUUAUGCGAUCCAUAAUCCCAAAUUGAGCCUAGAUAACUGAUUCAAUCAACCUAAAUUAUCCUGUUUACUCAUCUUAUCUAAUUAAGUCAAUCAUUCUUCGGCUGGUCAAUUCCACUUUAGAAUUUGUUAACCAGUGAGCUCGACUUAUUUAAAUAACUCCCUAGUUAAUUUACUUCAAAAUAAAUAUUUUAAAUUCAUUGUAAGUAAUAUUGGUAAACGCUAACUUAAGCUUCACCCAGAAAAAGCUAGAAUUUUCAUUUUCAACCUCCUAUUAAACGUGACAAAACUUUAUACUCGUAUCAAUGUGUAUCAAAAAUGCAAAUACCUAGCGAUUACAUUAUUAUUAAUACUAAUAACUAAUAUUUAGCUUUCUCAAUUUAAACAACUCACAUGUUCGUCAAUUUUUUAAUUAUUUGUAAUUGUAUUUAUUCGCUUUAAUAAUAAUAGUUAUAUUAAUAUUAAAUUAAAUUUAUUCUAAAUACUGUUUACUAAGAUAAAAUUUAAAAUUUGUAAACUAUCAACAAAAAAGAAAACGAAAGAAAACGGAAAAGAGGAUCUACUUCAAAAAUAUCUAAAAUUGAGGGGGUCUUCGUACAUAUUCACCAAAUCGGGUCGUCGUCGUGUCCAACCACACCUCUAUUCUCCUUUCCCUUCUCCCCCACUCCUCUCUCUCUCUCUCUCUCUCUCUCUCUCGUUUUGGAUCUACGCGACCCCAUCACCAACACCCCUAAUUCUCCGACGAAUCCUCACUCCUUCCCUCUUCCUACGAAGUAGAAUCCCUAGAGGUGAGGAGGGAAGAGGAGAGGAGGCCGCGGUGAGGCCAUGGCCGCGGUCGAGAUCCAUCAAUUCGCCGAGUGCAUCACCUGCCACGCAUGGAGCCCCGAUCAAUCGAGUAAUCCCUUCCCCUUGCCCUAAUCUCUUUGUUCUCUUCACAAAUCUCUCCGAUUCGUUUCCUUUAAGAUGUAGUCUUAGAUCUUAGCAUGAGUUGGCGAAUUUAAACUAGCUUCUAUGAAUUUUCUCUUGUCCAUUGAUACAUUCGAUUAAUCUUCUUCGUCGGUUGUUGAGAAUAUAGUAGUCGGUCGCGGUGGAUGCUCGUGUGAUAGUCUCCAGAUCAAGAUGAUAUCGUUUUGAUUUUAGUAUUUAGUUCGCGGUAGAAACUGGAUCUAUCUUAGGGAAUGUUUUUGGCAACGUUUUGAAGUUACUUUGUUGAAGUAGAAGGCUACCUGCUUGUGUUAUCACUGUGGAGUAGAAGAAAAGAGUAAGAAUUAAAUGACAGUAGGAGAGUGCAAAAUGAUUUGGGACGGUACAAAUACCGGCAUAAUUGGAAACUAGAUAAUAUACUGCACCACUUUUCAAGUUGUGAUUUCCGCCACCAAGUUAAGAUCCUUUGGGGAGCAAUUAUACUAUUUUUAAACUAUUGGUAGCUGAUGAAGAGCAGAAUUUCUCUCACUUAAUUGGUACUCAGUUUGCAACCAUUUUGCUUCGCGGCCCUGGUACUAAACUUUGAGAGAAUGGUGUAGAUUUGACGGUGUAUGCGGAUAGAUUUGCUUGAUACUUGUUGCUGGAAUGUAGAGAGCUGUAUGCACCAUGAGUAUAUCAUGGAAGAGUCUAGUGCCUUUUGUAGAAUCACUUUUGCAAAGCCAUUCUUGUUCUAGUGCAUAUCUCAAUACUGAAUUUUAAAUUUGAGUCUGAAAAUGGCAUUACAUACUCCUUUUUAUUAUUAUGUGAUUUAUUUACUAGAAUGUCUUCUCGUAUUUACAUAUUUGUUGCAUUUCUUUCUUUUCAUUGCAAGUUGAGAUAGGAGAUUGCAAAUCAACUCAAUAAUAUCUUCCUUUCUGGACUUGACAGUAAUAUCUUCAUUGUUAUUUGCAGUGAUUGCAUUUUGUCCAAACAAUACUGAAGUGCAUAUCUAUAAAUUGUUGGCAGACAAGUGGGAGAAAGUACAUGUUCUUUACAAGGUAAUACUGAUUUUUUAUCUACUGUAUUGUGCCUGUUUUCAAUGGACAGUAAUAAUAUAACAUGAUAAUUCUAUUUUUCUGCCCCAAAUUCAUACUCUACAUCUUCUUGUCAAUUACCUUGAAUAUCUACUUUUCAGUAAAAGUAACAAAACUAAUUUCUUCUUCCUCUCUCACAGCAUGAUCAAAUUAUAUCUGGAAUUGACUGGAGCGUAAAUUCAAACAAAAUUGUAACAGUAUCACAUGAUAGGAAUUCGUAAGUGUGUACCUAAAAGUUAGCAUCUCUUGGAUCUGUGUUCGUUUUAAAAGAUUAAACAUUCUUUUUGUGUAAGAAAUGAUAAUUGGCGGCUUUGUUCCUUUCCCUAUUUUCAGAUAUGUUUGGAGCCAAGAAGCAUCUGAAUGGGUACCUACUCUUGUCAUUCUUAGGCUAAACAGAGCUGCUCUAUGUGUUCAGUGGAGUCCUAAAGGUACUUGCAGAAAGCUGGCAUGCAUUAUAGGUUAUUUUGUCACCUUGUAGGAAGCAGAAUGUGUACUUUAGUUUGUUGAAUAGAUAUGUUAUUGUUCUUGUUGAUAUUUAAAACUAGCCCACAUCUAUAUAAACCAUGCUUUUGUUUCGCAGAAAACAAGUUUGCUGUUGGAAGUGGAGCUAAAACUGUUUGCAUAUGCUACUAUGAGCAAGAGAACAACUGGUAAUUGCCCUUUUCUUUUCCUUCUUCAAUUGUUUUUUCCCCCCUUCAAUGUUUUUGUAGCCAACUGUAAGCCUAAAGAAUUUUUUAUUAUUACACACUAUUACCUAAUUAGUGUGAUAUUGAUGCUAAAGGUCCAGAGAGUAAGCUACAACAAGAAUCUGCAAAAUGUGCAGAAUCUGUAAUCCUAUCCCAUUAAAAAACUCUUGGUUCAUUUUGUAUGUCCCCUUAUAUUGGAAACUUGGUUAUUUUCAAUUUCUCCAUGCUUUUGACGCCCCCUUUUUAAUCAACUAUCUAACAUCGCAUUUUUCCAAUCAUUAGGAUGGAUAUUAGUUCAAUGACCAUCACUUCUUAUAUGCCAUAAGUAGUUUUAUGUUCUUUGCUUUUCAAACAAUUUAACAUAUCUGGUUAUGACUUUUUUUUUCUAGGUGGGUUAGCAAGCUUAUCAGGAAAAAGCAUAAUUCUUCUGUCACAAGUGUUGCCUGGCAUCCUAAUAAUGUAAGCUUGUUUUUUAAUCCUCCUAGUUUAUUCAUACAUUUAUUGAUUUCAAGUUAGUAUGAAUUUUCAGUCUGGAAAUGACAAUUGUUUAACUACUUGUGGACCUGUUUAAUAAAAUAUAUUAAAAUUCGAUUACGGUUGUUAUAUAACUAAAUGCAAAUUCACAUGAUUGUAGGACAAUGAAAUAUAUGUGAAAAAGAAAAUAUGAUAAUAAGAUGUAGAAGAUGAAAAGAAGUCCCCACAAAGAAUUGGAUACUAGGACAGACAGAAGAGGAAACAGAGAGAAUGCAAAAAAAAUGUGAUUUAUAGCGGAUCUCCUUGGGGACCUUAGGAAGCACAUCACCUUUGAAACAUCUGCAUUUCCUUCAUGAAGGACAAUGUGGCUAUCUGUAUAGCAAAUAAAUCUGUGUGCUAGAAGCUAAAAGAACGAGAAUUAUGUGAUAUGCUUAAAGCCGGCUCCCUUCUGUAACUUAAUUUUAGCUCUAUGAGGUUAAUUUGAUGUUGCCAAUAUUUAGAAAAUUGAAGCAUGAAUGCAAAUUGCAACUUAUUUCCGGAAGCUGUCUUCUGUAUAUUUUAUUCUUAUGAACAAUUAAAUAUUCACAACUUCUGUGAAUUUAUAUACAAGAUAACUGUAUAUCAGAUUAUCAGACAUGAAGUGUGGAGUCCGGACAAUUACCACAAUACUACCUAAUGACCUAGUAUCACUUUCUAUCUGAAAAUACUUGCAAAGUGUAGAGCUGCAGUUAAGAUAGCUAGCUUCACUAGUUUCUCAAGUUGUUGGCUGUCUGUACCAAAGCAGAUAUACAAUCAGAAAGCAAAAGAAGCACCAUAUUUGCUUGACUGCAAAUUUGACUAAUUUCGGGGAAACAUUUGUGGAUGCAAUAUCUCACUUACAAGCUAUGGUGUAAGACCCAAUACUAACAAACAGACAAAGAUAAUGGCGAGAGCUUAUUUCUGUAUUAAUUGUGUUUUCAACUUCAACCUUCCUUUUGCUCUCCAGGUUCUUCUUGCAACAACAUCUACUGACGGUAAAUGCAGAGUGUUUUGCACUUUCAUCAAGGGCGUAGAUAAAAGGUCUGUAUAAGACCCUUAACAUCCUCUAGCCAAGAGUUUGAGGGAUAUUAGCUGACCUAUAUUUAUUUCCUUAUGAUUAGGGACUUGGGGGAAGGCUCUUCUAAUGAUCUAAAAUUUGGAGAGGUUUUAUUUGUUCAACUUUCUUAUAAUGAUGCACUAUUUUUUCUCUGGUAUACAUUUUGAUUACAUUUGCAUGUGUGUUGCAUGCCUGUUUCAUUAUCUCGUUAACAUGAAUAAUACGCAUGAUUUUCCUUGGUAAAAUAUUUGAAGUCUAUUGCAUGGCGACUUUUUAAUUUGGAAAGUAUGAUCAGUUUUUGGCUAUUCUUCUUUCGAUUGCUCACUGGUUUUCUUACUCGGCGACAUAUGAUUGUGAGUGUUUGAUGUAGACUUCGCUACCAACUUUAAAAUUCUUAGACUAAAUUCCACGACAGCAUAGAGCAUUAAUUUUGAAGUUUUAUUUGCAUUUUGAAGUUUUAUUCUACUUGCAAUUUUGUUGUGCUAAAAUUAUCAAGCACUGGUGCUUAAUACUGAAGUUCCUCCGGACAAAUCUUUUGGAUUUUGGAACUCUGUGUAGGCAAUAUGCUUGUUCAGUUUGUAUCUUAGACUGCUCUCUCUCUCUCUCUCUCUCUCUCUCUCUCUCUCUCUCUCUCUCAUCAUUAAGUAAGUUGAUAUUCUUUCUUUUUUUUUUUCUUUUUUUGUCGGUGCAAUUUGGAACAGCAAAUUGCUCAACUCGAUCUGUCAGUUACUUGGGCCUUUGGUGUAAGGUGGUCACCAAGCGGAAAUACCUUGGCCUACACAGGUACUGUCUUCCUUGGUGUCAUUUGUUUCUUGGUAGAACGUUUUAUUAACUCGCAGGUGCAUUUUUUUCCUCGUCAUAAACAGUUAUAAUUACAUAGUUCAACUUUUCAAGUAUACGGACAAUGAAUGGCUUUAUUUUCUUGUGAUUGUUAGGUCACAACUCUAUGGUAUAUUUCAUUGAUGAUGUUGAGUCUUCUCCUUCAGCACAGACUCUGGCCUUGCGUGAUCUGCCUCUCCGUGAUGUGGGUCAGCAUUUUCUCUUUGCUACUUCAUAUCUUACAUUUUACAGUUUAGUCAGAAAUUUGUUUGUGUAUUGAUCUAAAGUACGAUAUUCAGAUCCUUUUUCUUUCUGAGAGAGUGGUCAUUGGCGUUGGCUUUGACUGCAAUCCUAUGGUCUUCACCGCAGAUGAAACAGGGCUCUGGUGGGUUUAUAAUUUUUAAUGAUAUAUAACUCCUCAUCAUCUUGUUAUGUUUGCUAUUGUGUUUCAUGUAUUUCUGAAUAUUUCAUUAAGAAAAACAGAGCUAUACUGAAUUUGAUGUCACAUGUAAGUUUCUUCCUUCAGUUGGGUCUAUUAUUAAAUUUCAUUUCUUAAGUUAUGUUGUCUUUCAUGUCUGUUGUAGGAGCUUUGUCAGGUAUUUAGAUGAGAGAAAAGUAGCUCCAACAAGUUCUAAAGGUUCACAGGUGCGUUUAAUUUUGCAUUAAUUGCCCUUAGCUCUUGAAAUUCCACCAACGCAAAAUGCACGUGGGUCUGAUGGAUCUGUUGUGGGAGUAAUUUCUUUUACUCCCGCUGCAAGGAAAUGGAAAUCUACAGCAAGGUCGUGGAUGCUUGGCACAAUUCAUAACUACCAUUCUUAAUUUUCAGUUCUCUGAAGCCCUUGGGAAGCUGUAUGGACAAUCGAAACAGAGCACAAGCAAUGAUACAGUUGAACCUUCAAAAUUUCGUGGUGGUGCUCAUGCGAACUGCAUAACGUAAUAUCUUUUUCCAUUUUUGGCUACAAAGUAGCAUUUGCCAUGUUGCCUAGUGCACUGUAUCUACACUGCAUGAUGAUGUUUAGACUUAUUUGAUUACAUAUUUCAGCUGUAUUGUACUGCUAAGAAGAUCAGCGGCCACCACCGUGAAACGUUUCAGCACAUCAGGUUACGAAUUCAGCUUUUCUCAUCUUUUUAAUUUUCUCUGCAAUCUUGCCAUAAAUGAAAUUUCAUUAUUGUUACAUACUGUUUCGUAUAGGGUUAGAUGGCAAAAUAGUGAUCUGGGAGUUGGAUAAUUCCAUAGAUAUUCAACAACCUGGUUAUCGUUGAUGAUGAGAAAAUGAAAAAUUUUCUUCCCAGUAGCCAAAGCAGUGGCGCAUUUGGAAGGAAGUUGCGCGGAUGGGACGAGUAUUUUAAAUUCCUUAGUUAUACUUCAACAGGAAGCAGGUCGGAUUGAUUAUGCUCUACAGUUAUUUCGGCCGACAGGUGUUGUAAAAUAUACCUAGUCACACUCACUAGUUUCGUUCUUCUCAUUCGAGAGAUAAUGUUAGUCUUUAGUUUCGCCUUUUGCCUCUUGGUAUACUCGGGUAGAUAACGGUGUAAUGGAAUAUUUGCGGCUUCCUAUUUGUUGACAUGAUGAACGAUUAUCGUGUUUAUGGCAUCAUGCUGCUCAGAAUCAUUGCAGGCUCUAUGUUUUUUUUAAAAAAAUUACUUUUUAUCCUGUUGUUCUGCAAAUUUGAGGUGAUCUUCAGCUGUUUGUAGUGUAAUUUUCUUCAACAAUUUCGAAGCGUCUUUUAUGUAUGAUUCAGUGUUAUUUGGCACGAAAUUCGUGUUGCAUAACUGCUUACGUGUUAUUUUGGGUCAUUUAGUGAGUAGACGCCGUUGUUCAUCAGUGUAUCAUCGUUGCCGUUAUGUUAAGUUACUAUGUUAAGGGGGCGACUUACGACGAACUUUAUUCAUUUAGUGCACACGAGAAUCCACAUAUCAGAUCGUCAUAGCUUCAGUAUGUUAGCAUAACCCAGAUUGAAGUUAUCUGCGUCUCAGGAUUAUCAUCAAAGGACUGAUGGAGCUAAAACAGCUUCUGAUUAGUGAAUCAAAACAUUCCUUAGAGCAGUGGAUACGACCUCUGGAGAGAGAGUGAAAAACCAAAACUGUACGGCCUCAAUUGUUUUUAUCAAAGAAAUAAUUAUUAAUGAAGACACACUACUUUAAGAUUGUACGCUUAUGUAUGUACACACAUGUACCUACCUGUAUAUAUAUAUAUAUAUAUAUAUAUAUAAGCACUAAUGUAUGGCAAAAGGUGCAUCUUUAAUUUGCUUAAAGUUGCACGUCCUCGUAAUAUUUUGUUGCUCCCUCAAGCAAACCCCCUUCUAUUUUAGACUAAUUAUAGAAGUAUACCUACUUACAGAGUAGCAAAAAUUUUGUCUUAAUGCUGGUUAUUAUCCCCGCACUGCUUUUAACAAUUAUCUUCUUUUCUUGCCUAGUCGUAUCAAUCUAAAAUAACUAUUCUAUUUGUACUGCUUAAUAACCAAAAAAGGUAAGAAAUGGCAUUGAAAUCAUUGAGAUAUAUCAUAUAUUGCCUUAAUAAAGAGAUUAUUUCUCAUUAGGCUUUACAUGCCUUUAACAUCAACUGCACUGCAGCAUGUCUCAAUGCAUGCUUUAUUUAAUUCACAUUACAAAAUCCAUCUAAUAGGCAAUUAGGCAUUGCCCCUGUGAGACAGUUCUCACAUGAUCAUCACUUUUUAUUUUCCCUGAGAAUUAACUGUUAAUCAAGAUUCAAGAACAAAUGAUAAAAUCCACCUCCCACAAAAUGAUUCAAUUCUAAACAUUAAGAUGCCAAUUUGGAGUUGUUGCAUCACCUUUAACUUCAAUGUAAGAGUGCUUGGUUCUCAAAGUGCAUUGGACUACCAAAGCCAUACCCUACAAAGCACACUGGAGAAGGAUCAUCCUCUUUAACCCCCCAUCUCCUCAUGAGAUCCUCAUACUCUUCCUUCUCUAAAAUUGCUGCUCCAACUUUACUUCUCCACACUUGCGCCGCCUUCGCGAGCUCGACCUCGGCUUCUUUUAAUAGGAAAUCCAAGUCCAAGUCCAAACCCAAAUCCAAACUCAGAUCCAAGCUCAUACUCAAACUUCCCUCAGCCACUUUUCUCCAUGGCUCAGCAUUACUUCCUUUCCAAUAUUUCUGCUCCAACAUGCUAAGGAACUCGUCCUCGACUUUAUCUGCAUCGAUUUCUUCGCUAAACUCCAUUAGAAGGCACGGCUUCUCCUCUUCGCGCCCCUCGAUUUCCUCUUCGUCCCCAUCGGUGUGCACUAAAGUGUCGGAACUAGGCCUCUGCGAUCGAGAAGAGAUGGUUCCUCUCUCCAGUGUGAUGAAGCCGCCGUCUUCGUCGUCCAUUCGAAGAAUGUCUUCGGUAGGGUUCUCGAUCGUGAUAAAGUUAGCAUCGGAUCGGAGGGCUGGGACUCUUCGAGCUGAGGCAGAGGCGGGCCGGCUCCGAAGGCAGUUCAGAUCAGGGAGACAAGAAAAGCACUUGGUUUUAUUCCAACUAUUCCCUGCAUCCAUUGCACAAGGAUCAUGCAAUGCAAUUUAUGCAACAAGCAAAAGAAGUACAUGGUGUAAUGCACAUCAAGAUUUCCUCUCAUUCUAUGCGCAAAAAGAAAAAAAGAAAAAAAAGAGAAAGCACAAGCAAAAGCAAUCCAAUUCGACUAUCUUAAAUAAUAUUCGAAACAUUCUUAUAAUUCACAUGAUUUAUGAUGAUUUAUGAUUGUUAAGAAAAACCAAGUAAGAUGAGAGGUAGAUUUGUUCACUGGAAUGAAUUUAUACAGUAAAAGUGCUUUCGAAAGUACUUGGAGACCGGUACUUGCACUUUUUUAGCUAUUCAUAUAGAUUCCGUAGAAUUGCUUCGAAAAACACGAGAAAGGUCGUGCUUUCGCUUUUUCUGACGCAUGUAUAAUGUGUGUCAGAAUAGGCAUCGAUCAGAUCCUAAUAUGAUUCGACGAACGAAAAAGUAAAAGUACUGUACGUAAUUUGAUAAAGCGUAUAUAUGUAUAUAUAUAUAUAUAUGUAUAUAUAUGUACGUACUAGUAGUAAUAUCAUGGUCUUCGUCCUCCACCAUCCUACAAUACACACUCAAACUCAGCACCCCGCCAUGGGCGACUCCUCCGAGAGCGAAGCUCAUGCUCUUCCCGCCGAAACUCGAAUUCAAAAAACUCCCCCCCGCCGCCGCGAACUCGCUGAGAUCGACGCGAAACGCGCCCAAUUCGCGCUCAUCUCCAUCAGCAACCGAAACCCAAAUGGCGAAGCCCCUCAGCACGGAUCCCACGUCCGUGCUGCAGUGGUGCAGGAAUAUCUCGUCGAAAAUGGCGGCCCCCGCGGCGACGCGAACGGGGCUCGUCCGCUCCCCCGCGCACCCUUUGGUUCUCCACCCCACGACCACCGCGCGCGCCUCCAUGGGCGGCGGAAGCCCCGCAAUUUGCUGGAUUUGGAGGCAAACCACGCACCGGGACCUCCGCGCGCGGGCGCCCGCAAGGUGUCCGACGAAUCUCCUCUUCCACGAGCGCAGCAAGCUCCCCCUGCUCCCCGAGCUGGGGCAAUGGUUGGGUCCGCGGGCGCCAUUAGCUCCUUCCAUUGGCCGAUCCAAGAACUGGGUCUCGCCCACAGUUGGGAGGUGAGCGAAGGACGAGGAGGAAGAGGAAGAGGAAGAGGGCGCUUAAGCACAUGUAGUAAUGGGGAGGAAAAAAAAAAAAGAUGGUUUUUUUUUUUUUUUUUUUUUUUUUUUUUUUUUUUUUUGAGAGAGAGAGAGAGAGAGAGAGAGAGAGAGAGAGAGAGAGGUGGAGGACGAGACGGGGAGCUUAAAGAGGAAAUGUUGGGGGGGGAAUUUGGACUUAGUUUAAUCUAUAAUGAGUGUUGUGGAACGAGAAUAGCAAGCUUUGAGGAGAAGGGAGUGGUCUCGAUCUCCCCCAGAAGAGAAAAGAGGCUCCUUUUUAUGGUCCAAACACAUCCUCAGGGAGCCAAGUAGUGCAAGGGUCCCCACUCAAGUUGCCUAAUUAGGGAGAGAAUUGUUGCAUGACAUGGUUUUUCGAUACGAGCCGUGGACCGACCAUGUGAUCUGUCGCCACCACACCAUCACAUUUAUAUCCCGUUCAUUAUUCACGUUGAAUAGAAAAGAACAAGACCAUACGUUGGAUGCCGCAAAGUGUGAAAAAAAUAGAGCUAGCGGAAUGCACAGAUACCUCCAAUCCUAUCUUGUCAAUAUUAAGUAAAAUUUUUUAUUUGAUCAAACCAAGUAGUUCGUUUCACAAACUUCUUCCGAUGUUUCUUAACUGUUUAAAGUGUAUUUCUAUUUUAACCUCGCUUUCAUCAUCUUACCAUCUCCAAUUUAAUCUUAAAUACCGAACAAGCUCUCGCGAGAAGGACGGAUCACAGAGCGGUCCACGGCUGAUGUGUUGGAUUAGGUCGAAGCAAAUGAUUGCUUUAUAAUAGAUCAUGGUUAUUGACUAAUAAGAUAUAGUACCCAAGUUCAUGAGGAUUCCAAGUUCCGAGGACAAGUACUCUUGGACCACUUUUAGCUGGAAACCAGUAAGCUUAAAACCGUUAACUUAAAACUUUUAUAUGGCCCUGAAACAAGUAGAUCAAAUCAAGAGAGGAGGGGAGGGACAGGAGCAUGUGUUAAAUAAAGGACACCUGUCAUUGUUUCCAAAGCAAGAGACUCAGCUUCCAAGGUUUGAAUUUGUACUGCACCUUCCCUUAAAAGGCUCAACAUCUAGUUCCCUCUUUUAUCAGUGUACCCUAAAACAUUCUUUUUCUCACUCGAACGAUGUUGACAUAGUUUGAACCACUUGUGUUAGGUUUUGAUUGGGCAAACACUUUUGAGUCAACUAUUUGAUGUCUCUCAAUUUGUAAACAGAAGGAUCGUAAAUGAAUCGGGUCAAGUUAAUAUCUUGUUUCAAAAUAUUUGAAGGAUCUUAGAGGUUAUUUCUUUUACUUUUUUAAGGUUAAGAUUGGGAUAACCUUUCUAAAUUUAUAGUGGAUUGGAUUUUACCCGUGAAUAUAUUUGAAGUAGGUAGAAAAUCUCCCACAAGUUUUGUUCUGUAAGAGAUAAAUUAAAUUACCUUUGGACACUAUAUCAUCUGUAAAAAAAAAACAUUACGCAAUCAAAACAAUUAUAAUUAUAAAUUCAAAAAUAGUAAAAAUUUUUGUGCUAUGAUUUUGUCUUCCUUUCAUUUCAAACAUUCAUUUUUUUUUAAAAAAAAAAUUAGUAAACUCGGACAAAUAUCAAAAUUGUAAAAACUCGUAUGGAUGUCUAAGAGCAAUUAACAUUAUACAUUAGGUUCUGGUAAUUAUGGAAAAAAAAAUUAAAAAAAGAAAACCCCAAAGAAAUAAUUUAUAUAACUAUUGUGUUUUUCCACUGUUCCUUUACAUUUCGUCCAAUAUUUUUGUACACCGUAUAGAAAAAGGGGUGGCCACACAAAUACAAUCCUCACCAAAUCACACACACUUAUAUGACUAUGAAACUGCCUACAAAGAAUGAUGCCUCAAAUUGUAAAAUAUAGGCCUUAUUAACUGGAGGGAUCUGUCCAAUCCCAACCCACUUUGACUAUCUAUAACAUAAGGGGGGGAAAUGACACAUCUAACUGACUCAAAAUAAAGAUAUAAAAGAAAAAAAAUGAAAUAUUACAAGCCCAAAUUUGAGGGAACAUAUGAAUAUGCAAAAUUUACAAUAAAUCAAGUAAAGUAUCUGCCUGGAGUAACAGUGUGCGCAUGAGAGCGUGCUCGAGGUUCCACGGACUCACUCUUGUAAAAACUGGAAAGCCGGGUUCUCGAGAAGCUCCUCUGCGGGCUUGACGUCGGAGAAGUCCUUUUCUUGUAGAGAAGUCGAUAUGUCGUCUACUGAGAAGGGAAUGCUGCAUCAAAUUGCCACACUCGUAAUAAGAUUCUAACAGUUCUUCCCCUAGAGUGUAAUGGAUUUGGUUGUUUAUUCUACAUCUUUUUUAAUUACCUGGAACUAUCAUCGAGUAAGAAGGAGCUGCCGUCUGCAUUGUUGGAAUCUUCUGUCAUUAGUAUCCGCAUGCUGGAAAGAACCUGGAGAGAGAAAAAAAAAAUGGAGCCAAGCGUCACUUCCCGAAUUCACGCUCUAAUUCAAGUAUGCUAUUGAUUGUAUCAGCAUGUCAUUUGAAUGCCUGGACAAGGGUUAGCAGUAGAAAAGACUCAUAAUUUCUUUUGAACUUACACUUGACGAUACACUUUGGGUAUUGUACUUGUCAUCCCAGUAUUGUGUGCAUAUUCUGUAGAGUUGUUGAACACUCAAGAUCUGCAAUAAAGGUAGAAUUAGAAUGAGCAUCAGGAAGAGAGAGAGAGGGAGAGAGAGAGAGAGAGAGAAAGAGAGAGAGAGAGUUACCGGACAUAAGUCAUUGACUAUCUCAUCAUAUGAAAUCCUGUACUUCUGGAAUAUUACCUGCAGAUGGAUCAGAUAAAUCCACAGUUAGAUGUAAAGAUGCAUCCACUCGGGUUCAAAAUAUAUCAAUCUAAUUGCCUCCAUAAAAGAAGAACAUCGUAGCAACAAAAUUUUCAGGUUAUAUGCGUGAAAACUUCUUUUGCAACUGGGUGUGUUAGAUGACAAAUAAUCCAGAAUAUACUCAUUUAUCUAGGUUUAAGAAGUCAGGAUGCAUCUGAUUGAUCUGAGAACCAGCAUUUACAUGGUACUCAAGGUCAUAGUCUGUAGCUUAUCCGAUUAUAUUUUAUGGGAGAACAAUUAAAGACAAUCUCAAGUUGAAGGAAAAAAAAGGCGAACGUACCAAGAAACCCACAGCUUGCCUUAUAUGCUUAAGUUCCUCCCAUGAUGAUCCGGCAUACUGCAAAAUUGAAAGUCCAUAACUAACAACUACAAGACAUUUAACAAUUAUUAUCUUUUAGGCUUAUUACCUCAGGUUUUGCUUUUGCGCACCAUAGCUCCAAUUCAGCCAAACCAGCUUUGACAUAUUCUCCAUUGCUGAAGGAGCAACACUCUCGGCGAAGAAGUAGACUGCAGAAGCAGAAUUAGAACCUAAAUGUAUACAAAAAAUUGCAUGCACAAAGAUGGAGGGGCAAAACUUUCAAGCUCAUGAACAAAUACUAACCUGUUGAAGAGUUGAACAUUAAUGUAUGAGAAUAUCUGGGUAAAGAUCUUCUGAGCUAAAACUGGGGGAACCUGAGGCCAAACAAGAAAACCCUCAAUUAAGAAACAAAAUCCAUCCGUACUAAUGAUGCGAGUUACUAUAAAUUAUGAAGGUUGAACUCACAUAGUUAUCUUGUAAUGUUUUUAAAAAGCUAUCGAGGUUCUCUAUGAUGCUCUGCCAGUGGUUGCUUUGAGAGUGACUCCCAAAUGAACGCCCUGUCCCUCGGAGCACACUUGCCUUCGUUGUCCUUGGAGCCUUAAUAUGAAAGAGUAAUCCAUUAAUAUAACGAAAGGUCUUAUUGUAAACUACAAAGCCACCAUCUCCUGGUUAUGUUUUUGUAGAGUAUCGUCCAACACAAAAAUGCUACAAAACUACCUCCAAUUUAUUUUACUACAAUGUACAAGCUAAACGAGCCAAAUAGAACAGGUAAUAGUACCUGAAUGCAUAAUGAGAUCAAGGAAGACAUGUCUUUUUUCACAUUGUCUCGGAUAAUUCCAAAUAUUUUCUCCACAUAAGCAGUUAGCUGCUGCUUGAAAAGCAAGGCAGGGUACUUGGCCUCGACUUGGCGAACAACAUCCAAUGCUUCCACAUGGAUAUUUGCAAAAGAUGCCGACGAGCGGAAGCCCUAAUUUAACAUGAAUUAUACAAAAUAAAAAAUAAUAAUAAUAAGGAUAAAACUUCAAGAGAAUAGUCAUAGUAAAUGACGUACCUGAGCCAUCCUUCCAAAUAAUGAUGUUGGAGGAGGUUUCUUACGCGAUGCAGUCCCAACUCCACCAGCCGCCUUAAGACUCUUUUGUAGCAGAAAAAGCAAGCUGGAUGUAUUUGAUAGCCAAUAAGCAAGAUGGUCAUUGUUCUCCUCGUUCUGCAUCAUGGAUUCAUUGAAGUGGGCGAAAUAAAUGUGUAAAUUUAUAUUUUGAUCAGAAAUAAGCAUGCAGUAUAAAUCUAAAAAUUGCAUGGAAUUUAUUCAUCCAGGUCACAUAGGAUGCUUAAUAGAAGUUUGCAACAUCAAUUUAAUUUCAGACUUCUAAAAUUUUUGUGACAUUACAUUGAGUUUAGAACUGAUACCUUAGUAAAUAAUUUAAAAUGACGUAAAGGACAAAAGUACUUGUUGAAUAGGAAUAGAACAUAUGUAUAAAUAUAUAUGAUUAAAUUACCUCAAUGGCAGAACCAAUUAACUGAAUAAGGCGGUCAAAAACACUGGUCUUCUCUGCUUCAAAGGACUUCCAAUGAAGAAGACAUCUAUAUAUGGUAAAUGCAGCCACCGGCUUACCCUGGCUAAAUCCAAGAUUUUUAGCCACGCAAUUGAUCAGUGCAUCAACAUUCUCCUACAGGAAAAGGUAUGUCAAAACAAAUCAUCAAGACACAAAAAAAAAAAAGAAGAGUAUUUUAAAUUAACUGUACACAUACAUGCUGCCGCUCAAUAUAUGAUCUCCUCAGUUUAGGAUCACUAUUUCCAUAAUCCUUAAUAGCCGGAGGUGCACUUUGAGGUUCCUGAAGAACAUAGGCAUCCACGUACUCUUAGCACAAAGAAAUAAGGUGCCAUAAAGUGACUAUAAUAAUUGAAAAAAGUGGACUACAUUAACAAUCACCUUCGGCUCUUCGACUUCAUGAUGACCAUUCUCUAUACUCUGCAAAAUAGGGGAAGGAAGGAGAAAAAAAAGGUGGAAAGAAUAUAAGUAAUUGGGAAAAAUAUAGUCAGACAUCUUUGGCCGCAUAAGAUCAUUACCUGUUUUUUGGGCGUCAAUGGAAUUGAUAAAUGUUCAGAUAUGUUUUUUACAGGUGAAUUCAAGAAGGCCUGCUGUCGGAGAAUUUUAUCCUCAGACUCCAUGUUCAAUAAUUUUUCUUGAAGCCUGUGAAAAAAAAAAAAAAUUGAGCUGUGACACCUAAUGCAAAGAAGCUAUAUACAUGUUUCAGUAGAUAAGCAGGGAAAUCAAAGUACCUUUGCAUUGCAUUGUUCAAGUCAACUAUCUUUGACUCAGCCUCCAUAGCCUUCUUCAGCCUCUCUUCGCUGAUUCUGCUCGUUUUUUCAUACUUCUUUUCAGUUUCAUCAAUCUUCAUCUCUAGAGAACUCACCAAAGCCUGUUGCCAAAAUUGACAGUGAUGAAAUGACUAGAGUUCAGAACAACCGAAGGACAAAAAGAGAGAGGUAGACAAAAAAGAGAGAACAUGAACAAAAACAUGUGGAGAUAAUUGCAUAUACCUAAAGGCUAAAGCAUUAUCUACUUACAUAUACCUCAGUAAAAUUCACAUGUUCAUACAUGCCCUUCAAAAACUCUCUUGUAACAUAUAAAACCCUUUGAAAAUUGAUUUUUUUCAGUAGAUUCUAUUUUGAAAAAGGGGAAAAGGAGUCAGAUAAAAAUCCACUGGUAAGUUAACCCGACCUUAAGCUUCUCAUUUUCAGCUUUGAAUUUGUCCAUCAACUCCGUAUCAACAACAGGGAUCUCCUUAAUAACAGGAACAAUCUCAGCAGCCUUCUUAGCAGCGUCACGUUCCUUCAUCAGCAUUUCUUUGGUCUCCUUAAACUGUUGUUGCACCUCCUGCAAGGCAGCUUGCAGCUUUGCAUUUUCUUGUGCUUUUGCUUCCUCGAGGUCAGCCUACAAAUACAGAAAGUGCAUUGGAUAAAUCAACUUGCAAUCAUAAAACUGAGUUCAGAGAUGUCUGCAAUGAUACUUCAGAAAAAAUGGACCAGCAGCAAUCCAGCUCAUGCUAGUUCAAUCAAAUGGAAGAUGGAAUUGAAAAUACCAAGUAGAUGAGUCACUUGAAGUAAAACACUAAUGCCUCACCCGCAUGCGUUUCUCCAGUUGUAGCCUCCAUGUGAGUUCCUCAACUUGCUUUUCCAGUUUAUUUUUGGCAGCUUGAAGUGCGCCAGUUUCCCUUGCCGCCUGAAGGCAAGAAAGAGGUGUAAAAGAACCAGAGAGAUUAUGUUCAAGAAGAAUCAUAGUAAGAAGUCAACACGAACCAUAUAAUGCACUUUAGAGACUACAUGAGGAAGUUUACUCGUGCCUACAGUAUAUAUAUAUAUAAGCUAUUAACUUUGCUUUAAGUGGUGCAACAUAGAUUAGAGUUUCAAACAGGCUUGUAAGGUGUCCUAUGUAAUUAAACUUCCACAACUUACUCUCAUCUCAGUUGCACUGCUCCCUAAUAGUCAUUAAUAAAAAUAUCUAUUCUUCCCUUCCUCCCCCCCCACCCCCUCCCCCCUUUUUCUAGUGGGUCCACUAGAGGUUUACAAACCAGAUAGAAAAUGUAGAGAAUACCACUCCAUAAUUAUAACACCAUCAUUAAAAUACAAGUGUAUCGAACCACUAUGAAAGAUGACAGAGAUUGGAGCAAGAACUUCUACCAUUUUAAGCUUUCGUAGUUCUUUUCUAGCAACCCUUCCUCUCCAAGCACAUUGAGUAGUAAUUGUGGCUUUCUUUAUUCUUGAAUAAUGCAAGCGCGCCAGGUAUUGCCGGCAUUGACUCUAGAAGAGUAACACAACCAUUAGUGCAAAGAAGAUUGAAAGUAUAACAUCUUCUAAUGAUAGUAAUAAAACAAUAUGUAAAACAAAGAACUCUGUGUGUGGUUAUUUGCAUAUAAGCGUGUCUACAUAUACAGAUACAUAUUCAUGUUGUUCCAUUUUACCUGUAUAACAAUUGCAGCUCUUGUUUGUCGCCUGAAAUUGAGCUCCUUACGAGCGGCCAUUCCACGUAAACCAGAUUGAAUUGUAAUCGCUGAAGAAAGCAACUCAUUGUGAGCUUUCCUAGCAAAAUGCAUGCGAUAGCAUGUCUGGAUUCUCAGAGCAGCAGCUUCUCUCCGUAGGUUUUCAUAAACUUGCCUGGCAAGAUGCCCUUCAUAGAUAACACAAGAAGCAUGUUUUAGUAAAUCACAAAUGUCACAAUAGGAAAGAUCUCUACUAUCACUUAAACAAAUAAAUGAGGCUACGGCUGACAGCUAAAAAUCAGAUUCUGAAGGAUAUAUAUGUGAUUAGAUAAGUUUGAAGGGGUAUAAAAAUUUCUCAUACAGCUUACCUCGGCAAAUGGUCUGGAGCCGUAUAGCUGAUUUUCGCAGUAAUAUGAAACUCCUGCGAGAAAAGUAUGAUCGAACUUUCCUUUGAAUAAUAUUAGCAGAUCGGCCCAACACUUCGUUCCUACGAGCAUCGAGAUCAGCCAUCUGACCAGCUCGAAGAAAUACCUUUGUCUUGCCUAUCUGGAAGUAUCAAACUUACGAGUAAGAGAAUCUCGUACUUUUCUACCAUAGUAUAAGAACUUAUUAAAUGAAAAAUAGAAUAGUCUGAAGCAAUGUUAGAAGCACCCCACUGUUUACUCAAAUAUCAUUAGAAAUAAGCGUACUGGUUAACUCCAAAAUAUCCAUUGUCUACUUUGUUGGAAACACUGACAAAGAACAUAUAAUAUGUAACAAACUUGUGGAAACAUCGUUCCAGCCAAUAAUGGUUUCAUACUUUUAUAGUGAGGGCAAAAAAUAUGUUUGUACAGGAUGCAAUGUACGUCAAGUGUUAAAUAAUGCUGUUUACAUAAGAAUGCAUAAAGCUCAAAAAUUUUUAUCUAAUCUCACUUACUUGGUAACCUUGGAGAUCCACCUUCUCUAACAACCUCCUUGUAGCAGUGACCUCAUCAGAACUGUCACAAUAAUAGACCAGAUGAACAUGCAAGGCAUAGCAAAUUUAACUAGUAUACAUUCAAAUUAAUCGUACCUUCCACUUAAAACUUCAGGUGCAAGAAUGCCAAAGCGAUCUAAGAACUCGUAGAAUGUUCUUCUGGUUGGAUACCCAGCACAGCUUAUCCUAAUUGCUUCCAUAACUCCCUAAGAGCAAGUCAACAUAUGAUAUAGCAACAGCUUGUAGAAAAUUAAGAAGCAGAGAAAAAAAAUCUUACCCCGCAUCGAAGUUGCUGUAGAACAUUCUUAUUCUCGAAUAUGGCAGGCUUCAACAGAUUAUUUGGCUUAACACAGCGAAUGUAAUGUGGCUCAGUGGCACUUAAAGUAUCUAGGAGAGCUUGUAAUUGUUGCUGCAUAAUUACAAGAGAACCAGCAUAUCAAAAUAACAAGGAAGAAGGAAGCAAUUCAAAUCAAUUCCAAAAGAAUGCCCGAGUACCUUGAAUCUUGAGCCUAUAGAUGAAAAUUUUGAAGAUUUUGAUGAGUCCUCUGAAAGGGGCGGAAAAAGGCUCGAAACGAAUGAACAUUUUGAGGCACUCAAGAGCGCCUGGUGCUCAGCAAUAACAUAAUCUUUGUUUUUAUCUAGAAAGAAGUCCGUCUGAUAAGUAACCUGAAUGAAAAAUAAUCUCCUUUAUCUUCUAGUUUCAUAGAAAUACUCAUAACUUAAAGAAAGUGGAUGCAGAAAAGAACACAAAGGGGCACUCACUUCGCCAGCAUAGUGGGAGAUGGUAAAAUCCGUGCGUGAUAAUUUUGGCUUGCUGAAGCGUUUAUGGUUCUUAAAAGUCUGGUACAGCUUUUGAGCGAAUGUUUCAUGUGUCGAUCUUGGCAACAUACUAAGUAACCCACAAAAAAAAAGGAAAAUAAAUAAAUUAAAAAACUUAGUCAUUUAGGGCUUGUGGAGAUAUAGAAGCAAAAUUGCAAGAGAUAUAGUAUCACAUGCAGAGACAUACCAAGCCUCAUCAAGAAGGGCAAUGAUCCCACCAGGUUUCUGGAUGGAAAAAAAUUGGACGAGUUAAGACAAGAACUCAUAAUGCACAAUAUUUUGGGGUAUAUGGUAGUCAAGAAAAUCGUUGAUGAUAAAAUCAUUUGAUUAACCAAGGCCAAAUUCUGAAACCAUUAUUUAAGCAAGAUUUUCAUUUUGAUUGAUAGAUUAUGCUUGGUGCAGUAGAAAAAAACCUUAUCAAUGAGAUCAAGCACGUCCUGAUUGUCAAUGAAUUCAAUAUAACUCCAAUUGAUUUCUUCUUUUGUAUAUUCUUCCUGCUCCAUCUUGAAAACAUGCUGCAUCAAAACAAAAGGAUCAUUCAUGAAUCCUUGUCGAGCAUUAGAGAUGAUGAAGAAAGCUGUUCACAAAGUUGAUUAAAUCAGAUAACUAUAUAAAGUACAUAUCUAGACCUGAUUAAAGUGCUGCUGUAGUUUUUCAUUCGUCAGAUUGAUACAAAACUGCUCAAAGCUGUUAGAAAGGACAUAUUAGAAUCUUGCCCCAACAGACAUAAAGAAUAACCUCAUAUAAUAUGAAGUAAAGGAAAAUUAGAAGAUUAAAUUAGUGAGUAGAAUGGAAAGAAUUGCAGUUACAACUCUACAAAUAGCUGCAAAUGAAUGCAAUAAUAUGAGCUCAUAAAGGAACCUUCAGAAGCUUAAAGAGACGAUAGAAUCCACAUAAUUAGAAUUCUUUGAGCUCAUUUUACUAUAGGACUAGCCAUAAUGCAUUUUAAAAAGCUGGGCAAGGACUCAUGUAUGCCCCCCUAAUUUGGCAUAUUGACUCCUUCGCAAACUGUUCAUCAAUACAUAAUCACAAGAAUUUUGAAUACAGUAACAUUGGGCAAAUCUUAGAGGAAAUAAUGGUAUAAAGAAAAGGUAAGUGUCAAACCAAAAAAGAACUCAAUUUAUCCUACUUUGACAUCCUAUUGGUCAUAUAAGAAAGUACUGUUUAAUCCCAAACUUGUGAUGAGAAAGUUAUCGUUGAUAUGCUAUACAUUUCCUAUAAGGGAAACCAAGCAAGAUCAAGUUCAGAAUUUCUCAAUCCAAAGCCAAGAAAUAAAAAAAAAAAAGAAAAAGAGAGCAAACAUUAGAUUAGGAAAAGUAUUUACUCGCCACAGCAUGUGAUGUGUUCAUGGUCAGCAGUCACACGUGAAAUCAAAUAAAUUCCAUCUAUUACCAAUUUACCAUGAAGCAGCACACGGCAUAUUAUACAAGAAGGGUCGGCACGGCAAGAAUCAAAAAGGCAUUGCACUAUUAAACUAUAUUGAAAUGUGAACAUCAAACACUAGUAGGUUAUUCACAAGAAUCCCUUAAAUGAAUGACCUCCCUGGUUCACUAAUGAUUGUCCAAACAUAGUGAUGACAACAUAAAAGCAUACCGGUUAAGCACCUGUUUGUCUUGAAGCUUUCGAAGCCAUAUAUAUCAAGAACUCCAAUUAAGCACUUCGAAUCAGGAUCUUGCCCGAUAGAAUUAUUGAUCUUAGUAACAAGCCUGUAACAAAAUGAAACAGUUGCAGAAGGCCCGUAAAUAAUCGACCAAAUACGGUUUGAGGCUUUGAGCAAAAGAUUUUUUGAGCACUUACCAAUCAAAUAAGCGUGAAUACACAAUCUUAGCCAGGGCAUCUCUACUAAGAACUGCAGCACCAGGAUCUAGAGUCUUUACUAUGUUUUCAUCACGAGUUACAAUAAUACGUUUGCAAAGAGAGUCCUCAAGGGCUUUCUCAUCACACCUGAAGAAAGCUCAAAAUUACAACAUAAUUUCCGGUAGAUCCAACAGUGAUAGUUUAAGAGAAAUGGCGCUUACAUGAAGAGCUCAGCAGCUGUUCUUAAAUGAAACCAGGAUUUAUCAUCUUUGGGCUUGGAAGAAUCUGUUUCAUUCCCCUCGGCAAAUUCAAUAUUUCCCAAAUGGAGAAUAGCAGCCACUACCCGGAAAAUCGCGUCCUAAAUGAAAUACCAAGGAAGAAAGAUAGUUUAGGAAUUGACAAAGAAAAUGUAGCUCACUCCUUGUAAGAAUGAGCAGAGAACAAAGAUCUGUACCUGUUCAUCAGAGCUGAUUCCAAUGAUAUCCAUAGCUCUUCUAGUUUCCAGAUAUUCCUUAGAAUCAUCUACCCCUUCAAGGGCAUGGCAGUUCGACUGGUUAAGAUAAUGAAAUGCUCUAGGAUCUCCCAACUUAUAUCUCUCAAUAUCCUGACAAAGAGCAUUUUAUCUUUUUAUUUAAAAAAAUAAAAAAAGAGGUCUCCUAAGACUCUACGGAGCACUAAUGUAAGAAUCAUUGCAAACCUCAGGUGGUGCAGCACAGAGCAUAUAAAAACAAUGGUAGUUCCUCUCAGGAUCAGAUACUUGACAAACGCGAGACCGCUCAAGCAGGUAAGUUCUGAUGGCAGCACCUGAUAUCCUCCCAUUCUGAUCAAACUGAAUCUCAACAAACUUGCCAAAGCGGCUGAAAAAACAGCAUGCGAACAAGAGUAGACAGUGAGUAUAGAAAGAUUCCUGAACAUGCUAACUUCUUGAGGAAAUGAAUAGAGAUUAAAUAAUAUUUUCCCACCUCGAGUUAUUAUUUCUGACAGUCUUUGCAUUGCCAAAUGCUUCAAGAACAGGGUUGGACUGUCAAGAAAGCAUAAAAAUUCAACGGAUGGGAACCAAAACCGACAAAAAUAAUUAGGGGUAAAGCUACCAAUGAAAUGCUAUAUCUCACCUGCAGAACUUGCUGUUCCACAGAGCGGCCACCAGACGAAGCCUUCCCUCCCAUGUAGGCAAGGUAACGCAUGAGCAGUUUAGUGCUUUCUGUUUUACCAGCUCCACUUUCUCCACUUACAAGGAUAGAUUGACUUAUACCUUCAUUUAUCAUCAGCCUGCGCCAACAAAUACAAUCUUUAUCUUAUAAUCCACAUACUAUUUUAAUAUAUUUAGAUAUGAAUACAAACAUAUUAGACUGUACCUAUAUGCAGCAUCUGCAAUUGCAAAAGGGUGUGGACUUAAUUCACCAAAUGUCGCUCCCUUGUACUGUUCCAUCAUAUGGGUAUCAUAGAGAUGAGGUAGCCUCCGGAAAGGAUUUACAGCAAUUAAAAUAUUUCCAGUAUAAGACUGAUUCAAAAAAGAACAACUGUGUCAGCAACCUCAGAAUGCCAAAAGUUUAGCGUAAAAGGAGAUGUGAGAGAGACCAAAAACAAUGGACGAGUACAGAAGUAAAGGCGUGUUUGGAUCUGGAAGUAGCUCUACUGUAGAAACUUAUGUUUAAUGAGAGUUUCAUUUGGUGAUUGUUAUAGAGGAGUUUGACUUUUGGCCGUCAACAAAUAUGAAUAACCACGAAAAUUCAAGGUAGUGACUUUCACCAAUAAGGUGGGGUUUAGCAAAUUCUGAAAAAACUAACAAUUUCUUAUUCCAUCUAAGUCUUAGACGCUUGAUCAUGCAUCUCUAGCCAACUUGAGUAAUAAGUAGAAAUAUGAUAAGUUAUUCUAGCAUCGAAAAUGAACUAAAUGGAAUAUUAUAUACACCUCCAGAAACAGCAUAGAGAGUAGUCUUCAGGCAAGUUUAGAUAACAACAUAAGGUAACUAUAACCAUUCAUCAUACUUGUUACUGAAUAUUGCUUCGUGUACCUUGGAAAGUUCAUGCAAAUGUUGUUAAUGAGUGCAUUGUAAACGUGGCAAUUAGUAAUAGGUUUAGUAUUUCAAAGUUGAUGUCUUUAAAAAACUAAAUCCAUGACUACCAAUUAAAUGUACAAAGCUACCUAAUCAACAACAUUCCGGGAAACCUUCAAAGCUAUUUGUAGCAUUGCACCUCCGCACUUACAUAAAUUUCAUUCAUGUCGUAUCGAGAUUUUAAAUUCUGCAGAACCCCUGGCUCAUGCAAAUAGGCUAAUUUUGUCAUGUCAUCCACUCCACACGGUGCUGCCUCGGGAUCCUUGGGAUGUAUGCUAGAAAUUUUAGCCGUGACCUGCACCGGAAAAAUCACCCGCAAAAUCUUUAUAAACAAACUCAUGAAUUGCUAUAUUUGAAGUGGGAAGGCCAAUUUAUUUCUUUAUCUAGUCUUAUUGGAGUACAAUCUUUUCACAGUUAGAAACCAACUCUAGAAUAAGCCAAUAAAAGAGGAAACUUUGGCAAACCUACUGACCUAAUAUCUACGAAAGCAAUGCAAGAUCACUCACCAUCUUUCCGGAGGUACAUUGGACCUUGAUUGUAUCGCCAUUGACUUCGACAACUUCUCCAUCAAUCCAAGCAUCGUCGGGAUCCUCAACCCACACCUGAGUUCCCAUUGUAAUACUAACUGAAGCAGCCUGAAAUUUUUUUAAACAAAAGUUUGAUCAGUGAAAUGAACACAGCACAAUCUGCACCAUAAUAGAAUCAUCAUAAUCCAACGCAACCACUACAAAUUGGUCAAAAUAACAUCUACAAGUGGGUUUAGUUCGAAGCAUUGGAUACAUAACAGUUCAAUUCCUGCUUCCCUGAUUCUAAACGUUAUCGCAAAAAACGAAAUCAAUUACACCAAAAAUUUAAAAUUGGAAACAACAGCACAAAAUGCAGUACCAUUUCGAGAUCCCGACGCAAUCAGAUGCUCAAAGUGGCCACAAAUCACCACACUUUAGAGUUUAGAGCCCCUGAACACUAGAAAAACAACCGAUUUCGCCACGAAUGGAGAGAUCCCAACUACUCGGAUCCACCAAAUCGAUCAAAUGGAACACCUCUAAUCUCUCUACACGUACUACUUCCGAUCUACUCCACCAAAUUUCUCGGAUUCUGAGUCCAAGAGCAAACUCAAACUCCCACCGGUUCCUCCUUUCCUCUACUUCGAGCUCGGCGAUUCGAAGGCGAAGAAGAGAUCGCCAGGAGAGGUAAGGAGACAAAGCAACUUCGAUUUGGUGACGAGGAUAGAAAGAGAAAGAGAGAGGGAACCCAAUCCCCCUCUCCCGAUCGAAAGGGUCCCUCAAAAACCCUCCUUUUUUCUCCGCCGCGCACCGACCUCUUCGUGCUCGCUCUCUCUCUCUCUCUCUCUCUCCCUCUUUCUCUCUCUUUUUGGUGUUUCCUUUUUCGCCUUCUCUUUCCUUUCACAUGGAAACAGCUACGAGGAGGGGAAUUUGAUAUUAAUUUUAUUUUUAUUUUUAUUAUUAUUUAUUUUUUGUUUCCUUUAUUUUUGUUUUCUUUUGAGGUACGAAAUGGAGGUUAUUUUGAUACGCAAAAUGACCUUUUCACUAUAUACUCGGGGAAAUUAUUCCCUGCACCCGGUGUUCCCCCUACAUUCCAUGAACCGUGCUUCAUACUCAUUGAUCAGCCUCUAAAAUUUUAAGGUUAAAAUUUAACCCGAUACUUUUAUAACUCUGGACGGUGAACCGGGUCCAUGCUAUAGCUCCUCACCUACACUGUUCUUUUUGGCCGUGUGACGUGGCAAAAUGUGAUUGGAGAAUGAGAGAUUUACCGUGUCGUAUCAGCCCCCUACGCGCGAAUAUACUUCGGCGUGACGUUUCGUAGAUUCGGCGCUACCACCUGACUUGUGGGCCCCACAGUGCCCCUCUCGCAUGUCAUUGGUCCACUUCUCCGGUCAUUUUGGGGUCAAUUACUACACAAUUAAAAAAACUAUUCUAUUUCUCUCAGGUUUUCUCUGCUAAAUUUUAUGUAAAUUUUAAAGAAAAUACGAAUGAUAAUUGAUUAUGGUGUUAUAUUAUUUUUAACAUCCAAUAUUUUUUAAAAAAUAAACAAACUAGACGGCAAUAUAUAUAGCAUGCUAUUUUUUUUUCAAUAUAUAUAUAUAUACAAUCACCACUACUUAUGGUAAUUGUUGGUAGUUUUCUUCUGAGCACUUGGAUCUAAAGUUGAUCUCGCUUUCGAACAAAAAGUAUAUGUAAGAGUGACCUACGAUUAUCUUCAAAUAUAUAUAUAUAUAUAUAUAGUAUGAGCUAAUUAAUAAGUCAUUGUAAUUGCCACUUUUCUUAGAAAAAAAAUUUCAAAUUUACUAGACUAAUUAAUCAAACUUGCACAAAUUUAAUUGGGUGAAGACGUGAUUAUCGUUUGGAAUAGAUGGAUAAGUAAAAGGGACUCGCCAUCCCCACUUUUGGAACCAAGUGGUUUAAUAGUUUGUUGGUGGAUCAUCUGGGAUGUCAGGAAUGGUGCGACCUUCAGAUCGAUCAAGCCAGAUUAAAUUGUUGAUGGAUUAAUGGAAUUAAUAUUUGUCAUUAAAUUUACACCACUAUAAUCAAUAGUCUUUUUUUUUCCCCUUGGAGGCCUGUGUUGCCUCACCUCUGUAGUUUAGUUUACUUUUUCAAUGAAUGAAGUGGAUAGUGUGCUACAUAUUCCUAAAAAAAAAGAAGAAUUUAAUAAUCUAAGUUUACUAUAGAGUAGUGCAAUUUAUCGAGUACUUUAUCUACUCUAUUUUUUUUUACUUUUAAUAAGUCCGUAAAACCCAUCCUAAAAACUGCGGUGGCCUUCUAUUGAGAGAAAAGCAUAAUAAAAAUAAAAAAAAAAAUCAUGACAGGAUGAGUUAAUCUUAUGAGACAUAAUAAUACUAUCCCACUCUCACUCACCAGACAAAAAAAAAAACUAUACCAGUGCUCUCAAACAAGUUUUUUUUUUUUUUUUUUUUUGUAAAAAGAUGUAGCACGCUAUUCAUUUCAUUUAUUUAAUAUGUGAAUUUAGUUGUAACAAUGCUCUCGAAUAAGUUAUUCCGAAGAUAGCGCGGGGGAUCCGAUCGUUGUUCCCGGAAUAGCGGGGAGUGCGUGGGGGCCACUAUCCCAUCGGCGUGGCCCCUUUGUCGGGAUAAAAUUAUCCCCCAUUUUAAUUAGCUGUUGCUGAAUCAUCAUAGCCAUGGAAGCAUCCGAGAGCUCAUAACAUUAUAAUGCGUCCCAGGUUCUUCACGCGGUUUUAGCAACCAACUUUUAUCCCGUGAUCCUGGUUUUCCAUGCACCCAACAUAAAACUAAACCAUUUAUGGGAUUAAAAAAAAUAUAUAAUAUUUAAUAUUAUAUCCAUUAAUUUUUCUGAAAUAUUUUAGAUAUUCUUUUUUUUUAUUUUAAACAAACCACUCGUAUACUUUUCUAUUGUUUAAAAAUUAAUUUUAUUUUUAGUGUCCGUUAAGCCAUCUUGGAUUAAAUUUGAAUUAAAUUUUUAUCAUAGUUAAAAAAAAAGUCAAAAUAGCUCUUUUAUCUCUAACUUAAUAGCGAAUAAGAAAAGUUAAUAAUGAUAGAAUGAUAUAUUUGGAAUGAGAAGAAGUUAAAAUAUUUUUUUUAUUUCUAACUUAAGAGCGGAUAAAAAAAUUUUGUCUACAACUAGAGUGUAUAUCUUACAUCCUAUUUAGCUAAUAGAUGAAAUAUUUUUACUACUCACUUGAUGUGACUAGUAGUCCAACCCUGUAUAUUGAAUGGAUAGGGUAUAACUUAUACACUCGGAAUGAAAUGUAUAAAUAAACCUAGAAAAUAAUAUAAAACAUAUAAUAUUUUAUGUUGUGGUCAAAAUCUAGUGACAUGGUAGGCAUGGUCUACGCAAAUAACGUCUUACAUGCCUUGGACCUUGGACGCGGGAAUGAGUCGCAAUCUCUGACCCGGUCAAUUGGCUCGAGUCGGUCCCUCCGAGCUUGAAUGGGCCCAAUCGGACUAGAAUCACGCAACCCAUACCAACAAGCAAUCGGAAACUGUCACGUUCCAAUUUCGAAGCACACCUAAUAACUAACUGAUUUUCUUUUUAACAACUUUUUAAUCAACGGCCAUAAACUCCUGGCCCACUUACCCUACAAUUUGCCUUUAGAAAACAAAUGAAGGUGCAGUUCCAUUCACUCUACUUUUUCGUGACCAAUAAUCAGUAUGAUCACCACGCAAGUGGUAAAAGAUUUGGUGUUUAGUAUUCGAGGUCUCGAAUUCGAAUUUUACAGUUAGCUGUAUUUCUAAAGCACUGCGUAUUGCGUCCUAAUUUUAUUUUUAUAAUAAUAUCAGAUGAAUCUUAAUACCAAAUUAAGUCUGUAUCAUCAAAUUCGACGAGGGAGGAGGGGAGGGUACGAGAUUUGUUUAAAGAGAAAAAAACAAAAAAGAGAAAACGGCUAGUAAGAUCGGACGGUGAGGAUUGCCUCACGAUCAUCACCCAAGCACCGACCGAGGAGCGGUGGGGCCCAGAAUCCAAACGCGCCUCACGAGCACGUCGUUUGCUUGCCCCAGUAGGGCAUCUUAUCCAACGGCUCAGAUGAGCUCUGAUUUAUAGCGCCCAUUUCAUCCAGGCCGUUGGAUCUACGCCGGUACGGAGUUGAUUCCACACGGUUCGUGGGCCAAAAUGCGAAAAGCCACCUCCACUGUAAGGGUCUUUGAAGUGGGUACUUAAAUCUUUUUUCCUUUCGAAUGCGUGUUACUUUCUCAAUUUUUAUUUUAGUAUUUAACACUAAUUAUUUUCCGCUAAAAAAUAUAUAAAUUUUUGCUAAUAAUUAAUGAUGAAUAGCUAAUGGACCCGUUGAUUCAAAAAACUUUUAGUUUAUGAUUGUAUGAUUUAUAAAACUCAGAAUUCAAACAUUCUUAUUAAAAUAAUACUAAGCUAAUAACAAAGAUAAAUAUUUACGGUCGAAAAUUACUUCACUCCUCUCCUCUUUCUUGAUUUUUUUUUUAAAAAAAAUUAUUAAAUAGUAAUUUUCUUUGCCGGCCCAUAUAUCGUGGUGCUGCAUUUAAAUGGCUCACACGAUCGUGGUCCCACACUCCGCCUUAAAAAUCCAAACCAUUAAAUGAGUUUUUUUUUUUUUUUUUUUUUUUUUUUUUUUUUUUUUUUUUUUUUUUUUUUUAAAGCUUAGUUCACUUAAAUUAUAUAUAGCACGAGAGCUAAUCUUUAUUCAUAUAUAGCAUCAUUGUAAUUAAUUGAUUAUGUUUUAAAUUAAUUCGGGUUUUUAGGCCGUGUUGGACACAUUAUAGUUUGAAAAACAAUUUUGAUUAUUGAUAAAAUGACGUGAAACUGAAAAGAAGCAUAAACAAUAACGUAAAAUUUUAGCCAUUUUUCCGAGUCAAAAGUACGGUGAUGGAACAAUUCAGAAGAUACCAUAAGAUGCGAGGAAUCGAAUAGAUUGAUUGAAGGCGACAAAGGUGUAUUUACAAAAUUAAUUUAGAAAAAACUACUUUUCUCCUAGACUCACAAAACGCAUUACAGCUUUUAGCUAAAAUCAAUUCUCGAAAUCAAAUAUUUUAAAUUUCAGACAAUGCGAGGCCCGGUCCCAGUAAAGAAAAAGGCAUGACUAUCAAAGUCCAUGGGCCGGAAUGCGCCGAAUUAAUGUUGUGCGAUAGCAAUAGCUUAUUGGGCCCAACCUUAUGGGAGCCUGAAAGUCUUGGCUUUUUUUUUUUUUUUGUUGAGAGAUAGAUAGCACGCUACUCGUUUCGUUUAUUUCAUUAAGAAAUAAACUUAGCUGGAAUUGUGAAUCAACUAGGAUUCAAACUUGGGACCUCGGGUACCAACCACCAAGCUCUUUUCCACUUGCUCUAGGGGCGGUCGGUAAGUCUUGGCAUUGUUGGCACGAUCGUAUCGACAUAUGCUUCUCCAUUUCGUGCACUAAUUUCACGUGUCUCAAACUUAAUCCAUGUGUAAGGAUGGUGCCUAAUUCACAAGGCUCGGCCCAAACUGUCAUUCGGCCUGGCUCCACACUAGGAUAUCUCACCGCACUGUAACUUUGUAAGGCUUCGUUUGGGAUUACGGAAAGAUUGCGUUACGUGCGGUGAGAAAGUACGUUAGAAAAAUAUCUUGUUUGUUUCCGUACGUAAUAUUGUGUUCCGUAUAUCGCAGUGAGUCGGUUACGAUAUAUUUUCUGCGGUCCCACCGGAGAACGCAGAAGCAUAUCCCUAUAUGCUUUUUUCUCAACUCUAUUCUAUCUAAUAGCGUUAGAUAGGCCUAAAUACCAAACUAAGCCUAAGAGCGACGCGAAAAAGCUCCAAAUUUGAAUAGAGAAAAAGGCUACUCCCGAACAACUAGCUUUCCGCCGCAACCUUAGAAAGAGCCAUUUUACUGCAAUAAACUUGCAGUAUACAUAAUUAAUCAUCAAAUAAUUAUCCAAUAGUGCGCGCAUUGCUGCCCUAUGACGAGAUGUUCGAUUGAGUUGAAUCACGUUCGAAGUGACGGAAAGUUGGGUUGGUUCGAGUUAUGUCGUGUGAGGGAGAUAGCUCCUCACCCAACUAAUUUGUUCAUAAUGGACCUCCACAUUCCAUUUUCGAUUUAGAUGAUCUAAAAUAUUUAUAGGAGGUCAAUGAAGUUAAUUUGAUGUCUAAGACAUAAUUAACUAUGCAUGCAUCUUAGCAGCAUUAGUUAUCUUUGCUGAGUAUAAAUGAUAAAAACGCCAUUCUCUAUAAGUAACUAGUUUAAGCUUUUAGAAAUUAACAGCCGUUUUUCUAAUGAUAUUAUAGGAUGAGAUCUUAAGUUCGAAUAUUAUCGGGCUUCUAAUUAAUCUCAUUUAAUUAAUGCCUGUAUAUGCGUGCAAAUCGAUUACUUAAAUAGCACUAAAAAUAACUUAAAUUUUGCCAUGUUACAACUUAAUUACUAUUCUAACUAUUUGUUCCCCUCAAAGAUAACACUGCGCUACUAUUAAAAUGCACGCAUGACAUUAAUGAAUUGGAAAUACAUAGUGCAAGAAAAUUAAUGCAUCAUAAGUUUAAGACAUUUAUAAUGUUAAUGAUUGUCAAGUACAUAAAAUGUUUUUUCUUUUUCUUUUUUUUUUUCUUUUUUUUGCAAAGAACCAAUUAAUUGUCUCCUUGAAACCCUAAAUUGUUGGGAGAACACUAGACACGGCUACUAGAGAAUGCAUGAAUCAACUCGAGAAAAGCUUACAUUAAAUCAAAGCAUAAAUAGGUAAAGAUCAUGAACCUCAUUCUUGAAGACCUAAAAGCUUCAUUUCAAAGCAUCUCAUUCCACAAGGAGCAAAUGUUUCUAUCUUAUUAUGUACAAUAAUCAUGCAUCUUUCAUGAAGGGUGACUUCCUAAGCAGUCCUUAGGUGAAGUAACAAAGAUUUUGAGUAUCUCCAAAUUAAAUGGAGUUGUUUUUCUACAUAUGCAGCGUAAUCUCUCACUCCAACCAGUAAAUUGCAAUUUAUUUGGACUUUUCUAGCGGUAUCCCUAGUGAUUCAAAGAAUUUCACCAAAAUCAAAAGGGUCACAGGAUUUCUCUAUCUCUGUGAAUUUUAUAUUAGAACCGAUCAUAAUCCAAAAUUUCUCGUCGUGCAGUGGCUGGCUAGUUUUUCAGAUGUUAAUUUGCUGGUAGGAGAUGCUUUUGAGAAUUGUUUUUUUCUUGGUUUUGAUUUUCUUCGAUAUUAAUUUUUGCUUUAACCAGUGUGCUUGUUAGCUCUCUAAUUUUCCAAUCCAAUAAAUAAGUUAAACAUAUUCUAUUUUCCUUUUCAUGUGAUGAAGAUAUUUAGAUUAGUGCUUCACAAUAACUUUGAGAGAAGUAAAUUAACCAACACCAACACAUGAUAUAUAGUAAGCACGUUACGUGCUCCAAGAAUUUUAAUUGGAGCACACACCCUAAAGAGCUAGGGUCUUAAAUAUUAAUUUCAAUCUUUUUUAAUUAAUUUCUCGAGAAACUUAUAUACAAUUUUAUUUAAGCGCAAAAAAUAAGAUAUAAAUAA